GGCUUGCCCUCACAAACUGCAGCUGAUGAUCACUACAAGUAUUCAUCUCCUCCUCCUCCUUACCACUAUCCCUCACCACCACCACCAGUGCAUAUACCUCCACCUCAUCCUGUUUACAAGUACAAAUCUCCACCACACCCCCAGUACAAGUAUAAGUCACCACCACCACCUCCUCAUCCGGUAUACAGUCUCCUCCGCCACCACACACCCAGUUUACAAGUACAAGUCACCACCACCACCUCCUCAUCCGGUACCACACCCAGUUUACAAGUAUAAGUCUCCUCCGCCACCAGUUUACAAAUACAAGUCUCCUCCACCACCACCUCCAGUGUACAAAUACAAGUCUCCACCACCACCAGUUUACCACUACAAGUCUCCACCACAGUUUACAAAUACAAGUCUCCACCACCACCCCCAGUUUACAAAUACAAGUCUCCACCACCACCAGUUUACCACUACAAGUCACCACCACCUCCUCCCCCAGUUUACAAAUACAAGUCUCCACCACCUCCUCACCACUACUAAGCAAUUGCUUCUGAGGUAAUAACACUUGUUCAAUAUACCCACUUCUGCAUGAUAAAGCAUAUCUCUAUCAACACAAACUGUCAUGUCUAUCAUGCUAAGUGCCUUCACUUCAUCCACCAAAAUGACUGCUAGAAAAUUUUUUUUAUGUUACCAAAGAAAGGCAUCAUUUUUUCCCUCUGUUAUCAAGAACUUGUACAGUAUAUAGAUUAAAGAGUAUUUUUUUAACUAGCUUAUCAACUGAGAAAUGCAUAUAGCUGAUAGCCAGCUGAAUAUUUGCAGGCAAAGGAGAAGGAAACCAGUGUUUGAGACCUUCUUGAAGAUGUAGAAGCAUAAGAAUUAAAGCCCAAUGUGAAGAUGAUGAUUUCAAGUUUUUCUACGUUACCAUUUCUUUAUCUAAAUUGGUUGUAGCGCCUUAGUUCCUUUGUUUAUGGGAUUUGUAUCGUUUUACGUACCAUGCAGUACAUGUCAUGUUUGUAAGGUUUUCUAUCCUGCCGGCAAACCGCAGGUUCCAUGUAAUAAAUCAAUACUAUUUAUAUUACGACACUUUUCUCUGUUUCUCUUAUAUUUUGUCGUCUUUAAUAUUCUUAAUCAUAUUUUUAACAAAAAUAUUCAAACACUUAGGCAAUCUGGUCUAAUGCUAAUUGUAUGUUUUACUUUUCUUUUUCACCUGCUCCCCUUUUCAACUCAAAAGGAUGCAAUAGUUUGUGAUCACUGUUUAAGACGGAAGCAUGAUACUAAUGAAUAUCUCAUUGAAACUCAAGGAAACUAACAUUGCGAAAAGUGUAAAUCUUGAUUUGAUGCAACUAUUUAUUCGUGGAAUCUAUAGUUACAAAACUCAAAUUCUGACUGCGCCAUUGAUAAAUUAUUAAUGACGCUAUCAUCAUUAUUUAUCCCUAACUAGUUUCGACUACAACUGAACCCAAUAUUUUCCCCAUGAUAAAAGUUUUUGACUAUUUUACUGGCCUCUCUUCAAAUUUUAAAAAUUACACUAAUCUUCAUUGAGAUUAAUUAUCUUGUAACAUUUAAGUCCAAUUAAUAAUUAAAAAAUGAUAUUAUGAGAGAGAAAAUAAUAUAAUUUUAUCAUUGCCCCCCAUCUUGCUAUAUUAUUUAAUUAAUUUAAUAGCAACCCACACAUUAAAGAAAAAUACUAAAAUUUGCUGCUUUUCAUUAAAGAUCAAAUUGCAUAUGCCAUAAAACAUAGUAUAUCAUUCUAUAUGUUUCACUUAAUGUAAGAUCCCAAUUGUUCUUUUCAAUUACAAACCCAUUGUCAAUAACAAAUAACCAAAAAAUUUGCAACCAAAAUAUUACAAAAAAAAACUUCAACAUCAUAAAUAUUCUUACCACCUCUAGUGCAUUCACCCUCAUAAAAUAAUUCAAGACCCUACUGUCAUAAAAUGACUGAUCAACUCCCGUAAACCUAAUUUGACAACAUUUAAAUGGAGAACUUUAGCUAAAAGAAUUAUGGUCAAGCUAAAGAAAAAACCAGUUAUUUUCCAACAUAUGCAAUCAUUGAUCAGGGAAAAAAAAAAGAGCAAAAAGACAUCUUCAAUCAUUUAAUAGCUUACAGGGCAAAUUAACCCCUAAGCGAAAACUGGUUGCUCUAGAAUCAAAAUUUUACUUUAGUUACCCAGGCAACUUUUUUGUUGCUUUUUUUUUUUUUUUCCUUUAGUUUUGCCCCCUCUGUCAAGCUUAUAAAAUUAUUAAGAUAAUAAAAGUGCCUUGAAUAGUAUUAAUAUAUCCAUUGACUUGAGCUGUCGUCAGUUUGCGAUUCCAUGAGGCCUUUUCAAAGUACUCAGAAAAUGGGGAGUCAUGAAAUCCAUUUGUUCUAUUCAUUGCUAAGAUGCUUUUCUCUAUAAAGAGACUUCCUAACGAAAAUACUUUGUAGAUUUCUUUACUCCAAGUGGUGCAUGGAAAAUUAAUAUUUUCAAUUAUCAAAUAAAAUUCCCUUUUUUCGGCGUAGAUUUCAUCCAUCCAGCUGUUAACACAUUCUAUAAAUCCGAAUUGACUAAUCUUUUCGUUUCCAUUUUCCAACUUGCGAAUACGGCAUAUAGUGUCUGCUAAACACUAUAUAUUCUCUGCCAAAUAUGAAUACAUAUCACUUUUCUGAGCAAGUGCAGAGUCAUUAUCAUUUUUAUUCCCACCUAACAAAUUAGGGAUAAAAAAGUUAAUAAUCUUUACAUGCUAUCAGGUCACAAGUUAAUAAUCUUUUAAAGAACAUGUUAAAUUAAUUUAUUGGUAUGAAUAGUAGUCAAAGAAGUAUGUUAAAGUUAGUAAUCUUUAAAAUAAUAUGUUAAAAUCAUUCGUACAAAUUAGUCAGAGAAGUAGCAUAAACACCGCGAUGCAAUUAAUACUUUCAAUCUCAAGGUCUCUAUUAUGGAAAUUUGCAUCGGUCAAUAUACACUUGGCAUAAUAUAAUCUCCCAACUCAUUUCUUUACAAAUGCACCUUUAAUCACCACCAAAAGGUGUGGACAUGAUCUUUACCCUAGAAAACUAUUCACCGACAGGCAAAUUGACGUCAGAAAUACUGAGGAAUUCUAGUUUCCUUCGGGUUCAUGCCAUGUUGUAUCCUUCAACUGUAACUCGAUUUCUAAGCUGUAAUUUGUGACAUAAUAGUCCUUAAACUAUGAAACCCUUCUUACUUAAUUACAAUGGUUAAUACAAUGCCCGUGACUAGACAAGUAUGAAGCAACCAUAACAGAAAAAAAAUCCAAAAUUAGAGAAAAGAAAGAAGUUUCGCGACCACCACCAGUUUACAAGUCACCUCCACCACCUCCUCCAGUUUACAAGUCACCUCCACCACCUUACCAUUAUUCCUCACCACCACCUCCAGUGCAUUCACCCCCACCACCACCAGUUUACAAGUCUCCGCCACCACCUUACCAUUAUUCCUCACCACCACCUCCUGUGCAUGCACCUCCACCACCAAUUUACAAGUCACCUCCUCCAGUUUACAAGUCUCCACCACCACCUUACGAUUAUUCCUCACCACCACCUCCAGUGCAUUCACCCCCACCACCACCAAUUUAUAAGUCUCCCCCACCGCCUCCCCCAGUAUAUAAGUCACCACCACCACCUCCUCCAGUAUACAAAUCACCUCCACCACCUCCUCCAGUUGACAAAUCUCCACCACCACCAAUUUAUAAAUACAAGUCUCCUCCACUACCUCCUCCAGUGUACAAGUCAUCACCACCACCUGCUUACAAGUCUCCACCUCCUCCAGUUUACAGUUCCCCACCACCACCAAUCUACAAGUCUCCACCUCCACCCUACCAUUACUACUACAAUUCUCCUCCUCCUCCUCGUCACUACUAAGCAAUUGUAUCCAAGUUUUUGAGGUAAUAACGCUUAACCAAUAAAUUAACUUUCGCAUGAUAAACCUUAUCUCUAUCAAGACAAACUGCCAUGUGUAUCAUGCCAAAUACGUACACCUAGAUCCAUGAAAAUGAAUGGUGAGGAGGGCCAUUUAGGCUCGGAGCGCCCUAGGCCUAGUUCCCCACCAUUUCCUGAAGUGCCGCCUCGGGUAUUAUCCUGGAAGGCGAUCGCGGCCCAUUUACCACCUCGGCUACAAUGUCAGGUCGUAACACCGAGGUGGACAUUGAAUGACAACUACGAAAAGGGGAGAUGUGAUCUCUGACACCUGAGCAAAGGCUGCUCUGACCCGCCGCCUGAAUCUGACAGAAUGUCCCAUCACGUCUCUUCAUGGAGACCGGUCAAGUCCACCUGAUCCACUGACUAUCUCAGAUCUUUUGGGACCCGUGCAAACAUCUCCUCUCUCCUAUCAGUCCCCUAUAAAUACACGAUACUUCUACUGAAAAAGGAGAUGACCAAUUUCUGGUAAAACACACUCCACUCAUUAUUUACUUCUCUAUAUCCGAACUGACUUAAGCUUCGGAGUUAUACCGGGGGAUCCAGCCCCUUUCUUAUCCAAGCAGGUGACUUCGUCCAAGAGAGUUGCCCAAGGUAAAGAUAUUCUUCCAAUUGAGGUGACUCACUCCUGCGGGUCGAAAAUCACCUCUUCAAUUGGCGCCGUCUGUGGGAACCGCAAAGAUAUUAGAAGAUGAAGCCUGCGCGUUCUAGAAGCAGAAAAGCUCUCACUAUCGAGGCUGGGCAAAGCAAUGCAGCUCAACAAGAAAAUAUUUCUGAAGGGCAGGAGUCCCCAAGGACUCAGCCCGCAAACGAAAAAGCCAUAACCCGUAUGGCCGAGUUUGUGACCGAGAACCCCAACAUCUUUGAAGAGUUGGGAAGAUACCUGAAGAGGCAAGGCAAACAAAAGGCCGAGUCCUCUAAAAGGAUGUCAGAUGGGUCUCUUGAGGACUCAUCUGAGGAGGAGUCGGAUGGAAGGCACUUAAGCCGAAGUGCCUCAAAGCGAGCAUUUUCUAAGGCCACUUCUAAGGUAGCCUCCCUGACCAAGGCGUUUUCCCGAGGGCUCUUGGGCCGACGACCCGAGGAAGAACCUCGGCCCUUGGGAAUACCCGGGGUGGACUGCAUGAGGGCUCCACCGUUCACGGAUGAUAUAAACGAGGAAAGGCUUCCUCCCAAUUUUAAGCUCCCCGCAGUACAAUCUUACGAUGGCCGAGGUGAUCCCGAGAAUCACAUCCAUACCUUCAUCUCGGCCUUCCAAAUAUACUGCAUCCCAGACCCUGUCAUAUGUCGGGCCUUUCCAGUAUUCCUCAGAGGAACUGCUCGAAAAUGGUUCUGAGCUCUAGAACCUAGGAGCAUUUCGACCCUGGGUGAAUUAGUGGAGAAGUUUCUCCACCGAUUUGUCUCCUCCCGACCUACGACUAGGACCUCGGCUUACCUGCUCACCGUGCAGCAGAACCCGGGAGAGUCACUCCGGUCGUACGUCCGGAGGUUCCAUGAGGAAAGCGUUCAGAUACCUGACCCCAAUGAGCAGGUAACCCUCGCUGCCUUUACCCAUGGACUCGUUGCCGGGGAGUUCAAUACGGGGAUCCAUAAAAAAUACCCCCGCACACUGCAUGAAUUGUGGUUGAAGGUUGAAAAGGGCAUACAGGCCGAAGACCUCCAUCGCAUGAAGAAAGAGGUCCAAGCCACCCGUCCAAGGGCUGAGCCCAGAAAGGGAAAAGACGCUGGCCGAACUGAAGUAGGGUCGGGAAGUGGCUUCCGAAGUCCUGGCCGAGACCGCCGCAGCGUGUUCGACAGGAUAUCCAAGGGGAAGUCACCUAUUCCCGAGUCCGAGUUGACUCCUUUAAAUACUACCCGAUCUCACGUGUUGUCCGUGAUGGAACAAAACAACCUCGGCAAGGGCCCGCCGAGGAUGUUUGGAAGCAGAGACAAGAGGAACUCGAACCUCUACUGCUUGUAUCAUCGUGACAUUGGUCACGAAACUGAGGAUUGCAACGAUCUCAAGAAGGAGAUCGAGAACCUCAUUAGACGGGGACACUUGAAACAGUUCAUCCGCAGAGGUGGAGGUCACCAACGUGACGAAAACCGGCAUGACAAAUGAGGUGACCAACGCCGAGAUGAGCGGCGGAGCUCCAGAAGCAGUUGCCGACCUCCUGAGGAUCCCAGGGAGACGAAAAGGCCUCCCCCAGACGGAUCUUCGGGACAUGGGCCAACCAUUGCCCGGGUCAUUAACACCAUUGCCGGAGGUCCGACGGGAGGGGACAGUCAGAACUCCCGGAAGAGAACCUAUAAGCAGGCUAACCCGGAUCAGGCCGAGUCGAGUUCUCGCCUGUCCGAGGUGAUCACCUACGGGCUCAGUGAUCCCAUCCCAGCUGCAUCCAGCAGUCAUGAAACCUUGGUGAUUGAAGUCCUCACCAAUAACUACAUUGUGAAAAGGUCUACAUAGACCCGGGAAGUUCAGUUGACGUCAUGUACCUCCGUACCUUUGAGAGCCUUAAAAUGGCUAAGGGGUGCAUGACCCCGCUGAGAACCCCUCUUGUAGGGUUCGGGGGACACGUGGUGCACCCCGAAGGGAUGGUGACUCUGACAGUGACCAUAGGGCAUCACUCUCGCUGUAGAACCGUCCCUGUCAAUUUUGUGGUGGUUAAGGCUGACUCCCCAUACAACCUACUUUUAGGUCGGCCUACGCUCAAUGCCUUGCGGGCGGUCUACUCCACCUACCACCUGAGCUUCAAGUUUCCUACCCCAGCAGGGGUGGCCGAGGUCAGCAGCGACGUCUGUGCUGUCCGGGAGUGCUACCUCGCCACCCUACAAGCAGCCUCCCCGUCUACCUCCGGUGCGAGGUCCGAGAAGAGGUCAAAUAUCCUCUCAAUAGAUAGCAUCGAUCCUCAGUGAGCUGAGAAGGUCCCGAGGCUGGAGACUGGGGAUGAGGUGGAAGAGAUUCCCCUGGACCCCACGAAACCUGAUCAGACAGUUCGCGUUGGUACCCGAUUGCCCGGUCCUAUCCGAAGAGGUAUGAUGGACCUCCUCAGGGAAUACCGGGACGUCUUUGCUUGGGCCGCCGAAGAGGUCCAAGGAGUCCCGCACCAUCUCAUGAUGCAUGACUGAACGUCGACCCCCAAGUCCGUCCGGUCAAACAGAAGAGAAGGCACAUCGGCCCUGAGCGCAGCCAAGCUGUUGGUGAGGAAGUGGACAAGCUUUUACCCGCUAAAAUAAUCCGAAAAGUCCAAUACCCGAUCUGGUUGUCUAACUCGGUCAUGGUCAAGAAGGAUACGGGGGCUUGGAGAAUGUGCGUCGAUUUUACCGACCUCAACAAAGCCUGCUCCAAGGAUUGCUACCCCUUGCCCAAAGUCGAUACUUUGGUAGACUCAGCAAUGGGCUACGAGAUCCUCUGUUUCUGGGAUGCAUUCAAAGGCUAUCACCAAAUUGGGAUGAGUCAAGAAAACCAGGAGAAAACGGCCUUCUACACCGACCGCGGCACGUACUGUUAUACUACCAUGCCAUUCGGGUUGAAGAAUGCCGGAGCCACUUAUCAACGCUUGGUCAACCAAGCAUUCAAGUCUCAAAUCGGCCGGAAUGUUGAGGCCUAUGUAGAUGACAUCCUCCUCAAAAGCCAGACGAACUCCACCUUCCUGGCCGACUUGAAGGAGGUCCUUGACAUCCUGCGGAAGGUGAAAAUGAUGCUGAACCCCAAGAAAUGUGUUUUUGGGGUCACCUCGGGGAAAUUUCUAGGUUACCUCGUCUCAAGGCGAGGUAUCGAAGCAAAUCCGGAUAAGGUGCGAGCCAUCCAGGAGAUGUCUCCACCCCGGUGCGUCCGCGAUGUCCAAAGGCUGACAGGGCGAUUAGCCGCCCUGAAUCGGUUCUUAUCGCAGUCGGCAGCUAAAGCACUGCCCUUUUUCAAAGUGUUGAAGAAAGCUGACCAUUUCUCCUGGACGGAAGAGUGUCAACAGGCGUUUGAGCAGUUGAAGGAUUACCUUCACUACCUUCCAACGCUCACCUCACCUCGUCCGGGGGACAAAUUAAUCUUAUACCUUUCUGCUGCGGCCGAAGCGGUGAGUGCCGUGCUGAUAAGGAAGGAAGGGGUCCAAAUGCCCGUCUACUACGUUAGCCGAGUCCUCCGAGGUCCAGAGACCAGGUACACACAAGCAGAGAAACUUGUGCUAGCCCUGAUCCACGCCGCCCGCAGACUCAAGCCCUACUUCCUAGCUCACCACGUCUGCUUGAGGACUGAUCAACCACUUCGGCAGAUUUUGACACGACCAGAGGUUUCGGGACGUCUUACCAAAUGGGCCAUUGAGCUGGGGGAGUACGACCUAACUUAUGAGCCUCGCACAGCGAUCAAGGCCCAGGCUCUCGCAGACUUCGUAGCCGAGCUCACCUUUGACGAGGUGCAAGGAUCCGUCCCGGCUGCCACAUCGGCCACAGUUGAUGUGGCCACCACUGGGCUCCAGCGGUGGAUCCUACACGUGGACGGUUCGUCAACAGUGAGGGUAGUGGAGCAGGCUUGCUCCUCGAAGACCCCCAAGGAGAAAUAUGCUAAUAUGCCUUAAGAUUUGACUUCGCUGCUUCAAACAAUGAAGCUGAAUACGAAGCCGUCAUUGCUGGACUGCAGCUAGCUCGCAAGCUCGGGGCCGCACACAUCUUGGUUUAUAGUGAUUCCCAACUCGUCGUGUGCCAGAUAUUAGGUGAGUACGAAGCCAGGGACGAGGUGAUGCAUCGUUACCUCUCCAAGGUCCUCCAGUUGGCGACUCACUUCGAGUCUUUUGAAAUUCAAAGAAUACCGCUAUCGAAAAACAGAAGGGCUGACGCCCUCUCCCGGCUUGCCUCAACCUCUUUCUCUGACCUGAACAAGACGGUUCUCGUUGAAGUUCUAGCCGAACCAGGAUAUGUAGCCGAGGUAGUAUACCCCGUCUACCCUGGGGACACCUGGAUGGGUCCCCUGACUCGAUUUUUCAGCCAGGGUGAGCUCCCCGAAGACCGAGCUGAGUCACGGAAGCUCCAACGAAAAGCAGCACGGUACAUUCUCCGACAAGGCCUUUUAUACAAAAGGUCUUACCUCGGCCCUUAGUUGCGAUGUAUCACGCCCGAGGAAGGCCAGAGAAUCCUCCAAGACAUACAUGAGGGGCUCUGUGGUGCUCACGUCGGCUACAGAAUGCUGGUAAAAAAGGCUUUGUUACUUGGGUAUUUUUGGCCCACUAUGAGGAUAGAUGCCCAGGUCAUGGUCCUUUGCUGCCCCUCCUGCCAGCAUCACGCUCCUGAGCACCACCAGCCGACCAAUUUAAUGAUCCCUAUCACCUCGUCAUGGCCAUUUGAGCAAUGGGGAACGGACAUAAUUGGCCCCUUUCCCAGAGCUCCAGGCAAUUAUACCUACGUGGUGGUAGCAGUGGACUACUUCACCAAAUGGGUCGAAGCUGAACCCCUAAAAAAUAUCACUGGUGCGGCAGUCCAGAAAUUCUUCUGGAAGAAUGUGGUUUGCCGCUUCGGCCUACCCCGGGUGAUCAUCUCGGAUAAUGGCCGACAGUUCGCCGAUAAUCCUUUCAAGGCCUGGUGUGAGAACCUCGGGGUCAAACAGCAUUUCACUUCGGUGGGACACCCCCAAGCCAACGGACAAGCCGAAAACUUCAAUCGCACGCUCCUCCAUGGCCUCAAGACCAGGCUCCACCAGGCUGGAUCGUUUUGGAUGGAAGAGCUCCCCAGUGUGCUGUGGUCCUACCGAACUACGCCGAGAUCAGCAACCCAGGAAACCCCGUUUUCCUUAACCUACGGGUCAGAAGCUGUUGUUCCAGCCGAAUUCAUCACCCCGAGUCCACGAAUGGCCGCAUAUGCUGCCGAAGUCAAUGAAGAAGAACGGCGAGUUGACCUCGACCUCGUCGAAGAGAAGCGUGAUAUGGCCGCGGCCAAAGUUGCUGUUUACAAAAAUAUCGUAGCUGGCUACUACAACGCUCGGGUUAAACAUUUGCGGUUCAGUCCGGGAGACCUGGUGCUCAGGAAGAACUCAGUCAGCCGGGCUGAACCUCAGGGUAAACUAACCCCCAAGUGGGAGGGACCAUACCGUGUUGUUGAGUCCAGCCAAAAUGGAUAUUGUAAAUUGGCAUACCGAGAUGGGUCUCUGAGUGCCCCGAACUUGGCAUGCUGAAAAUCUUAAGUUGUACUACCCUUGAGGGUAUGUGCUUUUAAUCUUGAGUUAUUUCACACUUAUUUUCAUUUCAUUAUAAGUGAAAAAUAAGGGGACAAAGUAGCAGUAAAGAGGAAAACCGAAUUUAAUUAAAAAGAAAGCAAGAAUAUGAACUCAAUUCCAUUGAAUUACAUAAAAGUAGAAAGCCGAGGUCACCUUUAAUUAGGAAGAAAGCAAGAAUAUAAACUCAAUUCCAUUGAAUUACAUAAAAGUAGAAAGCCGAGGUCACCUUUGACCUCGGCCUACAAUGACAAAAAAAAAAACAAGUGCCUCUAGGCACUCCCUACCCUGACAUCCUGGCCCCCCGUGGUCGCGCCACCCGUUUCGGCACCCUGUCCACCCUCAGCUCCUCCACCGGCCUGGUCGUCUUCAGUACCAUCUAGUUCAAACUCCUGGAGCCAUUUGUUGAAUUCGGCUCGGACUUCGGUUAGGUCUUUCUCAGUCCGGAUGCCCUCAGCCAUGCUGUCGCAUAGCUCCUUGGCAUCCUCGUUAUAGUGCGAAGUGCUCUGAAGGGACUCCAGUUGUUCAGAGGGAAGAAAGGAUGCCGCGUCAUUAAUAGCCGACGUGUACCCGAACAUGAAGCUUGGCCGGGUGAGCUCGCCGAGGUCACGGAUGAAGGACUCUGACGUCCGGAAGGCUUCCACAGCAGUGACCCCGGCCUUGUCCAUGGCCUCCCUGUUUGACUGUUCUUCUUGGGCCCUCCUUUUUUUCUCCUCAUCAAGAGCAGUCACCAGGGAAUUGUUCGCGACCUCGGCCCUUUUGUUAGCCGCCUUGGCCUUGUCACGCUCCAACUCGGUUGCCUUCAGUUUUUCUUCCAACUCGGCAAUUCUCUUCUGGAGCUCGGCAGGAGGCUCAUAGUUUUCCAUGAACUUUCCAUACCGUUGAAUCAUCUCGACAAAAAAAGCCGUGGUAGAGGCCCAUGACACCGAGGCGCUCUGCAUCAACUCCCCUGCGGAGAGCUUCCUAGCAUAAGUGCUAUCUCGUGGCAGCACUGAAUGCACCAAGAGCUCCUGAGCGACCAAAGGGUUCUUGCAGCGAUCGUUGAAAUUAAUCUCCCACUCUGGACACCAGUGUGAUCCGGGGUGUCUCUUGUCCUCCUCAGCUGCCUUGAAAGGCACAUGAUGGAGUUUGAACAAAGAUGACCCCGUGACGGGGUUCUCCGGAAAUAUGGUCACACCCUGACCCCGGGGGGGAGUGGCAAUCGUGACCCAGCGAGAAGGGAUUCCCACCGGAAUUGCCGAGGCUCGGGAACCUCCCGGAGUGGCCGAGGUGUGCGAGCCCUCGCCCACGAUCACCACGGCAGGCUCGCGGUCGCCCGACGCCGCGGUGGUUUUCUUAGCCGGCCUGGAAGAGGACCCUGCAGUGUCCUUGCGCUUUUUGGGAGCUCUUUUGACCACCUCGACAUCUCCCGAGGUUAUCAGGUCGAAAAUCUUCGUCACUGCAAAGUAGGAGACGAAGUCAGUUAGAAUUCAAGAGGGAUAAACUAAAAGGGAAGAAAUGGAAAAAUACAAAGUCUGUGAAGCCUAGUCGAGAGUAAGACAGGCUGGUCAGAGCUCGUCAAGGCUCAACUGAUCCCGCCUUCCACGAGCACCACUUCGGGAAAAUCCCAGCAGUUUAUCCUGAGGCCCGACCCCGUUAACUUCUGGAAGUUACGCUCUUCUAACUUCCCUGGAGAUAUCUCCUUGAUCGAGGUGGGAGGCCUCCACCAGAAUCCGCGAGGGAAGUCAUCGGCCGAGACGAAGAAGAAGUUUUGCUUCCACUCCUUUAUUGAGUUCGGAGCAUCAACCACCAACUUCGGAACUUUGUUUCCGAAGUAGAACCAUCCUUUUUCACUUCUGCUGUUCUUGAGUGAGUAACAGCGGCGAAAGAGGUUGACCUAAGGUUGUAUCUCCUGAUGUCGGCAAAGUAGCUGGAAGCCAACGAGAAUGCGAAUAGCGUUAGGGGUGAGUUGAGUGAUUCUCACCCCCCAGUACCUCAGGCAGUCCCGAAGAAACCUCGUCGUGGGCACUCUGAGUCCGGCCUCCAGCUGUUCCUGAUAGAUAGUCACCUUGCCCUUUGGUGGCAGUGCGGCUGACUGAUGCGGUUGGGGUAUGUAAAUACUAUAAUCCCUUCUCCAGGGAUACCUGCGGACCACCUCGGCUAUUGAGGCUUGUCCCAUACCACUACUGAAGAACGGCAUCUGGCCGUAGUCGAGAGUUGCCACGUUUGGAGGAGUGGAAGGUUCUUGUACUCCCUCGUCUCUAGGGAUCUCAAUCCCGAGGUCAUCGUUGUAUAGGACCUCGGGCUGGACCUCGAUCUCCUCGGGCUGCACCUCAACCGCCUCAGCUCGGCGUGAUGCCUCGGCACCUCCACCCUCAGCUUGGUGAGAUGCCUCAGCACCUCCGCCCUCGGACGCGGUCCUUUCCUGGGAGGGGUCAGGCCUCUCUGCCUCAGUGAGGUCAGGUCUCACUGUCUCUUUGUGCGUACGAGCUGUUCUAGCCAUUGUAUCAGAAGGGGAAGAAGUGAACUUACUUAGAAUCUGCGACUGGAAGAAGAUGCCGAAGUAGACGUGGUUUAGAAAGGUUGCCGAAGUGAAAAGAGAAAGAAACAGAGUUCUGGGGUGAUUCUUGAUUUUUGGUGAAGAGUAAAACGGUGAAAAAAGACCACUAUUUAUAGGCCACCAGGGUGAAACCCAAGAGACGGCACCCUCUCUCUUCAUUAAUGGGAGGACUGUUCGUCUGCCAACACAGCUGACAGCCGUCCCUUCAGUUAUCACUCAGUCCCAUCUAUGCGGUCAUGACGUGUCCGUGUUCCGUGUUUUAUACGCUUCUCAGCUUCGGGAAGUAACGACCACGGCGGAUGCCCAUCUCGCCCUUCUCAAAGCUUGGGGGGCUUAGUGAGGAGGGCCAUUUAGGCUCGGAGCGCCCGAGGCCUAGUUCCCCAUCAUUUCCUGAAGUGCCGCCUCGGGUAUUAUCCUGGAAGGCGAUCGCGGCCCAUUUACCACCUCGGCUACAAUGUCAAGUCGUAACACCGAGGUGGACAUUGAAUGACAACUACGAAAAGGGGAGAUGUGAUCUCUGACACCUGAGCAAAGGCUGCUCUGACCCGCCGCCUGAAUCUGACAGAAUGUCCCAUCACGUCUCUUCAUGGAGACCGGUCAAGUCCACCUGAUCCACUGACUAUCUCAGAUCUUUUGGGACCCGUGCAAACAUCUCCUCUCUCCUAUCGGUCCCCUAUAAAUACACAAUAUUUCUACUGAAAAAGGGGAUGACCAAUUUCUGGUAAAACACACUCCACUCAUUACUUACUUCUCUAUAUCCGAACUGACUUAAGUUUCGGAGUUAUACCGGGGGAUCCAGCCCCUUUUCUUAUUCAAGCAGGUGACUUCGUCCAAGAGAGUUGCCCAAGGUAAAGAUAUUCUUCGAAUUGAGGUGACUCACUCCUGCGGGUCGAAAAUCACCUCUUCAAAUGGUAGAAAGUUUUCUUAAGAACCAAGAACAGCAUUAGUAUUCCCUCUGCUUCCAAAAACUUGUGUAUUAAAUAGAUUAAUGAAUUGUUUAACAUGCUCAUCUACUUGAAAAUGCACAAUACCCAUAACCCACUGAAAUUUUUGCAGGAAAAGGGAAAGAGAAUCUGUGUUUGAGAGCUUCAUGAAGAUGUUGAAGAAUAAGAAUAAAAGCCCAAUGCGAGGAUGUUUUCAAGUUUUUCUAUGUCCACUUUAAUUUGUAAAUUGAAUUUUACAACUCAAUUAAUUCCUUGUUUGUGAGGUACGUAUUGUUUUACGUACCAUGCCGUACAUGUUUGUAAGGAUUUCUAUCCUAUUGGCAAAAGUCGGUUCCAUACAAUUAAUCAAUUCAUUUCACUUCUAUUGGCUCUACUAUUUAUGCAUGUUACGACACUCUUUCCCUUAUAUUUUGCCUUUAAUAUUAUGAGUCAAUAGUAAUAAUGGGCCUUUUUCUUAAAAUUAUACUAUUAUACAUAGGUAGUUUGGUCUAACGCUAAAUUCAUGUUUGUCUUUCUUUUAUUCCCUUUACAUCUCAAAGUAUACUAUAGUUUGUAAUCAUUGUGGUGAUGAUAUUACCAGCUGGUACUUAUAGUUUAAGGCAGAGACAUGAUAUUAACAACUAUCUCAUUGAAACAUAAGUCAAAAUCAUGACAAGUGUGAGUCUUGGUUAAUGCACAAUUUGUUAGUGGAAUUUAUAUUUAUAAAACUCAAAAAAAAUUUUUGACAAUGCUAUUACUAAUUAAUUAAGGACUUCAUUGCUAUAAUUUAUCGCUUACUAGUUUAAACUAUAAAUGAUCUCAAUACUUUUCUCCAUGAUGUCGAUUUCUUUAGACUACGAAAGGGAAAAAUUAGUGACAUAUCCCUUACUGAUUACAACAUCAGCAAAAAUUAGUUAUAAACUUUUCCGGUGGUUUUAAAUCCCUCGGGCACUAAGGUUUUUUGCACAUCGAGUGAAUUAAGGAACAUAGGCAAUUCGUUCUGCAUACCAAGUCCUUGUUUAAGAUGCACGUACUAAAAUGCAUCCACUUCAUUAAUUUGGAAAAUUGCCAUAGUUUUUUUUAAGCAUUUUGAUUUUUUACAUGAUUCAAAAUUUUCUUAUUGGAUACAAUCACUUUGUGUCAAGAACACAUUUUCAAUCAUCUUUUUUAUCUUCUCAAUAAGAAAAUAAAAAUUUAUUCAUGCUUUUCUAACAUAUCCAAUCAUUGAUCUGAAAAAUAAAGAAUUAAAAAAAAAAGACAUUUUCAAUCAUUGCUUACAGGGCAACUUCCCCAUGUGAACCUCUUCAAACAAAGCCAAUAAUAUGAAGGAACAUCUAAAUACACUUUUGCCCUAAAGGCUGGUUGCCUUGGGGUCAAAAUUUAACCUUCGGGAGUAUAAUUACCCGCCAAAUUUAUUAUUUUUUAUGGGUAUAUAGUUCCAAUUUUGCCUCCUGUUAAGCUUAUAAAUAUAUUACGACCCAGAAAAUAAAGGAAUCUUGAAUAGUAACAUGUCCAUUGACUUGAGUUGUCAUCAAUUUGGCUACUUCGAUUCCAUGAGGCCAAUCCAAUUCACACUAGCUAGAGAAAAUGGUGAUAAAGGCACUUAGAAAUUUAUAUGUAAUAUUGAUUGGUAGUAACUGAUAAGUAUAUAUUUUACGUGUUUUAAAUAUGUUUUAUUAGUUAGUUUUGGUGUGUUUUAACUACUUUUAUAACUAAUUAACUAGGAAUCUAGUGAAAAUAUGCAUUUUGUGGUUUGAAGUGUGAAAAUUGUAUUUCUAUGGAUUUUAAUGGUGAAAACUUCAUGUUUUUGUAGGUUUAAUGAUUCAAUCAUCAAAUGACAUGAUUUGAGAAGAUAAUUAGAUGAUUGAUGAUGUUUUGAAGUGAUAAAAAGAGAAUACAAAGUGCAAGAGAGGAAAUGCAAUCAAGAAUAAAAGAAGAAAAUUUUUGUAGCUUUGACAUAUUGUGGUAUUUUGGCAAUAUAUUGAGCUACAAUGAUUGGAUUAAGGUGAUUCUUAAACCAUUUGAAGCUAAGAUAUAGAUCUACAUUUGGUAUGAAGGCAUCGAAACCCAUGUCAGUCAUUUUCCUUGUCAAAAUGUUGAAAUACAGAAGUGCAACUCUGUUCUCGAAAGCUAAAACAGAGCUCUGGCUAGUCGAGGGUAUUUUCAUCAUUUCUUAGUCCACAGAGCUCCAAAUGAGAUGAUUCUUAAGGCAUUAGAACCCUAACUCAAAGAGCUACAACUUUCAUAUUUUGUACAAGAGUUAGUUCGGCCUCCAUCAUUCAGAAAAUAGUAGUUGAAGUGGUGCCAAAUGCAUAGAAGUGAAAACGCGAGCUAUCAAUACUCGACCUGAAGUCGCGUAUUCCUGAGGUCAUGCAUUCUCUUCUAUUUUCUGCAACUUGCCCUGCUUUCACAUAAUUUUUUCAUCUCAAUUCCAACUAUCAAUUUCGGCUAUAUCUGAUCAAGAAAAGUGUGGAAAGUUUGAAAGACAACUCAUAGGAGUUUCAAGAGUCAAAAAUUACAAUUAGAAACAACUCAUUUGGCUCUUGAAUCCUCUAUAAAUAGAGGCCUUUGAAGAACAUUUUCACAACUUUGGAAGGUUAGAGAAACUCCACAAAAACAUAGUCUUCACUAGAAUUUCCUUAGUUCAUUAGUUAGGGUAGUAUAGUAUAGUUAGUGUAGCUUUUCCUUCUUGUAUUUAUAGUUAGGUUUGAAUGAAGAUUCAGGAGCAAAGAUAGAGAGGUUGAUCUCAUGUGACAAGGGUGAUAUCUCUUCUACUACUUUCUCUUUUGUAUUUGAUUUCAUAUUUAACUAUACUACAAAUUUGGCUUUGUUUUUUUUUUUUAUCAUGUUUAGUUAAAGUUUAUGCCUAGAGUAUGGAUGACCUUUCUAUAUCUUGUUUGUGAUAUUUAACUGGUUAUUUGAUGAUGUUAUUUUUGAGCAAGUUAUUUAUCACUUUUGCUUUUCUAAUCGUGAUUAACUGGCCAUUAGUUGUGAUUAUCUAAAAGUGUUAAGUUUGUAAUGAGAAUUGGAGUUUAACACUAGUUCAAGGAAGUGAUAAAUUUAGGGAGUUCACUCAUGAGAGUAGAGGAACACCUUUGUGACCUAAGUGACUUGUUUCAUAUAAUUUCAUAGAAAAAAUGAACUUGUAAUUAAUUUCAUAACCACGAGAGUAAGUAUGGUUUAGCUAUAUGUAUAGUUGAUUCACUACGAGAGUAGGUUUCACAUACAUUAGAAAAUUACAUCAUAACUAGUCAAGAUAAUAUCAUUCAUUUAAUCAGUAAUCUCAUUUGCAUGAGUAGUAAGGCAUUCCAUAUCUCUAGGAGGUUUUUAGUAUUAUUUUCAUUACUUUUAUGUUUAUGGUAGUCUAGAUAAUAAUGGAGUUCAAAAACUACUAGUAAUUGAAAAUUUUCCCUGUGGGAUCGACCUUUAAUACCCUAUACUCGCUCUCGACUCGUAUACUUGCGAAAAAUCACGUGUGCGGUAUUUAGAAUUUAUAAAUGUAAAACUUGACUGUAGAUGAACUAAUUGAUAUAUGUAUACCCCGCACUCGUCAGUAACCAGCUUGUAUUGAUCCCAUUAUUGUGGAUAAUUGUGCUCUUAUGAAAAAAAAUUAUAAAAAAAUUAGCAAAAUUUAUGAUAACAAAUUAAAUUUAUUCAUACAAAUCAGUGAAAGAAGUAGAAUUUUAAAGACCAUGAUGAAAUUAAUACUUUCAAGGGCUCUAUUAGGAAGACUUCACUUGUUGGUGAAACUACACUAGCACAGUUAUAUGCACAUUUACUGUUUUGGUAUCUAAUUUCCUUGCCUUAAGUUGGGUGCAGAUGUUUAUAUUACAAAUAGAUGGUAUCAUAAAAUUGUUGUAUUCACGUUUGUUCUUUUUUUUUCUUCCUUAAGUUUUUUUCUUUAUUCUCGUGACUUCAAAAAUACGAACUCAAGAAAUUGGCUGCUUAAUCAAUAUGUCAUACAGGCUUCGCUAGUGAGGUAUAACUUCACAACUAGAGUCAAUAGAAAUUAUCAAAUGAUUUUUUAACAUCCAAAUUAAGCAAUAAAUUUUGUUUUCAUUUUAUGACAUAUAAUAGUACUACUUCAUGAGAGAUUUUAUAGUUUCUUUUAGGUAUCAUACCUACAAGUGAUAUUUGUCAUUGGAUAGUGACAGAAGUGUUAAUGAUUGUAAGAUUAAAUAUUGUUAAAUAUUGAAAUUUAAACUAUUUAUCUUUAUUGAAAGAUACAAGUUAAAGAAUCGUUCAAGGGGGCAAUUUUCCAUCUUGUCUUUUUGAAAAAACGCUAUCACAUUGUAUAGGCAUGAUAGGUUCAAAUUUGUCAUUAAAUUUAUGAUUGAUUUCCCUUUUAUUCAAGCCAAAUAUUGUUUUAAUUAUCAAAUUCUACUUAUAUUUGGUUAAUUGUACUAAUUGUAGGGCGGUAGAGCAAAAGUUGCUAAAAAUAGGUGAUUUUCUGCAAAUUGGUUGUCAAGGCUGAAGGAUUUGGGAUUCGCAUGUUCAAGGCCUGUUUCCAAGUUUGAUUCAAACUCUGGACAGUUUUAGAGGAAGAUUUGGAAGAUUUGAAAUUUCAUUAUUAGUUUUAUGGUUGAAUUAGGAAUCUUGGAAUAAUUUCUUUUGUGAUUUAUUUUUCUAUUUAGGAGACUAGUUGUUAUUUAGUAGUAGACUUCAAUUAGAAAACAAAGAGAAAAAGAAGGCCGGAAUCCCGCUUGAUUAAUACCUUGGCCAGGGAACAAUCUCGGUGGGGAGGACGGCCACUUAGCCUCUCAAUUCAUCUUGCUUUUCGUUAGUUUGAGAGGAAAACCAAUUGCAACUAGAUUCAAUGGAGUCUGGCAGAAUUUCUUCUAGGAUGCGUAGCUAAAUCCUCAAUUUUUAGUCGAAGGUCAAUUUGAAAAUUCGGUUCCAAAUAUCUGUGAAAUCGAAUUAUUUUACUUAUUUCUUUUAUUUAUUGGUAUUCGCACGUUUUCUGAUUUAACUUUUUAUGAUUGUUUUGUUAUUUGAAUGUCAAGGGUCCGAUAUUCGAAUUAACUUAAUAAUCUACUGCCAAAUUAACCGGUUAAAUCCGUAAUUGUUUGAUUGAUUAAUAUCAGUGGCGACUAGCGUGAUUGGUCCCAUGUUAGGAAAACGUCUGAUCUAAUUUAAACAAACCGUCGUAGCGUGUUUGUUGAUUAGGGUUGGACUUUUCUAAUUCUUAAUUCAAUUGAGAAAUUAAAUCUCCCGGUCGUACCUAAGAUUAUUUUUUUGUUAGCGAAAUAGUUAAUGGUCGUACCUUGACUAUCGAAAAAGUAAGGAAGAGUUGAUUGUUUAUCGCGUGUACGACAACUAUAAUCAAUCUAUUAAUGAGUAAUUGAAUUAUCUUUGCAUCAGUAAUCAGUUGAAUGGACCGUGUCUGAAAAGUUGUACCUUUGGCUAGAGUCUUAUCUGUUGUUGAUUCAUUCAUAUCUAUCUUCAUGCGUUGUUUUAAUUUAGUUAAUUAGUUAUUUUUAUAAAAACCCCUCAUCUCUGGACUCUAAAAGAAAUAAAUUAUUUCUAGUUCCUGUGGAUUCGAUCCUACUCACCGCUAUAUACAAAAUUUGUAUUUUUUUGAAUAAAUAAUUAUUAUUACACAGGCUUGACACCUGUCAAGGCAAAAUUUCCUUAACUUCAUCAUCUGUAGACGUAAACUUUCUACGGGUGAUAUAAUAUAAGGAAAUUUUGCCUAUACGAUGUGAUAGCAUUUUUUCAAAAAAGACAAGAUGGAAAAUUGCUCCCUUGAACGGAAAAAAUCAUGAUCUUUCCUCAAACUAGUCUACUAGUCAAUUCUUUACAAAAGAAUACUCGCUCCUAAACAUAGCCUGUUCAUCUACACUGUCCCGCAGAAUUCUAGAAAGUUAGGCAAAACUAGACAAGUUGACAGGUAUAAUCAUACCCAAGAUCAGGAACAAGCAGUUGCACAUUUCAAAAUUCGCUGCUGCAACAGCUAAUUUGAUGACUUACAACACUACACGGUCAAACUUUGAAUGGCAAUGGAUCUUUUGUUGUACGUCAUGAUGUAAUUUUCAUGUUACAUACAUUAAUAGGUUGAUAUCUAUAUUCUUUAAAUUAUCAUGAUAAUACCCUUAAUUAGAUUUAACUGAUAAAAAGAACACGUGUUAAUAUACAAAAGUGUGUAACGUGAAUGUUACAUUACUGUAUUGCAGAAGACCUAUAGUCUCUUCAUAUCUCUUCCUGCACGUAUCAAUUCGUUUCCUCUAGAUAAUAAUCUCCCAACUCGUUUCUUUACAAAUGCACCUUUUAUGUUUUAUUACCUCCAAAAGCCUUUACAGGGUCUUUACCCUAAAAAUCAAUUCACCGACUCGCAUUUGAUGUCAGAAAUUCUUAAGACGAAUUCUACUUUACUCAAAGAUUGACUGUUAAUAAUGAGACAGCGACCAUUUUGUAUUAUUAGACCGUCCUUCUUGAUAGGUAAAAGAAAUAGAGAGGAAAGUGGGUCCGUAUAUGGUCUUUUAUUCAUAGAUAAUACAACAUUACGCCAUCGAGCAUUCACACAAUAUUUCAAAGUCAUAGCAUGCCUAAGGCCCUGUUUGAUAGCUCAAUUUCGUAAUUAAAUUUAAUAGAUUCAAAUUUUAACACAUUUAAAUCAUUUGAUAACAAAAAAUUGAAUAUUUAAAUUAAUUAAGUAACACUGAACUUUCUAAACAAAACUUGCUUUCAAAAUUAAGUGAUAAGUUAUUCACUUAUCUUUGAAUGUGAUAUGCACUCAAAUAUAUUAAAUUUAAUAAUUUAAUGGAUUCAGAUUUCAGAUUUCAGUUUUAUUACACACCCUAAGUUGCAAAAUAAUACCAAAACUUGUUAUUAUAUAGCUUGAGAUUCAAAAAUUUAGAGCAUAAUUCUCAACCUAACACAAUCGAAUAAUGAAUAUUCACGAUUGUUUCAAAGUACAAUUUGAGGACAACCCAUUCCAACGCGUACACGAUUUUUAACUUUUCUAAAGUUGUUGAGAGCUGUUAAAAGAGAUUUACCAUGUUUACAUCUUCCAAGUCUUGGAAGUGAAAAAUGAAGCCACUGAGUGCUAUAAAAAGGGGGCUAGAGGCUGCCUAGAAGCAUAUCAGCCUAAAACAAGAAUUUGUAGUAACAAUGGGGAGCAAAGCAAAAGCAACGGGGUCUAGGCUGACUCCUCUUCUUACCACUGUUUUAGUGGUAUUUGUCGCCCUUGGCUUGCCCUUGGAAACUGCAGCUGAUUAUUACAAGUAUUCAUCUCCUCCUCCUCCUCCUUACCACUAUUCUUCACCACCACCUCCAGUGUAUUCACCUCCACCAACCCCUGCUUAUAAGUUACCCCCACCAUCUCCUCCAGUUUACAAGUCCUCACCACCACCUUACCACUACUCACCACCUCCGGUGUAUUUACCUCCACCAUCUCCAGUUUACAAGUCACCACCACUACCCCCUCCGGUAUACAACUCCCCGCCUCCACCAGUGUACAAAUACAAGUCCCCACCACCACCUCCUCCAGUUUACAAAUCUCCAUCGCCACCAGUUUACAAAUACAAGUCACUCCCACCACCUCCUCCGGUAUACAAGUCUCCUCCGCCACCUGUUUACGAGUACAAGUCUCCUCCACCACCUCCUCCAGUGUACAAGUCCCCACCACCUCCAGUUUACAAGUACAACUCACCUCCACCUCCUCCCCCAGUUUACCUGUCUCCACCUCCACCCUAUCAUCACUACUACGGUUCUCCUUCUCCUCACCACUACUAAGCAAGUGCAUAAGUUUUGAGGUAAUAAUACCUAUCCAAAACUUUAUCAACACAAACUGCCAUGUAUAUUAUCAUGCUAAGGACGUACACUUGAUCCAUGAAAAUGACUAGUAGAAGAUUUUUUUUAAGAACCAAAGAAAUACAUUAUUUUUUCGGUCUGUUUUCAAGAAUUUGAGCAGUAUACAGAUUAAAGAGUGUUUUUUUUUUUGUAAACUUGCUUGUCAACUUAAAAAUGCACAUAGCUGAAAGCCAACUGAAUAUUUGCAGGCAAAGGAGAAGGCAAUCGGUGUUUGAGACCUUCAAGAAGAUGUAGAAGAAUAAGAAUAAAAGCCCAAUGCGAGGAUGAUUCCAAGUUUCUACGUUACCAUUUCUACAUCUAAAUUGACUUUAGCUCCUGAGUUCCAUGUUUAUGGGGUUUGUACCGUUUUACGUACCAUGCAGUACAUGCUUGCAAGGUUUUCUGUCCUGUUGGCAAACUGCAGGUCCAUAUAAUAAAUGAAUACUAUUUACAUUACGACACUUUUCUCUUUUUCUCUUAUAUUUUGUCUUUAAUAUUGUUGAUCAUUUUUUUUUUAUCAAAAGCAUCAAAUGCUUAGGUAAUUUGGUCUAAUGCUAAUUGUUUUACUUUUAUUUUUCACCUACACCCCUUUUCAACUCAAAGGAUGCUAUAGUUUGUGAUAAUUGUUUAAGACCGAAGCAUGAUACUAAUAAAUAUCUCAUUGAAAGUCAAGGAAACUAACAUUAGGAAAAGUUUAAAUCUUGAUUUGAUGAAACUAUUUAUUCGUGGAAUUUAGAGAUACAAAACUCAAAUUGUGACGGUGUUGUUGCUAAAUUAUUAAGGACAUUAUCACCAUUAUUUUUCCCUGAUCACUAGUUUCAACUGCAAUGAUCUCAAUCUUUUUGUGACUAAUUCUUUCCUUAAUAAUUUAUAAAGACAAAACUCACAAAGAAUAUGUGACUAAUUCUUUCCUUUCGUCUUCUAAAGAAAAUGCCAACUGUUAGUUUAUCAAGGGGAAAAAGGAUCGACAUCAGUUAUUAUUGAAACUAGUAAGGAAUAAAUAAUGGUGAUAAUGUCCUUAAUAAUUUAACAACAGCACCAUCAGAAUUUGACUUUGAGCUUCGGUCUUAAACAAUGAUCACAAACUACAGCAUCCUUUGAGUUGAAAAAGGAAGUAGGUGAAAAGAAAAGUAAAAAAUACAAUUAGCAUUCCCUCAAAUUGUAGAAAGUUAGGUAGCAUUAUAGACAAGUUGAUAGCGGCAAUUUUACAUUUCAAACUUCACCUAUUCAAUAACUAAUUCGAUGGCUUGCUACAUGGUCAAUCUUUGGACCCCUUCCUGCCUCCAGAUAUCCCUUUCCUCAAUCAGGGGCUUCUACAAUUACCAGUUUCAAUUGUAUGGUAUAGUGUAAAUAUCAACAAAUUAGAUGUAGAUGCUAACAUAAUAAAUGUGAAUGCUAAGACAGCAACAUACAAUCGAACCUGCAAUUGUAUGAACCCCAAUCUCGCUUCCUAGUCCACCAUCUUUCUCUAGGUAAUAAUCUCCCUUCUAAUUUAUUCACAAAAUGCACCUUUCAUCACCUCCAAUAGCGUCGACAUGAUCUUUACCCUAGAAGACUAUUCACCGACUCUCAAUUGACGUCAGAAAAUCUAAGAGUAAUUCUACUUUACCCUAAGAUUGAUAUCAACAAGACAAGGACAAUUUAGAAUUAUUACACGCCUCUUCUUAAUAGGAAAAAGAAAUAGAGAAGAAAGUCAGGCCAGGUCUAAUUUCUUUUCAAAGGCAAUACAACAUUACGAAAUCAAGCAUUCAUUCAUACAAAUAUUUCAUAGUCACCGGUUUGCUGAGUAGAAAAAUUUAGACAAAAACUUAAUAUUAUAUUGUUUAAGAGUUAACAAUUUAGAGCUUAAUCUCCUUGUACUUUGGAGUUAACAAUUUAGAGCUUAAUCUCCUUGUACUUUGGACUAAACUUGAACGUGAAAGGAAAUCCCAAAACCAUAUUGGGCAUGAAUUCACACUUAAUAUACCCAAUAAAAGAUGGCGACUGGUGAAAGGCAGUGGAGACUGGUGGAGAGAUUUGAGGAAUAGAAGCAGACGGAAAAGCAACAAAUUUUUGCCGAAAAACGGUCACUUUCAUGGUUAAUUUUGCUACUCUCCAAUUGUACUUGACCAAUUACAACAAUUUCAUGGAGUUUGAUACGUGAAAAGAAUUUUUUAUAAAUUUUAUUUUGAUCCAUAAUGUUAUCUUUACAUAUAUAAAACAUUUUACAAUUUUGAUUUUGGCGCAGCUAACUUUUGGUUAACAAAAAUGCUCAUGUUUAAAAAACCAGAAAUAAAACAAAACAAGAAACAAAAGAAAUAAGAGGGUAGCAUAGACAUUUUGGAUUUUUCCGUUAAUUUGGAUGAUUUCCACCCACGUUCUAAUUUAAUCCAAAACACAAAGGAAUUACGUAGAGGUUUUAAAUAAUGAGGGAGCUUCAUGAUCGAACCCCAAACCACAAGGCGAUUUACUAUAUUUUACUCUUAAAUUUUGGUUUCAUCUCAUAGCAUACAAGAGUUCUAUUUCACUAUCUGUAGACAAAGACUUUCUAUGGUUGAUGUACCAUAGGAAAAAAUCUGCCUAUACAACGUGAUAGCAUUUUUUCAAAAACACAAGAUGGAAAAUUGCCCCUUAAACGGGGAAAUUCAUGAUCUUUCGUCGAACAAAGAAUACUCACGCCUAUUCAAGAUGGAAAAUUGCCCCCUUAAACGUCUAUUUGUCAAUUCUUGAAAAAAGAAUACUCACGCCUAAAACACGGCCUCUUCAUCUGCAGAAUUCUAAAAAGUUAGGUAAACUCUAUAAACAAGUUGAUAGGUACAAUCGUACCCAAGAUCAAGUACAGAUAGUUGUACAUUAACUGCUGCAAUAACUAAUCUGAUGACUUAUAAACAUAUCAUGGUCAAUCGUUGAAUGGUAAUGAGUCUUUUGUUAUGCAUUAGUAUUAGUGUGUACACUCUAAUAGAUUGAUACUUAUACUCUUUAAAUUAUCAUAAUAAUACCCUUAAUUAACUUUAACUCUUAAAAAGAAUACAUGUUAAUACACGAGUGUGUGUAACCUGAAUUGUUACUUAUAAAUUAGUGUGUAAUAGAUAGGGAUGGCAAUGGGGGCGGGUGCCCGCGGGGGGCUCUCGGGGCGGGGGUUGGGGCGGGGGGGAAUUUUUUCCCCCCGUUUAGAAAUGGGGCAGGGGACGGGGGAGUAUACCCCCGCCCCAUCCCCCGCAAAAAAAAAAUUAUAUAUAAUAUGUAAUUUAAUUAGUUAUAAACUUAUGAUAAUGAUAUUAUUAGUUAGAUGUAUUAUAUAAUGUAUAUUAGUGUAUGUAAUAUAAUUAAUAUUAUCAAUUAUAUGAAUAAUUAGACAUGUCUACUAAUAGAAUUUAUGAAUUAGUUAUACUAAAUUUACUAAUACAUUUAUACUAAAUUUCUAAUUACACUUAAUAGAAUAACACUUUUUUCUAAAACAAAAAAGCACAAACACAAUAAUGAAUUAGUGAUUGUAUGAUAGGGUGUAAUUUUACUAUUUAUUUUAUUAUUAAUUUCCCCUAUCACCUGACCUGAUGUGGAUUAAUUGCUGGAUUCUGCUCACUUUUAGUACUUUGUAUUUAUUUCAGGGAGUAGAACGGAAAUUUGAUAACAGGUGCUAAUUUGGCAGAAAAAGAGUCCAGAUGAUAGAGCUUGCCCCAAGGGCAUUUUUGGAAAGGAGAACUUGUGCCCAUCUUGGUAAUUUGGGAGAAAAGGGAAACAGACAAAAUGGGUCUAACAUGGAUUGGAAGCGGCCGCACAGUAGCAGGGAAGAGGGCAGACGUAAAAGCAAUUGCAGGGGGGAAAAGGAGUUUUUUUAGUUUUUAGCUUAGCAUCUGAUUUUCCCUGGGAGACUUUUGUUAAAGAUUUCCUUUUGGCUGAUAUUACGCAUGGCAGAUGGCUUUUAACUUAUUCCUCCAUCUUUGACUUUUCUUCUUUAGCUUGUGGCAGUGGAUUGCUACUUACGAAUGUCAGCACUUAGCCAUUCGUGGCUUUUGAUCUUUUCUUCCUUAGAAAUUCUGAGUAACCUCUUUUCCUUUGUGCGCCAGACGAAGUGAAAACUAUAAACUUUUGUAGUUUUUCUAUUCAUUCAAUAUAUUGAGACGAGUUGGAUUCUACCAAAUUUCAACGGACAUGGCCGCUGGUUUCUCUUCAAUUUUAUAUGGGCUUUGUUCAUCCAACAUGAACUAAUUUCACCACUCUAGUCAAGGAGCAACGAAGGCUCUGAUUUGCCUAAAAAUUGUGAGAUCGUUUUAAUUUAAUCUUUUCCUUUUAUUUAUUGGUAUCCGCACAUUUCUUGAUUGCUAUGCUUAUGGUUAUUUAAUUAAUUGAUUGUCUUGGAUCCAGAUAAUUAAUUGAUCUGAUAGCCUAUUGUCAAUUAGGGCAUUUAAAUCCGUAAUUGUUUAAUUGUCCUGAAAUAGUGACAACUGGCACGAUUAGAUUCGUGCCAGGGGGGAUAUGCGGGCUAAUCUAAAAUAACCCUGGUAGUGUGUUAUUUGGUUAGAAUAGGGCUCCUCUAAUACUAAGGCAAUUGGGGAAUUAAAUUCUACGGGCGUACCUAGGAUUAUUUCUUAAUUAGAGCAGUGAUUAACGGGCGUACCUUGAUCACCGACACAGUAAGGAGGGGUUGACCGUCAUCGCUUGUUUGGCAGUUAUAACCUAUUUAUCAGUAAAUAAUUGGGAUUGCCUUGCAUCAAUGAUCAAUUAGGUGAACCAUUGUUGAAGUUACUUCUUGGUUAGAUCUUUAGUUAAUAUUACCUUGAUUUUGGUGAAUUGCCAUUUGAUUUUUAGUUGCCUACUUUAUUUUAUUUUUAAUUGUUUCCUUGCUUUAAUUGAGUUAGGCCUUUAAUUAUUGUUAUUCUAAGUUUAGUGAAUUGUGGUUUAAUUCCUAAUUAGUUAUUUAUUUUUACUUUCUUAUUUGAAUUUAUUUGCUUGUUAUCAUUCCUACGAAAUCACCCCCCUGUGUUACUUUGGAUUUCUUAAGAAACAAAUAUACCCAAUCCCUGUGGAUACGACCCUACUUGCUCUGUUCACGAAUUCAUAAUUAUUUGUGAAAAGAAAUAACCAUUCCACUCGGGUAUAUCGGAUCAAGCAAAUUCUUCGGGAACAGGGUGAAUCAAGUAACCCAAUGCACACCUAGAGUCCCUGCUCCAGUACUUGGAAUUGGGUUUUGGUCAUUUUAACUGGCAAUUAGGUUUAAUUUUAUUAUUGCACAGGCUGACGACCCUGUCAAUUUUUGGCGCCGUUGCCGGGGACUGGCGUUAUUAUUUGUUUCUUUUUAAAUUCAUUCUUUGUCCUAAUUUUCUGGUUUUCUUCUAGUGUAUGCCUCGAUCUUCUCGUACAGGUAAUUUGAUUUUUGACCCUGAGGUAGAGAAGACCGCAUGUAGAACGAGAAAGGAAACCAGACAGCUCAGAGAAGAGCACUCCAGUGCUACAUCUCAGAGACCCGAGUCAGAAGUUGAACUAACAGAUUCGUUUGGUAACACUUCGAGUGACUCUGACCAGGAGGAAGACACCAUGGCUAAUGCACGAACAUUAAGGGAGUUGGCUGCUCCUGAUUUAACUCAGCAGCCUUUAUGCAUUACUUUCCCCACUUUAAAUGAUAACAUUCCAUUUGAACUAAAAUCUGGUCUGAUUCAGCUUUUACCCUCUUUUCAUGGUUUACCAGGUGAAGAGCCGUAUAAGCAUCUGCAGGAGUUUGAUGUCGUGUGUAAUAGUAUGAAACCCUCGGGAAUCACAGAAGAGCAGAUAAAAAUGAGGGCAUUCCUCUUCUCCUUGAAAGAUUCUGCGAAGGACUGGCUGUACUACCUGUCACCAGGUAGCAUCACCACGUGGGACCAAUUGAAGAAAAAAUUUUUGGAUAAAUAUUUUCCUGCGUCCAGGGCUGCAAGUCUAAGGAAAGAAAUUUGUGGGAUCAAGCAGCAUCCAGGGAAGUCACUUUAUGAGUAUUGGGAACGGUAUAAGAACUUGUUGCGCAGGUGCCCCCAACACCAAAUAAGUGAGCAAUUGAUCAUACAGUAUUUUUAUGAGGGGCUCCUUUUUAGAGACAGGAGCAUCAUUGAUGCCAGGGGGGAGGGUUGGGAUGGGUGGUACGGGGGGAGGGAGUGUAAGCAAGAGGUCUCGGGUUCGAGUCCUCCCGCUUACACACAAAAAAAAAGAUGCUGCAAGUGGAGGGGCACUGGUAAACAAAACCCCUCAGGAAGCACGGGAGUUAAUAGAGGGGAUGGCAGAGAAUUCACAACAAUUCAGUACAAGAGAGGAUGUCCCAAUACGUAAGGUGAAUGAGGUAGAGACACCCUCUAUGCAGCAGCAGCUAACUGAGUUGACCGCGUUUGUUAGGCAACUGGCUGUGAGAAAUGCAUCACAAGCCAGGGUGUGCGGGAUUUGCACUGGUAUGGGUCAUUCUGCAGACAUGUGCCCAAUGAUUCAGGAAGAAACUGCAGAACAGGUGAACAUGGCUGACCACGCGCCCGCGCCAAGGAAGCAGUACGACCCUUACUCAAGCACCUACAACCCCGGGUGGAGAGAUCAUCCCAACCUCAGUUAUGGAGAAAAUAGGCAGCCCAACAUUACACCGAACAGGCAGUCUAACUUUGUGCCAAAUAGGCCACCAGGGUACCAGCAGCAAUAUCAACCCCGACCACCUCCGUCCCCAAGCUCUGGCCCAUCUUUGGAGGAGAUGAUGAAACAAAUGAUGACAACUAUGGCUCAAAAUCAGCAAAUGACGGAGGCAACCAUUAUGCAAAAUCAGCAAAGGACGGACUCCGAAAUGAAGGAUAUAAGGAAUCAGAUAAGUCAAAUGGUCACAACAAUCAACCGUUUGGAUUCCCAGAACCAAGGUAAAUUGCCAUUUCAGCCCGAAUUAAAUUCGAAGAACGUGAGCGCAAUGACCCUAAGGAGCGGGAAAGAAAUUCAGGGGUCUGAACCUGUGAUCCCUAAGGAUAAGGAUGAGGAAAAGAUCGAAAAUGAGCUUGAAAGGGAGGACAGCAAUGGUGCAGAUCUAAAGGUACUUCCUGACCCAAUAAUUACAGCUAAAACUAACCCGCCUCCUUUUCCUAGCAGGUUGGAAAAAUCGAAAAAAGAGGAUAAGGAGAAGGAGAUCUUGGAGGUUUUUCGCAAGGUUGAGAUAAAUAUCCCCCUCUUAGACGCAAUCAGACAAGUACCAAAAUAUGCCAAGUUCCUAAGGGACUUGUGUGUCAACCGAAGGCAGUUGAGGGAAGAUGAACGGGUUAUUGUUGGGGAGAAUGUGUCAGCAGUCCUGCAGAGAAAGCUCCCACCAAAGUGCGGGGACCCAGGUAUGUUUACUAUUCCCUGUAGGAUAGGUAAUACUGUGAUAGAAGGGCCAUGUUGGAUCUGGGAGCAUCAAUUAAUCUCAUACCUAAAUCUAUCUAUGCUUCUCUAAAAUUAGGUCCAUUAAAAGAAACUGGAAUAAUCAUUCAAUUAGUUGACCGAACUAAUGCAUAUCCUGAUGGGUUGGUUGAAGAUGUGUUGGUAAAAGUUAAUGAUUUGAUGUUUCCAGCUGAUUUUUAUGUACUUGAUAUGGAUGAUGAUCACUCCCCUGAUCCCUCACCUCUGUUAUUGGGUAGACCCUUUAUGAGCACAGCACAGACGAAAAUUGAUGUUAAUAAGGGUAUCUUGUUCAUGGAGUUUGAUGGGAAAAUUGUGCAUUUCAAUAUCUUUGAUACUAUGAAAUAUCCCUCAAACUCCAACUUUAGCACAGUUUUCUCUGUGAGUGCUAUUGACCCUGUAGUGCAGGAAGUGUUUGAAACUGAUGGCAGGGAUGAGUUGGAGGUGGCUUUGACCAAGCACCUCGAGUUGGAGACAACUCCUGAGGUGGAAUGGAGCGAGGACCUAAAAUGCACAAUAGGUGCAUUACACUCAUUGCAGUCCACCACGAAAAGGUAUGAAGUCUUACCUAUUUUUACUCCCGAACCUCACCAGAGGGUGUUGCCAUCUGUGGUGCAGGCACCUGUACUAGAAUUUAAACCUCUAUCAGAGCACCUGAAAUAUGCAUAUCUGGGUGAUAAUGAGACACUCCCGGUGAUUAUCUCAUCGACACUGUCAAAAAUCCAGGAGGAGAAACUGAUCCGGGUCCUUAGAGAGCAUAAAGAGGCGAUAGGUUGGACAAUCGCAGAUAUUAAGGGGAUCAGCUCGGCCAUCUGUAUGCACCGGAUUAGACUAGAAGAGGAUGCCAAACCUGUUAGGCAGGCUCAAAGGAGGCUCAACCCCCUAAUGAUGGAAGUUGUAAAGAAAGAAAUUUUAAAAUUGCUAGAUGUGGGGAUUAUUUUUGCAAUAUCAGAUAGCCCUUGGGUAAGCCCGAUCCAGGUAGUCCCAAAGAAGGCAGGGGUGACGGUGGAGGCAAACCAAACGGGUGAGCUCGUGCCAGUGCGCAAACCCACUGGAUGGAGGCAGUGUAUAGACUACCGUAGGCUAAACGCCGUCACCAAAAAGGACCAUUUCCCUCUCCCUUUCAUUGACCAAAUGGUUGAACGUUUAGCUUGUAGAGCUUAUUAUUGCUUUUUGGAUGGAUUUUCAGGAUACUUUCAGAUAGCAAUUGCUCCAGAGGAUCAAGAGAAGACAACCUUCACGUGCCCGUUCGGGACCUUUGCUUAUAGACGAAUGCCAUUUGCGUUGUGCAAUGCACCUGCAACAUUCCAGAGGUGUAUGGUAAGUAUUUUUUCUGAAUAUGUGGAGAAAAUUAUUGAAGUUUUCAUGGACGAUUUCAGUGUGUAUGGUGAUAGUUUUGAUACGUGUUUAGAUAAUCUGAAAUUGAUCCUGAUAAGGUGUAUAGAGACUAAUCUUGUGCUUAAUUGGGAAAAAUGUCAUUUUAUGGUUGAGCACGGGAUAGUCCUGGGUCAUAUUGUAUCGUCUAAGGGCAUAGAAGUUGACAAGGCUAAAAUAGAUAUUAUUUUUGCAUUACCUUACCUCGCGAGUGUGCGGAAGGUGCGUUCUUUUCUUGGACAUGCAGGUUUUUAUCGAAUGUUCAUCAAGGAUUUUUCAAAAAUUGGAGCCCCGUUAUUCCAACUCCUACAAAAGGAUGUGACCUUCGAAUUCGAUGAUAAGUGUGAGGAAGCCUUCAACAAGUUGAAAGAAUUGUUGACCUCACCCCCAAUUAUCCAGCCCCCUGAUUGGAGUCUACCAUUUGAGAUCAUGUGCGAUGCCAGUGAUCAUGCCGUAGGGGCUGUAUUGGGGCAAAGAGUAGGGAAGGCAGCUCACGUCAUCUACUAUGCAUCCCGAGCAUUGAAUGGAGCCCAAUUGAAUUACUCCACUACUGAAAAGAAGCUUCUUGCAGUUAUUUUUGCUUUAGAAAAAUUCAGGUCAUAUUUGCUAGGUGCUAAAGUAAUUGUAUUUUCUGACCAUGCAGCAUUAAGGUACCUAAUGACCAAGAAAGAUGCCAAACUGAGGCUCAUUAGGUGGAUAUUGCUACUGCAGGAAUUUGACCUGGAGAUACGGGAUAAAAGGGGCUCAGAGAAUUUAGUAGCUGACCAUCUGAGUCGUAUACCCGUUGGAGAGGAUAAUGAACCAUUGAGGGAUGCGUUCCCUGAAGAGCACUUAUUUUCUUUAAAUUCUCAGUUGCCUUUGUAUGCCGAUCUGGUCAAUUAUUUGGUAACUGGUAAUUUUCCUGCAGGUUGACCAAAAUCGAAGAGGGAUAAAUUGAAGAGCGACGCCAAGUAUUUUAUUUGGGACGACCCGUACCUAUGGAAGAGGUGUGCAGAUCAAGUGAUGCGGAGAUGUGUAAGUGAAAUGGAAUUUCAAUCGAUUUUAGCUUUUUGUCAUACUUUUGCCUGUGGAGGUCAUUUGGACCCAAGAGAACUGCUCAUAAGGUUUUAGAAAGUGGAUUUUAUUGGCCUUCAUUGUUUAAGGAUGCCUAUGUGUUUUGUAAGUCAUGUGAUCGCUGUCAAAGGGUAGGUAAUAUACCCCGUAGAGAUCAAAUGCCCCAAGUCCCGUUGAUUUUUAUUGAAAUUUUUGAUGUCUGGGGUAUAGAUUUCAUGGGGUCUUUUCCUACUUCAUUUGGUUUUUUAUAUAUUUUGCUGGCAGUUGAUUAUGUGUCUAAAUGGGUGGAGGCUAAGGCCACUCGAACUAAUGACUCGAAAGUAGUUGCAAAUUUUGUCAGGUCUAAUAUUUUUGUGCGAUUUGGAAUGCCUAGUGCUAUUGUCAGUGAUAGGGGAACGCACUUUUGCAACAAAAUCAUAGCUGCGUUGUUUCGCAAGUAUGGUGUACUCCAAUGGGUCUCAACGUCGUACCACCCUCAGACCAAUGGUCAAGCGGAGGUGUCGAAUCGAGAGAUCAAGUCUAUCUUGGAGAAAAUGGUGCGCCCCGAUAGGAAAGACUCGAGUCAAAGGCUGGAGGACGCACUUUGGGCCUAUCGGACGGCGUACAAGACUCCUAUAGGGAUGUCACCGUACAGGUUGGUAUUUGGGAAGCCGUGUCACCUUCCAGUGGAGUUUGAGCACAAAGCUUUUUGGGCGAUAAAGUAAUGCAACAUGAAUUUAGAGGAAGCCGGUGCCCAACGAAAGUUGGAUUUGCAAGAAUUAGAAGAGAUCCGGAACGAGGCUUACGAAAAUGCACUAAUUUAUAAGGAGAGAAGCCGGAUAUUUCAUGAUCAACAAAUUUCAAGAAAAUCCUUUGAAGUUGGUCAGAAGGUCCUACUAUACCAAUCCAGGCUCAAGCUAUUCCCAGGUAAACUACGUUCCCGUUGGAUUGGACCUUUUCUUGUUACUCAUGUUUUUCCAUAUGGUGCAGUUGAAAUCCGGAGCGCUAAAACAGACAACAAAUUUGUGGUGAAUGGACACCGUCUCAAGCAUUACUACGAAGGAUUUUCAGGUGAAAAGGUGGAGACAAUAAGUCUAGACGCGCCACCGUGUCCUAAUCAGUGACAUUUUACUAUGUCUAGCCAAAGACAUUAAAGACAGGCGCUCAUUGGGAGGCAACCCAAUUGUCCCUUUUAAUUAUUUGUUUGAUUUCGUGUGAUAGUUUAAAUAUGUUUUCCUUGAAUUCGACUGAUUUUGGGUUUCAGUUUUCGUUUUUGCUGAAUUGUAGGUGACCUUCAGUCUUGACGCGCCCGCGUGAUGACAUGCAGGAAGCUCACGAUCAGAAUCGUCUGAAAGCUCUCUUGCCCUUUUGACGCACCCGCGUGAUGACGUGCAGGAAGCUCACGAUCAGAAUCGUCUGAAAGCUCUCUUGCCCUCUUGACGUGCCCGCGUCACGUUCGCAGGAAAGGUACGGGUUUCAAAAAUUUAAAGAAAAAAUAAUAAUAAUAAUAAUUUAAAAUUUUGAAAUUAACUUCCGUAAAAAAAAAAAAGAAGAAAAAAAAUUUCACCGUGGCUUAAAUAGAGCCUAAAGAAGAGAAAAAAGAAACAAUUUCUUUCUUUUUUUUUUCUUUUUCUUCUUUCUUCCUUCUUUCUUUCUUUCUUCUUUCUCUUUUCCCUCUCUCUUCUCCCCUGUUUCUUCUCCCCUGUCCGUCGCCCGUGCGCCCCAUCGCUGCUCCACCUCCACACGCACGCCGACGCUGCGAGCCACCUGCGACCCCAGCGCCAGAUCUGGACCAUCGCCGAAACCCGCAGCCUCCGCCACCUCCACCUGAGCUCUGCCUCGCGCGCAACCCAGCUGCUCUGCGCCCGAAGCUCCACCGCCGCCACAGCCUCCCCACGCAGCUCCCUGCUCACGCGGCCACAAGCCCAUUGGAAACGGGACAGAGACUGCCGCCGAGCCACUUGCCCGCGUGACCGCCGCUGUUUUCCACCACCUCCCUCACGCGAGCUCUUUCCCUCUCAGCAGCAAUCCACUUCACAGCGCACCCGCUGCGCGCCGUCGCAGCCCUCGCAGCUCCAGCCCGUCUGGUCUAGUCCGCCGCGCGCACCAACCACCCACGGACGCUACCCCCAUCGCUAACCCACGCGGCCUCCACUCCAGUCUGUCCGCCGCCGCUGCUCGUGUCUCCCUUGCGCACCUCACGCCACCCGCUACUGUCCCCUUCCGUUUGGUUAGCAUCCACGGUGGAGGUAAUUGGAGGUUAUUUUCUCAAUUGUGUGACUUCCGCCUGUGAUACUGGUUGCAUUAUUUUUGCUGGGAAUUGCUACUUCUUUUGGGUUGGGUUCAACUGUGCAAUUAAUUGGCCAACUGGAGCCAUUUGUUGGGAUUUUGGGUGAGCUGAAAUACUGCAUUUGUGUGUUACAUUGGGAGGUUUAUUGGGUACAUUCUAACCGCUGUUUUCCAUUGUUACUCUCGCUGGGGUGUCUAUUAAAUUGCGAUUGAAGUAUUUUGGAUAUUGCAUGUUGAGAUUGAGGUUUCAUUGAAUUUGGCCUACGUUCUGCCCCCAGUGGUACUGGUGGGAAUAUUUUCAAUUGAAUUUGUUACCUCUAGUUGGUUGGCUACAUUAUUAUGGUCGAAUUCCUAAGUUGUCGUCAUUGCAUUUGUUGAUCUUGAUUUGGGGCAUUAACCGGCCAACUGGAGCCAUCUGUGCGUUUUUAGGCGCUAUUAUUGGUUUCUUCUCCCUUAACUUUGUCAACUAUAUUUGGUUGGGUAUUUGGUUGACUGCCACGGACUUGUAACUGUGUUUUGCUUCUAAUUGACCAGUUGCACAGCAGUUUUUUUUUAAUUGAUAGGGUGGUUAUACCUCUGGAUAUUUGUAUCCACUGGUUUGAGGACAUGGUGAGACCAAAAUCCUCCUCUAGGUCUAGGACCCCUAGAACCUCGCAAUCCCAACCCCAAGCCUCUACUCUAGUCAAUACCCCUAUAAAUCAACCUACUGCUCCCGGUGUCCGAACCUGGUUAGGUAGGGGUAGAGGUGCCCACGUGGCUUCCGCCACUCACUUGGGAGGGCAUUUGGAAUUCACUAGAGCCGCCGAUCAGCGACGCUAUGCUCAAGCUUGUGAGCGGCGUAUCAUUCCGUGCAAAUGCGCGGACCACAUUACUAUGGUUUUUCUGGGGAUCCAAGGGGAGGUUGAGCGCAUGUACACCGCCAUUGGAUGGCGCCCCUAUCUGGAUAUUUUCCAGCCAGCCUUUGUCGAGUUGACUAGAGAGUUUUACACCACUUUUAAGUUUGAAUUACCGACUAGGUAUACUGUUGCGACUCCCGAUAUCAUUCACUUCCGUCUCAUGGGCCAGGAAUUCAAUUUCUCUAUCACCCAGUUCAAUCUGGCUUUCGGUUUCAUCACUCGGGAGUAUGCAGAGACUAGGGAAUACGGUGAGAGUGCCUGCGAUUUUGUGGAACCUUUCCUUACCGCCUACCGUGAGGUGUGGGAGGACAUGUCUGUGGACAUGCAGCGUUACGAUCCCUCUCGGUCUCGGAGCUCCUUUCUAGAGGACCCGAGUGCUCGGUAUGUUCAGCGGCUUUUAGCAUAUAGCUACUCGGGCAGAAAGAACAGCUUCGGUAUUAUCUCUCGGCCGGAGCUCUUCUUCCUUUGGUGUAUGAAGAAUGGGUUCAAGGUCAAUUUGGGUUGUUGGUUGGCGGCACAGUUCAAGACCGUCAUGGCAAAGAAGAACAAGCCGUUGAUUCUUGGGUCGUAUAUCACGUACUUGGCGGUCCAGCUAGGCGUUCUGAAUCUACAGGAUCACGAUUUGCACUUGGCCUGCGACAUGGAGUAUCUCACUGCUGACCGGCUAGAGAAGAUGGGGGUUCUGGAGCUUGUCGAUGGCCACUACCGAUUUGUGCCCCCGGGACCGCCCCGCGCCCCGCCUCGCUCUUCCUCCACCCAUUCGGCCCCAGUUGGCGGUGAUCCUGGCCCGUCGACAUCCGCUCAGCUCCCUCCACCAGCAGGGGCUGAAGAUUGGCACCAAAUCAGGACGCAGAUUCAGAAUUUGGACGCCCGGAUGAUUAGCAUCGAGAGCAACGUGGCGGCUAUAUCACAGAAUCUGGCGGCAUUCCUGCAGCACUCGGGUUUCCCGCCCCCAAUCCCACCUCACCCUCCACUAUGACCCGGUUUCAGGGAAGUUUGGUUACUUUCUCCCUCACUUUUGUUGUUUUUUGACACAUUGAGGACAAUGUGUCCUAUAGGUGUGGGGGGGUCUAUAGUCUUUCUAGUUUUUAGUAGUUGUUAGUUUUUAGUUUUUUAGUAGUUUUAGUUUUAUUUCUAGUUGCGUAUUUUCUUUCUUUUCUUAGUGCUUAUUCCCCAUGUGAAAAGAAAAAGAAAACAAAAAAAAAGAGAAAAAAAUGUUGGUUUAUUGACUCUAACUCUACUUUUGCCAAGUUUUUUUUAAAUAAAAAUGUAUCGGGUUAAUGUGGUUGGAUCCAGAAUAUCUCCCUGGUGAAUAUCGGAUUGCUUGGCUCUUUUGAUUUCUGUGUUAAUUUCUCUAGGCAUAGGGAAUGACUGUUGGCAUUUUAAUGUGAACUGGUCCAAUAUUGACUCCAGUUCUCUAUGUUUGGCAAUAAUGAGGCGAGCUGUUCCUAUUUUUGGUUCUUAGUGUUGUUAUUAUGUGUUUUUGGCUUUGUUUGGCUGUGAAUAAUCUGGACUGUACUCCGCUAUGAGUUACUACUGAGUAACCGAGGAUCGGCACCUAAAAGUGUCGAUUCUCGCGUCAAAAGGUGGUACUUUAUAUGAGUACGUGGUCGUAUAGCAGUAGGAGCUGAGUAACCGGGCUCCUUCAUCUAAAAAUGUUGGAGUUCGCGUCAAAAGGCCCCGACGGCUAACGACUAAGUCUUUUUGUGUUAAUUAUUAUUGCUUUGAAAAACAAAAAAAAAAAAGAACGAAAAAAGAGAGAAUAAAUAAUAGGAAGGCUUGCCGGUUUAUGGACUUAAUAUGGAGACUUGUGUGAAUAUUUGGACCAUUAGCUAAUAAAUGUUGUGCGCCAUUCCCUUUUCUUAGAGUAGUUAACCUGGAAAUUGAAGGAAUUUGCAGUUUAGGGGCUAACCGGGGGGGAGGCUUCUUGGAUUUUAAUCACCAAUGCUCGAUAUAUGUUUUUCUCUUGAAGAUCUUGGCAAUAUAGGAGAUUGGACAAUGGCCAUCAUCGAAUUUUGGUGUUCGUUUACUAUUCUUAUGCUUGAGGACAAGCAUGGUUUAGGUGUAGGGGGAAUUGAUAGGGUGUAAUUUUACUAUUUAUUUUAUUAUUAAUUUCUCCUAUCACCUGACCUGAUGUGGAUUAAUUGCUGGAUUCUGCUCACUUUUAGUACUUUGUAUUUAUUUCAGGGAGUAGAACGGAAAUUUGAUAACAGGUGCUAAUUUGGCAGAAAAAAGUCCAGAUGAUAGAGCUUGCCCCAAGGGCAUUUUUGGAAAGGAGAACUUGUGCCCAUCUUGGUAAUUUGGGAGAAAAGGGAAACAGACAAAAUGGGUCUAACAUGGAUUGGAAGCGGCCGCACAGUAGCAGGGAAGAGGGCAGACGUAAAAGCAAUUGCAGGGGGGAAAAGGAGUUUUUUUAGUUUUUAGCUUAGCAUCUGAUUUUCCCUGGGAGACUUUUGUUAAAGAUUUCCUUUUGGCUGAUAUUACGCAUGGCAGAUGGCUUUUAACUUAUUCCUCCAUCUUUGACUUUUCUUCUUUAGCUUGUAGUAGUGGAUUGCUACUUACGAAUGUCAGCACUUAGCCAUUCGUGGCUUUUGAUCUUUUCUUCCUUAGAAAUUCUGAGUAGCCUCUUUUCCUUUGUGCGCCAGACGAAGUGAAAACUAUAAACUUUUGUAGUGUUUCUAUUCAUUCAAUAUAUUGAGACGAGUUGGAUUCUACCAAAUUUCAAUGGACAUGGCCGCUGGUUUCUCUUCAAUUUUAUAUGGGCUUUGUUCAUCGAACAUGAACUAAUUUCACCACUCUAGUCAAGGAACAACGAAGACUCUGGUUCGCCUAAAAAUUGUGAGAUCGUUUUAAUUUAAUCUUUUCCUUUUAUUUAUUGGUAUCCGCACAUUUCUUGAUUGCUAUGCUUAUGGUUAUUUAAUUAAUUGAUUGUCUUGGAUCCAGAUAAUUAAUUGAUCUGAUAGCCUAUUGUCAAUUAGGGCAUUUAAAUCCGUAAUUGUUUAAUUGUCCUGAAAUAGUGACAACUGGCACGAUUAGAUUCGUGCCAGGGGGGAUAUGCGGGCUAAUCUAAAAUAACCCUGGUAGUGUGUUAUUUGGUUAGAAUAGGGCUCCUCUAAUAUGUAAGGCAAUUGGGGAAUUAAAUUCUACGGGCGUACCUAGAAUUAUUUCUUAAUUAGAGUAGUGAUUAACGGGCGUACCUUGAUCACCGACACAGUAAGGAGGGGUUGACUGCCAUCGCUUGUUUGGCAGUUAUAACAUAUUUAUCAGUAAAUAAUUGGGAUUGCCUUGCAUCAAUGAUCAAUUAGAUGAACUAUUGCUGAAGUUACUUCUUGGCUAGAUCUUUAGUUAAUAUUACCUUGAUUUUGGUGAAUUGCCAUUUGAUUUUUAGUUGCCUACUUUAUUUUAUUUUUAAUUGUUUCCUUGCUUUAAUUGAGUUAGGCCUUUAAUUAUUGUUAUUCUAAGUUUAGUGAAUUGUGGUUUAAUUCCUAAUUAGUUAUUUAUUUUUACUUUCUUAUUUGAAUUUAUUUGCUUGUUAUCAUUCCUACGAAAUCACCCCCCUGUGUUACUUUGGAUUUCUUAAGAAACAAAUAUACCCAGUCCCUGUGGAUACGACCCUACUUGCCCUGUCCACGAAUUCAUAAUUAUUUGUGAAAAGAAAUAACCAUUCCACUCGGGUAUAUCGGAUCAAGCAAACUCUUCGGGAACAGGGUGAAUCAAGUAACCCAUUGCACACCUAAAAUCCCUGCUCCAGUACUUGGAAUUGGGUUUUGGUCAUUUUAACUGGCAAUUAAGUUUAAUUUUAUUAUUGCACAGGCUGACGACCCUGUCAUUGUAUUUGUACCAAAAGUGAAAACUUAACUAUUUUAGUUGUAUUUAUUUCAUCAUGUUGGAUUGUAUUCAAAUAAUUUUUGUUUGAUUGUUUUUAUAAGUUUCAAUUGUAAAAUUAAAAUGAAUAAUAACUUGAUGAUGUGUUGAUAUUUUAGUACUUGAUUAUUUAUUAAAAUUUAAUUAUAAUAAAAUUUUAUUAACUCAACGAGAAAAAUUUUAUUAAUCCCGUGGGGGCACCCGCGGGGAAAGCGGGGCGGGGCGAGGGGAGUGGGAGGCGGAGGACGGGGCGGGGGCGGGGGAUGGGGGAGGGGUCCCCCGCCCCAACCCCGCCAUCCCCCGUCCCGUUGUCAUCCCUAGUAAUAGACUGGCAAGCAUUGUGGUGGUCAUUGAGCAACUUAUAGGAGAAAUAGUCCUAUAAGCUGUUCAAUGACCAAUCACAACUUGCUAAUUGGAUGACUAAUAUAGCUCUAGCUGUAAUGUUUUAAUUAAAUUACAUCACUAACGUUGGGAUGACUUUUUAACCAAAAAAAAAAAGCCUUAGUUCAAGCUUUUCCCUUUAUUGUGCAUUUUUUAAAGCAUUUGAAAGGCACUGCAAAUCUGUCAUUUUGGACAUUUUAUUAUUGACUAACAAUGAAAGCCGUGGACGUCUACCCAUAACCAACACAAGAUUAAAUUAAUAUUAGAAAAAAUAAUUGAGUAAUUGGAAAAAAAAAAAAAAGAAGAGUCUAAUUUUCAUUGAAACCCACCGACAAACUAUACGUGUCCAUGGCUUUUGAAUAGUGCAUUCAACGUUUAAUUGUAUGGUCCAGUUCAUUGCAGAUUACAUGGAGUAAAGAUUGCGCUCUUUCCUUUUCACCCCUUUUGGAAUCGAUACUGUGGAGAAUUGGGUUUUUCCCUCCUUUUUUUCUUUUCUUUCCUUCUGUGGUUUGCAAAACAUACGUAAAAAUAUGAAAUCCGAAGCAUUCUUUAAUUGGUAUUAAGUAUUGUUGUUGAAAUUAAAAAGAAAAAAGAAAGAACAACAAAAUUCCCAAUCUGGGUUGAUUGUUGAGCUCUAGAUUGGUUGCAUCGUGCUUCCAUAGAAGCAAGAUUUGUAAAAUCGGAAUCCUACAUAGGAUCGAUUUUAGUUUCACAGGAUCGGAUUGUAAAAUCGUAAGAUCCUACCAAAAGCUCUCAAUUGCAAUUAAAGGUUGCAAUUCUUUAAUAAAUUACAAAUAUACCACAAAUAUUUUCAUUUACUUGCAAAAUGGAGCUUCGUAUUUCACAAAUUUACAAAAAAAUUGUAGGAUCGUACGAUCCUACCGAUCCUACGAUCCUACACGAUCCUACCGAUCCUGCUACGAUUCUAUGCGAUCCUACAAAGAUUAAUAUGAUUUGCGACUCUGCAUACGAUCCGGAUCGAUUUUGGUUAUCCGGAUCGUAGGAUCGUAUGAUCCUACGAUCCGGAUCGCGAUUUUGACAACUAUGCAUAGAAGCUCUCUUAGUGUGAUACACUGCUUUCAAUCAGUUUAACACGGGAAAAAAAAAAAGAGAUGAAAAGCAAAUUUGGUGGAGAUAAUUUCAGAAACCUCCCCUGAAGAUUUUGACUAUUCUACUGGUUUCCCUUCAGAUUUUAAAAAUUACACUAAUCUUCCUUGAAGUUAAUUAUCUUGUAACAUUUAAAUUCAAUCAAUAAUUUAAAAAAUGAUAUUAUGAGAGAGAAAAUAAUAUGAUUUUAUCAUUGCCCCCCAUCUUACUACAUUAUUUAAUUAAUUUAAUAGCAACCCACACAUUAAAGAAAAAUAUUAAAAUUUGUUGUUUAUCAUUAAAGAUCAAAUCGCUUAUAACAUCAAAUAAUAGUAUAUUAUUUAUAUUUUUCACUUAAUAUAAUAUCCAAAUUACUCUUUUCAAUUACAUACCCAUUGUUAGAGAAUCAACAACAAAUAACCAAAAAAUUUGCAACCAAAAUAUUACAAAAAAAAUAAACUUUAACAUCAUAAAUAUUCUUAUCAACAUAUUAAAGUUAGUUACUGAAAUUUUUAUGCUGUUAAACUUCACUCUUUUUGAAUACAGAUUUUUUUGAUUAUUUGUUAUUAAUUAUGUUUGAUGAUGGGUUUAUAAUUGAAAAGAACAAUUUGAAACUUACAUUAAGUAAAAUAUAUAGAGUGAUAUACUAUUUUUUAUAACAUAUGUGAUUCAAUCCUUCUUGAUAGGAUUGGUAAUAGAGGUAGAGGGGGGAGUCGGCUGCAUCCGGUCUUCUUUUCAUAGAUAGUACAAUAUUGCGAAAUCAAUCGCAUUCACACAAUAAUAUUUCGAAGUCAAUGCAUGGCUAAGUUGCAUAAAAGUACGAACACUUGUUAUUAUAUAGCUUAAGAUUCAAAACUUUCGAGCAUAACCCUCCACCCAACACAAUUGAAUAAUGAAUAUUCACGAUUGUCAAAUCUGUCAAAGCACAGUUUGAGGACAACCCAUUCCAACCUGCAAAAGAUUUUUUACUUUUCUAAAGUUGUUGAGAGCUGUAAAAAGACUUACCAUGCUUGCAUCCUCCGAGCCUUGGGAGUUAAAAAUGAAGGCACUGAGUGCUAUAAAAAGGGGAAUAGAGGCUGCCUAGAAGCAUAUCAGCCUAAAACAAGAAUUUGUAGUUAAGAUGGGAAGCAAAGCAAAAGCAAUGGGGUCUGGGCUGACUCCUCUUCUUGCCACUGUUUUAGUGGUGUUUGUUGCUCUUGGCUUGCCCUCACAAACUGCAGCUGAUGAUCACUACAAGUAUUCAUCUCCUCCUCCUCCUUACCACUAUCCCUCACCACCACCACCAGUGCAUAUACCUCCACCUCAUCCUGUUUACAAGUACAAAUCUCCACCACCCCCACCACCACACCCAGUUUACAAGUAUAAGUCACCACCACCACCUCCUCAUCCGGUAUACAAGUAUAAGUCUCCUCCGCCACCACCACACCCAGUUUACAAGUACAAGUCACCACCACCACCUCCUCAUCCGGUACCACACCCAGUUUACAAGUAUAAGUCACCUCCACCACCUCCUCAUCCGGUACCCACAGUUUACAAGUAUAAGUCACCACCACCACCUCCUCAUCCGGUAUACAAGUAUAAGUCUCCUCCGCCACCACCACACCCAGUUUACAAGUAUAAGUCACCACCACCACCUCCUCAUCCGGUGCCACACCCAGUUUACCACUACAAGUCACCACCACCACCUCCUCAUCCGGUACCACACCCAGUUUACCACUACAAGUCACCACCACCUCCUCACCCAGUUUACAAAUACGAGUCUCCACCACCACCAGUUUAUAAGUACAAGUCACCACCACCUCCUCCACCAGUUUACAAGUAUAAAUCUCCUCCACCACCACCACCAGUUUACCACUACAAGUCUCCACCACCUCCUCCCCCAGUUUACAAAUACAAGUCUCCACCACCUCCUCACCACUACUAAGCAAUUGCUUCUGAGGUAAUAACACUUGUUCAAUAUACCCACUUCUGCAUGAUAAAGCAUAUCUCUAUCAACACAAACUGUCAUGUCUAUCAUGCUAAGUGCCUUCACUUCAUCCACCAAAAUGACUGCUAGAAAAUUUUUUUUAUGUUACCAAAGAAAGGCAUCAUUUUUUCCCUCUGUUAUCAAGAACUUGUACAGUAUAUAGAUUAAAGAGUAUUUUUUUAACUAGCUUAUCAACUGAGAAAUGCAUAUAGCUGAUAGCCAGCUGAAUAUUUGCAGGCAAAGGAGAAGGAAACCAUGUUUGAGACCUUCUUGAAGAUGUAGAAGCAUAAGAAUAAAAGCCCAAUGUGAAGAUGAUGAUUUCAAGUUUUUCUACGUUACCAUUUCUUUAUCUAAAUUGGUUGUAGCGCCCAAGUUCCUUUGUUUAUGGGAUUUGUAUCGUUUUACGUACCAUGCAGUACAUGUCAUGUUUGUAAGGUUUUCUAUCCUGCCGGCAAACCGCAGGUUCCAUGUGAUAAAUGAAUACUAUUUAUGUUACGACACUUUUCUCUGUUUCUCUUAUAUUUUGUCUUUAAUAUUCUUAAUCAUAUUUUUAACAAAAAUAUUCAAACACUUAGGCAAUCUGGUCUAAUGCUAAUUGUAUGUUUUACUUUUCUUUUUCACCUGCUCCCCUUUUCAACUCAAAAGGAUGCAAUAGUUUGUGAUCACUGUUUAAGACGGAAGCAUGAUACUAAUGAAUAUCUCAUUGAAACUCAAGGAAACUAACAUUGCGAAAAGUGUAAAUCUUGAUUUGAUGCAACUAUUUAUUCGUGGAAUCUAUAGUUACAAAACUCAAAUUCUGACUGCGCCAUUGAUAAAUUAUUAAUGACGCUAUCAUCAUUAUUUAUCCCUAACUAGUUUCGACUACAACUGAACCCAAUAUUUUCCCCAUGAUAAAAGUUUUUGACUAUUUUACUGGCCUCUCUUCAAAUUUUAAAAAUUACACUAAUCUUCAUUGAGAUUAAUUAUCUUGUAACAUUUAAGUCCAAUUAAUAAUUAAAAAAUGAUAUUAUGAGAGAGAAAAUAAUAUAAUUUUAUCAUUGCCCCCCAUCUUGCUAUAUUAUUUAAUUAAUUUAAUAGCAACCCACACAUUAAAGAAAAAUACUAAAAUUUGCUGCUUUUCAUUAAAGAUCAAAUUGCAUAUGCCAUAAAACAUAGUAUAUCAUUCUAUAUGUUUCACUUAAUGUAAGAUCCCAAUUGUUCUUUUCAAUUACAAACCCAUUGUCAAACAUGAUCAAUAACAAAUAAUCAAAAAAUUUGCAACCAAAAUAUUACAAAAAAAAACUUUAACAUCAUAAAUAUUCUUACCACCUCUAGUGCAUUCACCCUCAUAAAAUAAUUCAAGACCCUACUGUCAUAAAAUGACUGAUCAACUCCUGUAAACCUAAUUUGACAACAUUUAAAUGGAGAACUUUAGCUAAAAGAAUUAUGGUCAAGCUAAAGAAAAAACCAGUUAUUUUCCAACAUAUGCAACCAUUGAUCAGGGGAAAAAAAAAAGCAAAAAGACAUCUUCAAUCAUUUAAUAGCUUACAGGGCAAAUUAACCCUUGAGUGAAAACUGGUUGCUCUAGAAUUAAAAUUUUACCUUAGUUACCCAGGCAACUUUUUUGUUGCCUUUUCUUUUUCUUUUUUGGGUAUAUAGCUCCAGUUUUGCCCCCUCUGUCAAGCUUAUAUAAUUAUUAAGAUAAUAAAAGUGCCUUUAAUAGUAUUAAUAUAUCCAUUGACUUGAGCUGUCAUCGAUCGGUUUGGGCUACUUCGAUUCCAUGAGAACAAAUGGUAAUAAAAGUACUCAGAAAAUGGGGAGUCAUGAAACCCUUUUGUUCUAUUCAUUGCUAAGAUGCUUUUCUCUAUAAAGAGACUUCCUAACGAAAAUACUUUGUAGAUUUCUUUACUCCAAGUGGUGCAUGGAAAAUUAAUAUUUUCAAUUAUCAAAUAAAAUUCCCUUUUUUCGGCGUAGAUUUCAUCCAUCCAGCUGUUAACACAUUCUAUAAAUCCGAAUUGACUAAUCUUUUCGUUUCCAUUUUCCAACUUGCGAAUACGGCAUAUAGUGUCUGCUAAACACUAUAUAUUCUCUGCCAAAUAUGAAUACAUAUCACUUUUCUGAGCAAGUGCAGAGUCAUUAUCAUUUUUAUUCCCACCUAACAAAUUAGGGAUAAAAAAGUUAAUAAUCUUUACAUGCUAUCAGGUCACAAGUUAAUAAUCUUUUAAAGAACAUGUUAAAUUAAUUUAUUGGUAUGAAUAGUAGUCAAAGAAGUAUGUUAAAGUUAGUAAUCUUUAAAAUAAUAUGUUAAAAUCAUUCGUACAAAUUAGUCAGAGAAGUAGCAUAAACACCGCGAUGCAAUUAAUACUUUCAAUCUCAAGGUCUCUAUUAUGGAAAUUUGCAUCGGUCAAUAUACACUUGGCAUAAUAUAAUCUCCCAACUCAUUUCUUUACAAAUGCACCUUUAAUCACCACCAAAAGGUGUGGACAUGAUCUUUACCCUAGAAAACUAUUCACCGACAGGCAAAUUGACGUCAGAAAUACUGAGGAAUUCUAGUUUCCUUCGGGUUCAUGCCAUGUUGUAUCCUUCAACUGUAACUCGAUUUCUAAGCUGUAAUUUGUGACAUAAUAGUCCUUAAACUAUGAAACCCUUCUUACUUAAUUACAAUGGUUAAUACAAUGCCCGUGACUAGACAAGUAUGAAGCAACCAUAACAGAAAAAAAAUCCAAAAUUAGAGAAAAGAAAGAAGUUUCGCGACCACCACCAGUUUACAAGUCACCUCCACCACCUCCUCCAGUUUACAAGUCACCUCCACCACCUUACCAUUAUUCCUCACCACCACCUCCAGUGCAUUCACCCCCACCACCACCAGUUUACAAGUCUCCGCCACCACCUUACCAUUAUUCCUCACCACCACCUCCUGUGCAUGCACCUCCACCACCAAUUUACAAGUCACCUCCUCCAGUUUACAAGUCUCCACCACCACCUUACGAUUAUUCCUCACCACCACCUCCAGUGCAUUCACCCCCACCACCACCAAUUUAUAAGUCUCCCCCACCGCCUCCCCCAGUAUAUAAGUCACCACCACCACCUCCUCCAGUAUACAAAUCACCUCCACCACCUCCUCCAGUUGACAAAUCUCCACCACCACCAAUUUAUAAAUACAAGUCUCCUCCACUACCUCCUCCAGUGUACAAGUCAUCACCACCACCUGCUUACAAGUCUCCACCUCCUCCAGUUUACAGUUCCCCACCACCACCAAUCUACAAGUCUCCACCUCCACCCUACCAUUACUACUACAAUUCUCCUCCUCCUCCUCGUCACUACUAAGCAAUUGUAUCCAAGUUUUUGAGGUAAUAACGCUUAACCAAUAAAUUAACUUUCGCAUGAUAAACCUUAUCUCUAUCAAGACAAACUGCCAUGUGUAUCAUGCCAAAUACGUACACCUAGAUCCAUGAAAAUGAAUGGUAGAAAGUUUUCUUAAGAACCAAGAACAGCAUUAGUAUUCCCUCUGCUUCCAAAAACUUGUGUAUUAAAUAGAUUAAUGAAUUGUUUAACAUGCUCAUCUACUUGAAAAUGCACAAUACCCAUAACCCACUGAAAUUUUUGCAGGAAAAGGGAAAGAGAAUCUGUGUUUGAGAGCUUCAUGAAGAUGUUGAAGAAUAAGAAUAAAAGCCCAAUGCAAGGAUGUUUUCAAGUUUUUCUAUGUUUCCACUUUAAUUUGUAAAUUGAAUUUUGCGACUCAAUUAAUUCCCUGUUUGUGAGGUACGUAUUGUUUUACGUACCAUGCCGUACAUUUUUUUUUUCCAACAAACGGUAUCAUGUUAUAGAUAUUAACACUUGACCUUACAAGGAUUAGUUACAAAAAGGGGAUACUACCCUCAACUCUGUCCUAGCUAAAUCAGUCAGCCAUAUUGGGAAAUUAGUUUCCCAUUCAAUAUCAUGUACAAGCUUCACAGCAUAUUGUGCUAAUUGAUGGCUGAUGUGAUUUUCAGUUCUAGGUAUAAACACAAAAGAACAUUUUUCAAAAGCUAGACUAAGUUCCUGCACAUCUUCUAAGAUAGUUGCAGUCGUGUAGUCAUACUCCUUGCGUUUAGUAAUCUGCUCUACCACUGAUUUGCAGUCUGUAUGGACUAUAAUUUGUGUCCAACCUGCUUGGGUAGCCAUCAGCAGAGCAUUUCUCACAGCCCGAGCUUCCACUUCACUUGCCGAUCCCUUUCCCUGUGUGACAAUUCCUUUUGCUUUCAAAAGCUGUCCUUUCCAAUUUCUUGCUAUAAUCCCUUGUCCGGUCCUGACUCGUUUAGCUGAUAUCGCUGCAUCGGUAUACAGCCUUAUCUCUUCCUUCCUUGGCCGCACUCUCCUGGUAGGUAAGGCAUCAUUCAGCUUCCCUGCGAUCUCCUUCUGGUCUGUACUCCCUACCUGUUCAAACUCAAGCCAUUCCUCCUGUGCUUUCCUUACUAUUUUUACUGGAUCCUGGUUGGCUUGUUCAAAAAAUUUUUUGUUCCUGGCUUUCCAAAUUUGCCAAAGGAUAUUGAUAGUAAGACUAACUCUCUCCUGACCUUGGUUCAGUGCCAGCGAUUGUGUGACUUGUUCCCACCAUAACCAAAAGUUAUAUUGCAUACCCAGUAAUCCAUCCCACCUGACCGGUGCUAGCUUCCACGUUUCCACAGCCUUUUCACAGAAGAAAAACAAAUGCUCAAUAGUUUCCAUAUCUUCACCACAGCAACCACAUCUGCCUUCCCCUCUAUGUAGCCUUUUCGACAUCUGUUCAUUGACUGGCAGACAAUUUUGUAAGCACUUCCACAUGAAGUGUUUUAGUUUGGCCUUCACCUUCAAAUGCCAUAGCUGCUUCCACACAUUUCGUUUUCGUAUCUCCCAACUUGUUUCUGCCUCUUGGCCUGUCCUUGUACCUGCUUUUCCUUCCCGUUGCCUUGCUAAAGCAUAACCAGAUUUCACGCUAUAAAUUCCAGCUUUGGAAUGCCCCCAUACCAACCUAUCCUUUCUUCUUCCUAUACUUGUUGGAAUUCCCUUUAUGUGCUCUGCAUCUUUUGCACAAAACCACUUGAGAAGCAAAUCAUUUUUCCAUUUCCCUUCCUCUAUCAGCUCACUUACCCAUUCCAACUUGCAUCCCACAGGUUGUGUGGUUGAUGCAAAGCCGGUAUCUGAACCAACUAUCCAUCUGUCCCGCCACAUGUUGACUGACUUGCCAUCUCCAAUUCUUUUCCAAAGACCAUCAUACAGAAAGGAGGCUGCACUAUGAAUACUCUUCCAACACCAUGAGGCUGAAGAGACUGGCUUCUUGUCCAUCCAUUUUUCAUCACUCAUAUACUUCGCCUUCAUUACCUUACUUACUAACAAAUUUGGAGCCAUUAAGAAUCUCCAAAUUUGUUUUGCCAGUAAUGCUGUGUUGAAGGCCUCCAAAUCUCUAAAGCCUAAACCUCCUCUUCCCUUAACUUCUAAGAGCUUCUUCCAGCUUGCCCAAUGUACACAGGUACCCUUUUCUCCCUUCCCCCACCAGAAACUCGCUAUUUUACCUGUGAUUUGUCUACACAAACCCCUUGGAAGUCUAAAGCAAGCCAUCACAUAUGUUGGCAUAGCCAUAAUCACUGAUUUGACCAGAAUUUCUUUCCCUCCUUGGCUCAACAGUUUUUGUUUCCAACCUUGCAACUUGUUACUAAUUUUGUUCUGGACAAAUGCAAAGACCUGUGUCUUUGAUCUUCCAAUUGCCAUUGGGAGUCCUAGGUAGGUUCCAUUCCUUGCCUCUUUAAUGUUAUCUAAUACCUCCCUCACUCCAUUCUUCCUUUGAUCAGUGGUAUUUUUGCUAUAGAAGAUAGCUGACUUUUCAAAAUUCACCACCUGUCCGGAUGCUUGACCAUAUCUUUCCAAUAUGCUUUUGACCUUCCUCGCCUCCUGCUUGGUUGCUUGGCAGCAUAGUAGAGAAUCAUCUGCAAAAAAUAGGUGAGAAACCAUCGGACUGUCCUUGCAUAUUUUGAUCCCUGUAAUUUCCUUGUUCAUCAUAGCUUUAUGGAUCAAACAUGAAAGACCUUCAGCGCAUAUAAUAAACAAGUACGGGGAUAGGGGGUCUCCUUGUCUAAGCCCUCUACUCGGUUGAACACAGCCUACCUUUUGCCCAUUUAAGUUGAAGGAGUAAGUCACAGUAGAUAGGCAAGACAUGAUCCAUUUAACAAAAAUUGGACAAAACCCCAUUUUCAUCAUAACUCUCCCCACAUAUUUCCAUUCGACUCUAUCGUAAGCUUUGGACAUGUCCAGUUUAAGAGCCAUAAAUCCUACCCUUCCCUUUCUCCUAUUUUUCAAAAAAUGCAGGAUUUCAUGUGCAACUACUACAUUAUCAAGAAUUUGACGGCCUGGGAUAAAAGCGGAUUGAGAGGGACUAAUACAAUGAUGCAAGACACCUUUCAAUCUAUUAGCUAUGAUUUUAGAAAUGAUUUUAUACAGGACAUUGCACAAGCUAAUAGGUCUAAAAUGCACCACAGAUUCAGGAGUAUCAACUUUAGGAAUCAACGAAAUAAUAGUAUCAUUCACAGCUUUGAGCAAAUGCCCAGUAUGAAAGAAACUCUUAAUAGCUGCUACCACAUCAUCCUUGAUAAUAUCCCAAUAGUGUUGAAAAAAUAGAGGAGACAUACCAUCCGUUCCUGGUGCUUUAUUAGGGUGCAUCGAGAACAAAGCUUUCCUGAUCUCACUUUCCUCCACUUGUCGUAUCAGUUGUCCAUUCAUAUGACUCGAAAUAGUGCUUGGAAUUUCAGCUAGAAUGUCCUCAAAGCAGUCCGGGUUAGUAGUGGUAAAAAGGUCUUUAUAGUACUCACAAAGUUCCUCCUCAAUCUCAUGUUCCUCCUUGCACCAUGUCCCAUCUUUUUUCUGCAAUAUAGUGAUCUUAUUUCUCCUCCUCUUUGCCAUGACCGAAGAAUGGAAAAAAGCUGUAUUCUUGUCCCCUUCUUUGAGCCACUUGUUCCUGGAUUUUUGACUCCAAAACAUCUCUUCCUCUGCAUAAGCUUUAUUCAAUUGUGCUUUUAGUUCAGCCACUUGUACUCUUUUCCCUUCAUCCUUUCUUGCUUUCACUUCAGCCAAUUUCUCCUUUAACACUUUAAUUCUAACCUUUGAGUUUCCCUGCACCUUUUUCCUCCAAUCCAGAAUAGCCAUGCGACAUUCCUUUAUUUUUGUAGCCACUCUAAACAUCCUGGACCCUGACUUCACCUUUGUCCAUGCUCCUUGAAUCACCCUUUUUGCUUCUGGAUUUAGCGUCCAUCGUUGAUCAAAGUAAAAUCUCCGUUUUCUCCUUGUGUUUUCCGGGUUUGUAUCCACAAGAAGCAUUAGAUGAUCAGAGGCUUCAGUAUCUAAAUGAGUACACUGUGCCUUUUCAAAUCUUUGCAGCCAUUCGGUGCUGCAUAAACAUCUAUCCAACCUCUCUUUCACUUCCCCAUCCCCCUCCCAACUAUUGCACCAAAUCCACGGGACCCCUUGAUAACCUAAGUCAACCAGGUUAUUGUCUUUGAUAAACCUGUUGAACUCCCUAAAACAUCUUUCAGCUCUAUCCCUUCCUCCCCACUUCUCCUCACUAGACCUCAAAUCAUUAAAAUCUCCUACAAUGAUCCAGCCAUCCCCCCAGUCCCUCAUCCUGUCCUCUAAAUAUUUCCAUUGUGCUUUUCUAAUGUUACUAUCUGUGCUUGCAUAAACACACACUAGCCCCCAGUAUCCUUUAGUAUCCUUGUCCUCAACUCUAGCACUAAUACACCAAUCAGUACUUACAAUCUGGUCUAAAAUCACCUCAUUGUUCCAGAAUAAUGCUAGACCGCCUGCUUUACCUAUUGAAUUCACAAAAAAGCUAUUGUCAUACUGAAUCUUCCUUUGAACCUUGCCCAUAAACCCUUCCUGAUUCUUAGUUUCACAAAGGAACACCACCUUAGGAGAGUGGAAGUUAGUCACUUCCUUUAGUUGGGGACUUGUCAAGGGGCCUCCUACACCUCGACAAUUCCACACCACAACCUUCAUUUACACUUUGGAGGCUUUCCGGGGCUAGCCUCCAUUUCCCCUAUUGUACUAACAUUUAUUAGAUCCAGUUUCAUAACCUUUACCUUCGGUACAUUAUCAUCAUCCUCCUCUAUCGGUUGUGUUCCCUGAAACAUACCAUCAGCCUUCCUUUUAGCACACGAAACCUGCGUUACUUGUCCAUUUGUAUCUGCCUUUAAGGAUGUUUUAGCCGGCCUCCCUCUUCUUUUAAAACUGCUUCUUUUUUCAGCUUUGUUAUCUUCUUCCCCUGGAGUAGCCUCCUUUCUUGGCAUUCUUGCAUUUGUCUCCUCCUGCUUUAUUGACCCUACCCGCAAACUUUCACAUUCCUGUUUUGAGCUGUCCGUUUCCAUAUCCUCAUAAUCUACUGGUGGGAUUACGCUGCUCCCUCCUUUACUCCCUUCCUGUACCCUACCCUCCUUUUCACCAUUUCCCUCCAUUAAGACCACAGCCAAACUUUCCACCCGUUGGUUUGCCUUUCCAUACUGCCUGCUGUCUUUUAGAAUCUCAUCCCACCUCUCUUCAUAUUGUCUCGUCAUCAUUUUCUCCUUAUCCCCCCUUUCCUUUCCCCCCAAGACUCUACCAUUUUUUCCCCCAAGAGUUAAUGUAUCUCCAGCCAUUUGUACUCCAGUUUGAACUUCACUACUAGGAGACCCUGCCCCCACCCUCCUUGCAUCAAUUUCACUUACUCCUUCCAGCCGUCCCUUUAAGGGAGAUACCAUUAUAUUUCCAGCUCUCAUCCAGGCACCAUAUUGUUCCUCUCGCUUCUCCCCCCCACCCUUCCUACCACAGUACAAGUCCUAUCACUAUGCCCAAUGAUACCACACCUAUAACAGAAAUCAGGGCAGCGUUCAUACCUGAACUCAACCCACACUGCCUGGUUCUUACAGUUGAUCUUUGUCCCUCUAACCAGUGGUUUCGUUAUAUCUACCUCAGCCAUAAUCUUCAUGUGGCGACCCUCUUUCCCACCACUUCCUGGGAGAAUCACUCCCCUCACUGAUUUAAAGAUCCCUCCUAUUUUCAAACCCACUGCUCUGCUCAACCAGUGCACCGGUAGGUUCCAUAGUUGAAUCCAAAGAAAGGAAUGCUGGAAAAAGCUGCUGUUUGUAUCAUACCCCUCUACCCACUCCUUCACUAUCAGCAACUGGUUGUCCAUGACCCAAGGCCCUCCAGAUAAGAUCUUUUUCUUUUCCCCUUCAUCUCCCAGAUGGAAAUGGAAUAAGUUAGGACCUAACUCAGUCACUUUCAUCUUUGAGGGGUAUCCCCAUGCAUGAUUUGUAAAGUUCUUUAACCCCGUAAAGUUGGCAAUUUUUUCACCAAUCAGCUUUCCUACCAGGCUUCCUUGACACUCAGAGACGCCUUCUUCCAGGUCCUCACCACUCAGAUCGACACCUCCUAACUCUGUUUCAGACAAGUCAAAAUUUUGAAAGGCUCUUUCUAAAGCAUCCGCCAUUGCUGUGACGAGAGCUCCUUGAGAAACCAAGCACUAUUUCUGAGCUAUGAGUGACCCACUGACAGACCUGUGAAGAAUUGCAAAGACAGACAAAGCUGUGUUAUCCGUACACACUAAAAACCAACCAGAAAAACAGAGAGGAACUCGACAGAAAAAGCACAGGCACAAGAAGAAACGAAAGAAAAAAGAAAAACCAACAAACCACUAUCCCACUCCCGACCACAUAACAGCAUUAAAGAAAGGGACACAAAUACGACACUCCAACUUCCGAUCACAUGCUCUGACUCAAUGGAUCAUAUCUUGCCCAAAGCGUUUACUCCUCCAACCGAUUCCAAACCACUACAGACAUUGUCUCCCAUUUUGAAGCCGGAAGAAAGGUGGCUUCUGGACAGGGAACAUGAAAGCAAAGGUUGAACUAAAGAUUUGAUUUUAGAUCUGAAAAUUACGCUGUAGGAAAAAGUGCUAUGUGUUUGUACCUCACCCACUCUCCCACACCGAGGAGGGGAACCUCUAAAGUUAGAGAGAGAAGCUCUCAAGUUAGAGAGAAGCUUUGGAAGUUAAUUACCAACGUACCAUGCCGUACAUGUUUGUAAGGAUUUCUAUCCUAUUGGCAAAAGUCGGUUCCAUACAAUUAAUCAAUUCAUUUCACUUCUAUUGGCUCUACUAUUUAUGCAUGUUACGACACUCUUUCCCUUAUAUUUUGCCUUUAAUAUUAUGAGUCAAUAGUAAUAAUGGGCCUUUUUCUUAAAAUUAUACUAUUAUACAUAGGUAGUUUGGUCUAACGCUAAAUUCAUGUUUGUCUUUCUUUUAUUCCCUUUACAUCUCAAAGUAUACUAUAGUUUGUAAUCAUUGUGGUGAUGAUAUUACCAGCUGGUACUUAUAGUUUAAGGCAGAGACAUGAUAUUAACAACUAUCUCAUUGAAACAUAAGUCAAAAUCAUGACAAGUGUGAGUCUUGGUUAAUGCACAAUUUGUUAGUGGAAUUUAUAUUUAUAAAACUCAAAAAAAAUUUUUGACAAUGCUAUUACUAAUUAAUUAAGGACUUCAUUGCUAUAAUUUAUCGCUUACUAAUUUAAACUAUAAAUGAUCUCAAUACUUUUCUCCAUGAUGUCGAUUUCUUUAGACUACGAAAGGGAAAAAUUAGUGACAUAUCCCUUACUGAUUACAACAUCAGCAAAAAUUAGUUAUAAACUUUUCCGGUGGUUUUAAAUCCCUCGGGCACUAAGGUUUUUUGCACAUCGAGUGAAUUAAGGAACAUAGGCAAUUCGUUCUGCAUACCAAGUCCUUGUUUAAGAUGCACGUACUAAAAUGCAUCCACUUCAUUAAUUUGGAAAAUUGCCAUAGUUUUUUUUAAGCAUUUUGAUUUUUUACAUGAUUCAAAAUUUUCUUAUUGGAUACAAUCACUUUGUGUCAAGAACACAUUUUCAAUCAUCUUUUUUAUCUUCUCAAUAAGAAAAUAAAAAUUUAUUCAUGCUUUUCUAACAUAUCCAAUCAUUGAUCUGAAAAAUAAAGAAUUAAAAAAAAAAGACAUUUUCAAUCAUUGCUUACGGGGCAACUUCCCCAUGUGAACCUCAUCAAACAAAGCCAAUAAUAUGAAGGAACAUCUAAAUACACUUUUGCCCUAAAGGCUGGUUGCCUUGGGGUCAAAAUUUAACCUUCGGGAGUAUAAUUACCCGCCAAAUUUAUUAUUUUUUUUAUGGGUAUAUAGUUCCAAUUUUGCCUCCUGUUAAGCUUAUAAAUAUAUUACGACCCAGAAAAUAAAGGAAUCUUGAAUAGUAACAUGUCCAUUGACUUGAGUUGUUAUCAAUUUGGCUACUUCGAUUCCAUGAGGCCAAUCCAAUUCACACUAGCUAGAGAAAAUGGUGAUAAAGGCACUUAGAAAUUUAUAUGUAAUAUUGAUUGGUAGUAACUGAUAAGUAUAUAUUUUACGUGUUUUAAAUAUGUUUUAUUAGUUAGUUUUGGUGUGUUUUAACUACUUUUAUAACUAAUUAACUAGGAAUCUAGUGAAAAUAUGCAUUUUGUGGUUUGAAGUGUAAAAAUUGUAUUUCUAUGGAUUUUAAUGGUGAAAACUUCAUGUUUUUGUAGGUUUAAUGAUUCAAUCAUCAAAUGACAUGAUUUGAGAAGAUAAUUAGAUGAUUGAUGAUGUUUUGAAGUGAUAAAAAGAGAAUACAAAGUGCAAGAGAGGAAAUGCAAUCAAGAAUAAAAGAAGAAAAUUUUUGUAGCUUUGACAUAUUGUCGUAUUUCGGCAAUAUAUUGAGCUACAAUGAUCGGAUUAAGGUGAUUCUUAAACCAUUUGAAGCUAAAAUAUAGAUCUACAUUUGGCAUGAAGGCAUCGAAACCCAUGUCAGUCAUUUUCCUUGUCAAAAUGUUGAAAUACAGAAGUGCAACUCUGUUCUCGAAAGCUAAAACAGAGCUCUGGCUAGUCGAGGGUAUUUUCAUCAUUUCUUAGUCCACAGAGCUCCAAAUGAGAUGAUUCUUAAGGCAUUAGAACCCUAACUCAAAGAGCUACAACUUUCAUAUUUUGUACAAGAGUUAGUUCGGCCUCUAUCAUUAAGAAAAUAGUAGUUGAAGUGGUGCCAAAUGCAUAGAAGUGAAAACGCGAGCUAUCAAUACUCGACCUGAAGUCGCGUAUUCCUGAGGUCAUGCAUUCUCUUCUAUUUUCUGCAACUUGCCCUGCUUUCACAUAACUUUUUCAUCUCAAUUCCAACUAUCAAUUUCGGCUAUAUCUGAUCAAGAAAAGUGUGGAAAGUUUGAAAGACAACUCAUAGGAGUUUCAAGAGUCAAAAAUUACAAUUAGAAACAACUCAUUUGGCUCUUGAAUCCUCUAUAAAUAGAGGCCUUUGAAGAACAUUUUCACAACUUUGGAAGGUUAGAGAAACUCCACAAAAACAUAGUCUUCACUAGAAUUUCCUUAGUUCAUUAGUUAGGGUAGUAUAGUAUAGUUAGUGUAGCUUUUCCUUCUUGUAUUUAUAGUUAGGUUUGAAUGAAGAUUCAGGAGCAAAGAUAGAGAGGUUGAUCUCAUGUGACAAGGGUGAUAUCUCUUCUACUACUUUCUCUUUUGUAUUUGAUUUCAUAUUUAACUAUACUACAAAUUUGGCUUUGUUUUUUUUUUUUUAUCAUGUUUAGUUAAAGUUUAUGCCUAGAGUAUGGAUGACCUUUUUAUAUCUUGUUUGUGAUAUUUAACUGGUUAUUUGAUGAUGUUAUUUUUGAGCAAGUUAUUUAUCACUUUUGCUUUUCUAAUCAUGAUUAACUGGCCAUUAGUUGUGAUUAUCUAAAAGUGUUAAGUUUGUAAUGAGAAUUGGAGUUUAACACUAGUUCAAGGAAGUGAUAAAUUUAGGGAGUUCACUCAUGAGAGUAGAGGAACACCUUUGUGACCUAAGUGACUUGUUUCAUAUAAUUUCAUAGAAAAAAUGAACUUGUAAUUAAUUUCAUAACCACGAGAGUAAGUAUGGUUUAGCUAUAUGUAUAGUUGAUUCACUACGAGAGUAGGUUUCACAUACAUUAGAAAAUUACAUCAUAACUAGUCAAGAUAAUAUCAUUCAUUUAAUCAGUAAUCUCAUUUGCAUGAGUAGUAAGGCAUUCCAUAUCUCUAGGAGGUUUUUAGUAUUAUUUUCAUUACUUUUAUGUUUAUGGUAGUCUAGAUAAUAAUGGAGUUCGAAAACUACUAGUAAUUGAAAAUUUUCCCUGUGGGAUCGACCUUUAAUACCCUAUACUCGCUCUCGACUCGUAUACUUGAGAAAAAUCACGUGUGCGGUAUUUAGAAUUUAUAAAUGUAAAACUUGACUGUAGAUGAACUAAUUGAUAUAUGUAUACCCCGCACUCGUCAGUAACCAGCUUGUAUUGAUCCCACUAUUGUGGAUAAUUGUGCUCUUAUGAAAAAAAAUUAUAAAAAAAUUAGCAAAAUUUAUGAUAACAAAUUAAAUUUAUUCAUACAAAUCAGUGAAAGAAGUAGAAUUUUAAAGUCCAUGAUGAAAUUAAUACUUUCAAGGGCUCUAUUAGGAAGACUUCACUUGUUGGUGAAACUACACUAGCACAGUUAUAUGCACAUUUACUGUUUUGGUAUCUAAUUUCCUUGCCUUAAGUUGGGUGCAGAUGUUUAUAUUACAAAUAGAUGGUAUCAUAAAAUUGUUGUAUUCACGUUUGUUCUUUUUUUUCUUCCUUAAGUUUUUUUCUUUAUUCUCGUGACUUCAAAAAUACGAACUCAAGAAAUUGGCUGCUUAAUCAAUAUGUCAUACAGGCUUCGCUAGUGAGGUAUAACUUCACAACUAGAGUCAAUAGAAAUUAUCAAAUGAUUUUUUAACAUCCAAAUUAAGCAAUAAAUUUUGUUUUCAUUUUAUGACAUAUAAUAGUACUACUUCAUGAGAGAUUUUAUAGUUUCUUUUAGGUAUCAUACCUACAAGUGAUAUUUGUCAUUGGAUAGUGACAGAAGUGUUAAUGAUUGUAAGAUUAAAUAUUGUUAAAUAUUGAAAUUUAAACUAUUUAUCUUUAUUGAAAGAUACAAGUUAAAGAAUCGUUCAAGGGGGCAAUUUUCCAUCUUGUCUUUUUGAAAAAACGCUAUCACAUUGUAUAGGCAUGAUAGGUUCAAAUUUGUCAUUAAAUUUAUGAUUGAUUUUCCUUUUAUUCAAGCCAAAUAUUGUUUUAAUUAUCAAAUUCUACUUAUAUUUGGUUAAUUGUACUAAUUGUAGGGCGGUAGAGCAAAAGUUGCUAAAAAUAGGCGAUUUUCUGCAAAUUGGUUGUCAAGGCUGAAGGAUUUGGGAUUCGCAUGUUCAAGGCCUGUUUCCAAGUUUGAUUCAAACUCUGGACAGUUUUAGAGGAAGAUUUGGAAGAUUUGAAAUUUCAUUAUUAGUUUUAUGGUUGAAUUAGGAAUCUUGGAAUAAUUUCUUUUGUGAUUUAUUUUUCUAUUUAGGAGACUAGUUGUUAUUUAGUAGUAGACUUCAAUUAGAAAACAAAGAGAAAAAGAAGGCCGGAAUCCCGCUUGAUUAAUACCUUGGCCAGGGAACAAUCUCGGUGGGGAGGACGGCCACUUAGCCUCUCAAUUCAUCUUGCUUUUCGUUAGUUUGAGAGGAAAACCAAUUGCAACUAGAUUCAAUGGAGUCUGGCAGAAUUUCUUCUAGGAUGCGUAGCUAAAUCCUCAAUUUUUAGUCGAAGGUCAAUUUGAAAAUUCGGUUCCAAAUAUCUGUGAAAUCGAAUUAUUUUACUUAUUUCUUUUAUUUAUUGGUAUUCGCACGUUUUCUGAUUUAACUUUUUAUGAUUGUUUUGUUAUUUGAAUGUCAAGGGUCCGAUAUUCGAAUUAACUUAAUAAUCUACUGCCAAAUUAACCGGUUAAAUCCGUAAUUGUUUGAUUGAUUAAUAUCAGUGGCGACUAGCGUGAUUGGUCCCAUGUUAGGAAAACGUCUGAUCUAAUUUAAACAAACCGUCGUAGCGUGUUUGUUGAUUAGGGUUGGGCUUUUCUAAUUCUUAAUUCAAUUGAGAAAUUAAAUCCCCCGGUCGUACCUAGGAUUAUUUUUUUGUUAGCGAAAUAGUUAAUGGUCGUACCUUGACUAUCGAAAAAGUAAGGAAGAGUUGAUUGUUUAUCGCGUGUACGACAACUAUAAUCAAUCUAUUAAUGAGUAAUUGAAUUAUCUUUGCAUCAGUAAUCAGUUGAAUGGACCGUGUCUGAAAAGUUGUACCUUUGGCUAGAGUCUUAUCUGUUGUUGAUUCAUUCAUAUCUAUCUUCAUGCGUUGUUUUAAUUUAGUUAAUUAGUUAUUUUUAUAAAAACCCCUCAUCUCUGGACUCUAAAAGAAAUAAAUUAUUUCUAGUUCCUGUGGAUUCGAUCCUACUCACCAUACAAUCCAACCUGCAAUUGUAUGAACCCCAAUCUCGCUUCCUAGUCCACCAUUUUUCUCUAGGUAAUAAUCUCCCUUCUAAUUUCUUCACAAAAUGCACCUUUCAUCACCUCCAAUAGCGUCGACAUGAUCUUUACCCCAGAAGACUAUUCACCGACUCUCAAUUGACGUUAGAAAAUCUAAGAGUAAUUCUACUUUACCCUAAGAUUGAUAUCAACAAGACAAGGACAAUUUAGAAUUAUUACACGCCUCUUCUUAAUAGGAAAAAGAAAUAGAGAAGAAAGUCAGGCCAGGUCUAAUUUCUUUUCAAAGGCAAUACAACAUUACGAAAUCAAGCAUUCAUUCAUACAAAUAUUUCAUAGUCACCGGUUUGCUGAGUAGAAAAAUUUAGACAAAAACUUAAUAUUAUAUUGUUUAAGAGUUAACAAUUUAGAGCUUAAUCUCCUUGUACUUUGGAGUUAACAAUUUAGAGCUUAAUCUCCUUGUACUUUGGACUAAACUUGAACGUGAAAGGAAAUCCCAAAACCAUAUUGGGCAUGAAUUCACACUUAAUAUACCCAAUAAAAGAUGGCGACUGGUGAAAGGCAGUGGAGACUGGUGGAGAGAUUUGAGGAAUAGAAGCAGACGGAAAAGCAACAAAUUUUUGCCGAAAAACGGUCACUUUCAUGGUUAAUUUUGCUACUCUCCAAUUGUACUUGACCAAUUACAACAAUUUCAUGGAGUUUGAUACGUGAAAAGAAUUUUUUAUAAAUUUUAUUUUGAUCCAUAAUGUUAUCUUUACAUAUAUAAAACAUUUUACAAUUUUGAUUUUGGCGCAGUUAACUUUUGGUAAACAAAAAUGCUCAUGUUUAAAAAACCGGAAAUAAAACAAAACAAGAAACAAAAGAAAUAAGAGGGUAGCAUAGACAUUUUGGAUUUUUCCGUUAAUUUGGAUGAUUUCCACCCACGUUCUAAUUUAAUCCAAAACACAAAGGAAUUACGUAGAGGUUUUAAAUAAUGAGGGAGCUUCAUGAUCGAACCCCAAACCACAAGGCGAUUUACUAUAUUUUACUCUUAAAUUUUGGUUUCAUCUCAUAGCAUACAAGAGUUCUAUUUCACUAUCUGUAGACAAAGACUUUCUAUGGUUGAUGUACCAUAGGAAAAAAUCUGCCUAUACAACGUGAUAGCAUUUUUUCAAAAACACAAGAUGGAAAAUUGCCCCCUUAAACGGGGAAAUUCAUGAUCUUUCCUCGAACAAAGAAUACUCACGCCUAUUCAAGAUGGAAAAUUGCCCCCUUAAACGUCUAUUUGUCAAUUCUUGAAAAAAGAAUACUCACGCCUAAAACACGGCCUCUUCAUCUGCAGAAUUCUAAAAAGUUAGGUAAACUCUAUAAACAAGUUGAUAGGUACAAUCGUACCCAAGAUCAAGUACAGAUAGUUGUACAUUCACUGCUGCAAUAACUAAUCUGAUGACUUACAAACAUAUCAUGGUCAAUCGUUGAAUGGUAAUGAGUCUUUUGUUAUGCAUUAGUAUUAGUGUGUACACUCUAAUAGAUUGAUACUUAUACUCUUUAAAUUAUCAUAAUAAUACCCUUAAUUAACUUUAACUCUUAAAAAGAAUACGUGUUAAUACACGAGAGUGUGUAACCUGAAUUGUUACUUAUACAUUAGUGUGUAAUAGAUAGGGAUGGCAAUGGGGGCGGGUGCCCGCAGGCAACCGCCCCGCGGGGGGCUCUCGGGGCGGGGAGGGGGGAAUUUUUUCCCCCCGUUUAGAAACGGGGCAGGGGACGGGGGAGUAUACCCCCGCCCCAUCCCCCGCAAAAAAAAUUAUAUAUAUAUAAUUAUAUAUAAUAUGUAAUUUAAUUAGUUAUAAACUUAUGAUAAUGAUAUUAUUAGUUAGAUGUAUUAUAUAAUGUAUAUUAGUGUAUGUAAUAUAAUUAAUAUUAUCAAUUAUACGAAUAAUUAGACAUGUCUACUAAUAGAAUUUAUUAAUUAGUUAUACUAAAUUUACUAAUACAUUUAUACUAAAUUUCUAAUUACAUUUAAUAGAAUAACACUUUUUUCUAAAAAAAAAAGCACAAACACAAUAAUGAAUUAGUGAUUGUAUUUUUACCAAAAAUGAAAACUUAACUAUUUUAGUUGCAUUUAUUUCAUCAUGUUGGAUUGUAUUCAAAUAAUUUUUGUUUGAUUGUUUUUAUGAGUUUCAAUUGUAAAAUUAAAAUGAAUAAUAACUUGAUGAAUAAUAAUGUCAAUCGUUGAAUGGUGUGUACACUCUAAUAUUAUGCAUUAGUAUUAGUGUGUACACUCUAAUAGAUUGAUACUUAUACUCUUUAAAUUAUCAUAAUAAUACCCUUAAUUAACUUUAACUCUUAAAAAGAAUACGUGUUAAUAACUCUUAACCUGAAUUGUUACUUAUACAUUAGUGUGAAAUAGAACGGCAAGCAUUGAGCAACUUAUAGGAGAAAUAGUCCUAUAAGCUGUUGGAUGACUAAUAUAGCUCUAGCUGUAAUGUUUUAAUUAAAUUACAUCACUAACGUUGGGAUGACUAAUGGUUUAAAAAUAAUUGAGUAAUUGGAAAAAAAAAAAGAGACUAAUUUUCAUUGAAACCCACCGACAAACUAAACGUGUCCAUGGCUUUUGAAUAGUGCAUUCAACGUUUAAUUGUAUAGUCCAGUUCAUUGCAGAUUACAUGGAGUAAAGAUUGUGCUCUUUCCUUUUUCACCCCUUUUGGAAUCGAUACUGUGGAGAAUUGGGUUUUUCCCUUCUUUUUUUCUUUUCUUUCUUUCUGUGCUUUGCAAAACAUAGGUAAAAUUAUGAAAUCCGAAGCAUUCUUUAAUUGGGAUUAAGUAUUGUUCUUGAAAUUAAAAAGAAGAAAGAAAGAACAACAAAAUUCCCUGAUUGGUUGCAUCGUGCUUCCAUAGAAGCUCUCUUAGUGUGAUACACUGCUUUCAAUCAGUUUAACAUGGAAAAAAGAAAGAGAUGAAAAGCAAAUUUGGUGGGGAUAAUUUCAGAAACCUCCCCUGAAGAUUUUGACUAUUCUACUGGUCUCCCUUCAGAUUUUAAAAAUUACACUAAUCUUCCUUGAAGUUAUAACAUUUAAAUUCAAUCAAUAAUUUAAAAAAUGAUAUUAUGAAAGAGAAAAUAAUAUGAUUUUAUCAUUGCCCCCCAUCUUACUACAUUAUUUAAUUAAUUUAAUAGCAACCCACACAUUAAAGAAAAAUAUAAAAUUUGUUAUUUAUCAUUAAAGAUCAAAUCGCUUAUAACAUCAAAUAAUAGUAUAUUAUUUAUAUUUUUCACUUAACAUAAUAUCCAAAUUACUCUUUUCAAUUACAUACUCAUUGUUAGACAAUCAACAACAAAUAACCAAAAAAUUUGCAACCAAAAUAUUACAAAAAAAAAUAAACUUUAACAUCAUAAAUAUUCUUAUCAACAUAUUAAAGUUAGUUACUGAAAUUUUUAUGGUGUUAAACUUCACUCUUUGUAAUAUUUUGGUUACAGAUUUUUUUUGAUUAUUUUUUAUUAAUUAUGUUUGAUGAUGGGUUUGUAAUUGAAAAGAAUAAUUUAAAACUUACAUUAAGUGAAAUAUAUAGAGUGAUAUACUAUUUUUUAUAACAUAUGUGAUUCAAUCCUUCUUGAUAGGAUUGGUAAUAGAGGUAGAGGGGGGAGUCGGCUGCAUCCGGUCUUCUUUUCAUAGAUAGUACAAUAUUGCGAAAUCAAUCGCAUUCACACAAUAAUAUUUCGAAGUCAAUGCAUGGCUAAGUUGCAUAAAAGUACGAACACUUGUUAUUAUAUAGCUUAAGAUUCAAAACUUUAGAGCAUAACCCUCCACCUAACACAAUUGAAUAAUGAAUAUUCACGUUUGUCAAAUCUGUCAAAGCACAGUUUGAGGACAACCCAUUCCAACCUGCAAAAGAUUUUUUACUUUUCUAAAGUUGUUGAGAGCUGUAAAAAGACCUACCAUGCUUACAUCCUCCGAGCCUUGGGAGUUAAAAAUGAAGGCACUGAGUGCUAUAAAAAGGGGGCUAGAGGCUGCCUAGAAGCAUAUCAGCCUAAAACAAGAAUUUGUUGUUAUGAUGGGAAGCAAAGCAAAAGCAAUGGGGUCUGGGCUGACUCCUCUUCUUGCCACUGUUUUAGUGGUAUUUGUUGCUCUUGGCUUGCCCUCAGAAACAGCAGCUGAUGAUCACUACAAGUAUUCAUCUCCUCCUCCUCCUUACCACUAUCCCUCACCACCGCCUCCAGUGCAUUUACCUCCACCAGUGUACAAAUACAAGUCCCCACCACCACCUCAUCAUGUUUACAAGUACAAAUCUCCACCACCCCCACCACCACACCCAGUUUACAAGUAUAAGUCACCACCACCACCUCCUCAUCCGGUACCACACCCAGUUUACAAGUAUAAGUCACCACCACCACCUCCUCAUCCGGUAUACAAGUAUAAGUCUCCUCCGCCACCACCACACCCAGUUUACAAGUAUAAGUCACCACCACCACCUCCUCAUCCGGUACCACACCCAGUUUACAAGUAUAAGUCUCCUCCGCCACCAGUUUACAAAUAUAAGUCUCCUCCACCACCACCUCCAGUGUACAAGUACAAGUCUCCACCACCACCAGUUUACAAGUACAAAUCACCACCACCUCCUCCCCCAGUUUACAAAUACAAGUCUCCACCACCACCAGUUUACCACUACAAGUCACCACCACCUCCUCACCCAGUUUACAAGUACAAAUCUCCUCCACCACCAAUUUACCACUACAAGUCACCACCACCUCCUCCCCCAGUUUACAAAUACAAGUCUCCACCUCCUCCUCACCACUACUAAGCAAUUGCUUCUGAGGUAAUAACACUUGUUCAAUAACACUUGAUAGCCAGCUGAAUAUUUGCAGGCAAAGGAGAAGGAAACCAGUGUUUGAGACCUUCUUGAAGAUGUAGAAGCAUAAGAAUUAAAGCCCAAUGUGAAGAUGAUGAUUUCAAGUUUUUCUACGUUACCAUUUCAAUAUCUAAAUUGGUUGUAGCGCCUUAGUUCCUUUGUUUAUGGGAUUUGUAUCGUUUUACGUACCAUGCAGUACAUGUCAUGUUUGUAAGGUUUUCUAUCCUGCCGGCAAACCGCAGGUUCCAUGUAAUAAAUCAAUACUAUUUAUAUUACGACACUUUUCUCUGUUUCUCUUAUAUUUUGUCUUUAAUAUUCUUAAUCAUAUUUUUAACAAAAAUAUUCAAACACUUCAGCAAUGGUUCACCUAGUUGAUCAUCGAAGCAGAGGCAAUUCCAAUUAUUUAUCAAUAAAUAGGAUAUAACUACCAAACAAGCGAUGGCAGUUAACCCCUCCUUACUGUGUCGGUGAUCAAGGUACGCCCGUUAAUCACUGCUCUAAUUGAGAAAUAAUCCUAAGUACGCCCGUAGAAUUUAAUUCCCCAAUUGCCUUACAUAUUAGAGGAGCCCUAUUCUAACCAAAUAACGCACUAUCAGGGUUAUUUUAGAUUAGCCCGCGUAUUCCCCUGACAUAAAUCUAAUCAUGCCAGUUGUCAUUAUUUUGAGGUAAUUAAACAAUUACGGAUUUAACACCUCAAUUGACAAUAGAUUAUUAAAUUAAUUAAUUAUUCGGAUCCAAGACAAUCAAUUAAUUAAACAACCAUAAGCACUACAAUCAGAGAAUAUGCAAAUACCAAUAAAUAAAUAAAAAAUAAAAUUAAAUCGAUCUCACAAUUUUUAGGCGAAUCAGAGCAUCCGUUGUCCCUUGACUAGAGCAAGGAAAUUAGUUCAUAUUUGAUGAACUAAACCCAUACAAAAGGGAAGCGAGAAAUGCAGCCAUUAUCCUUUGAAAUCUGGAAAAUUCAACUUGUCCGAAUAUCGAAUAGAUAGUAAUACUACAAAAGGUAAUUCAUAGCUUCCCUUUCGUCUGACACACAAGAAGAAAAAAAAGGGCUGCUAAUAACUAAAGGAGGAAAAGUCAAAGUCCUAAGCUAUGCUACAAGACGAAAAACUAAAGAAGACAAAAAGGCAGUGCUCAUUCCCUGCAAUCUCAAUUCCUAUUCUAUCUAAGUGCUCUCCAAUGUGCGGCGGCUCCCCUUCCGGAGAGGACGAAGUGGCACCCUUUUUUCCUGCGCAAUUUUCCUAUAUAAAGUAGUGCUCCUUGCAGCGGCUCCUGUGCGAAAAAAUGAAGACUUCGGCCCAAUUUGCCUAACAAGGGCUCACGUUUUGUUGUUCUAAAAAUGUCCCUAGGACAAACUCUAUCAUCUGAACUCUUUUCUUGCCAAAUUAGUACCUGUUAUUAUAUUUUCGUUCUACUCCCUGAAAUAAAUGCAAAAUAUCAAAAGUGAGUAGAAUCUAGCAAUUAAUCCACAUUAGGUCAGGUAAUAGGGAAAAUUAAUAAUAAAAUAAAUGAUAAAAUUGCAAUCUAUCACGGGACCACUGUGGUAAGGUGUGUUUCGCCUAUUAUAAGGAGUUCGGAGAGUUAGACGUGUUGGAGGCGGAGGCGCGGUCACUCCUGCACGCCCUCCAGCUGUGUGCAGAUCGCGAGGUACGGGCGUUGACUGUAGAAUCUGAUUCAAAGGUGCUUGUUCAACUAGUUUGCUCGGAUAUGAGGUCGAAGUGGCCGGUGUGUAUCGUAUUGCGGGAAAUAAGACAUUUGAUCCGGCGGAUGGGUGCAUCCCUUCAUCAUAUAUUCCGUGAGGCCAAUUCGGUGGCGGACGCAUUGGCUUCUCUGCAAUUGGGAGGGCAGCAGUACUACACCUCAGGCGUGGCGCUGCCUUUCAGGCCCAGAGGAGAGGCUCUGCUGGAUCGUCAAGGAGUACCUCGCAUCCGUGAGGCGCUCACUAAGGUUUGAUAGGCUAUGUCCUCCUUUCAAAAAACUUAUUUCAUCUACUCCUUGUAAUCAUUUUUCUUAUCAAUAAAUUGAGGCUUUUUAUUUAAAAAAAAACAUAUAAUUUAAGGCAAAAAUAUGAUCCUAGCGAGUAUCGCACUGAGACAUUAGGAAACAUCAUUAAAAGAGUAUUUCUUGAGUUAGUGCAACUAUUUCUUAGGGGAAUUUAUAGUUACAAAAUUCAAAAAUUUGAGAUUCUAUUACUGAUUAAUUAAGGGCGUUAUCACUAUUUUUCUUAUUAUCACCAUUAUUUACCCCACAUACUAUAAGUUUUUUUAGGGCACAGGAAAAGAGGUGGGCCGAUGUUUAGUUAUGUACAAAAGUUCAAAAUUUGUAGAUAACUUAUCAUGUGCCCUUAGAGCGUAGAAUACAGAAAAAAUAUCUUAAACUAUAACUAAUCCUAAUAUUUUUCUCUAUGAUAAACUAGCUCUUAUCCAUUUCUUUAGAUGAUGAAAGGAAAUAGUUAGUCACCUGUCCUCUAGUGAUUACAACAGCAUCAAAACAAAUUAGCACUCUUUUCCCGUAGUUUAAAAAUCCCUCAGCCACUAAGAUUUUGCAUGUCGAACGAAUUAAGGAACAUAGAAGGUUCGUGCUGCACCACAGUGUCCUUGUUGACGAUGCAAAGACAGAAAUGCAUCCGCGUAUACUUCCUUAAGCAUUUUGAUUACUUUAUGAUUCGAACUUUUCUUGUCUGACAGCUGGACUUAAUUGAAAAACACAAGUAACAAUAUUUCAAAGUUGAUUCGUCAAAGUUUACCCAAUUGGUGAAACUUUCUUCAUAGAGCUGACUUUGUAUUAGGUGACAAUGAUAUGGAAUUGAUGUCCUUCCCUUUUUCCUUUUUUUGUGUUGAAGACGCACAACGUUUUCAAUGGCAAAUUUAUAUGGGCUUUUCACGACAAAAUGUGUUCUGAAAAGUUCAUUCCAGAGGUUAAAAUUUUGUGUGUUAAAAAUUUGCUUCUCAGGACUUUGAUGGGAAAGUCUUGGUGUUUCCAAAAAGUUUAAGCAGGAUGCUUCUGGCUUUCUCUCCAUGUAUUUGUGAGUUAGAUCUAAAAUUAUCAGGGCUCCAGAGAUCUCUUGAAAUCGCAGCAUAUAUUGAAGUCUUUCCAGAAGGAGUCUUUUUUUUUUUUUUUAUGAAUUAUGAUAGAUAAUUAAUCUGACGGUGCAUAUAUAUAUAUAUGUGAUUUGCAGUAGGGUGUUUGACGAAAUGGUUAGGCUUCCUAAGUAAUGAUAGGAAUGCCAUUUGCAAAGAAGGACAGGGGGCUGGUGCUGUCAUAUUUUAUGCGAUUUGAUCCGUUGUUGUAUAAGUUUAAACUUUUGACGUGCAAUUGUGCUAUAAUAUUAUACUAAAUAUAUGUGUGAAAUAUUUUGUCUAUAUACAUCACUUUUAUCAUGAAUACAACAGCUGAGUAUAAUAAUAUAGUAUAAUGUAAUUGUACACCAAAUAAUGUAGCAAAUAUAACAAUUGAUCCGAAUUACACGGAACCAUAACAACAAGAUCACCGCCUCCCAAAUUUUACAAAAUUAGGUUUUUUUUUUUUCUCUUAGAUUAUUGAAAAUUUUCAAAAAUAAUCUACAUAAUUUAAGCUUUUGUCCUACAAAAAUUUGAAGAGAUUUUACAUUACAAGCUUAAGCUUAGAUAUAUUAAACUUUGCCCCCAAGAUUAAUUUUCCGUUUUUAUCUAUGAACCGAUCCAUAUAGCUAGUUAGACUGUAGUCCUCACAUUUGUGGGAUUUAACACCCAAGAUUCUCCUUCUUGGAAUGUAAAAUGUAGAUCUUCUAUGUUAAUAAUUCAAGACCCUACUGUCAUAAACGAAAUGACUGAUCAACUCCUGUAAACCUAAUUUGACAACAUUUAAAUGGAGAACUUUAGCUAAAAGAAUUAUGGUCAAGCUAAAGAAAAAGCCAGUUAUUUUCCAACAUAUGCAAUCAUUGAUCAGGAAAAAAAAAAAAAAGCAAAAAGACAUCUUCAAUCAUUUAAUAGCUCACAGUGCAAAUUAACCCCUAAGCGAAAACUGGUUGCUCUAGAAUCAAAAUUUUACCUUAGUUACCCAGGCAACUUUUUUGUUGCUUUUUUUUUUUUCUUUUCCUUUUUGGGUAUAUAUAUAGCUCCAGUUUUGCCCCCUCUGUCAAGCUUAUAUAAUUAUUAAGAUAAUAAAAGUGCCUUGAAUAGUAUUAAUAUAUCCAUUGACUUGAGCUGUCAUCGAUCGGUUUGGGCUACUUCGAUUCCAUGAGAACAAAUGGUAAUAAAAGUACUCAGAAAAUAGGGAGCCAUGAAACCCUUUUGUUCUAUUCAUUGCUAAGAUGCUUUUCUCUAUAAAGAGACUUCCUAACGAAAGUACUUUGUAGAUUUCUUUACUCCAAGUGGUGCAUGGAAAAUUAAAAUAUUCAAUUAUCAAAUAAAAUUCCCUUUUUUCGGUGUAGAUUUCAUCCAUCCAGCUGUUAACACAUUUUAUGUAUCCGAAUUAUAUAUUCUCUACCAAAUAUUGUAACUUUUCUGAGCAUCUUUACAUUUUUAUUCCCACCUAACAAAUUAGUUGUUGAGCAUCUUUACAUGCUAUCGGAUCACAAGUUAAUAAUCUUUUAAAGAACAUGUUAAAUUAAUUUAUUGGUAUGAAUAGUCAAAGAAGUAUAUUAAAGUUAGUAAUCUUUAAACACCACGAUGCAAUUAAUACUUUCAAGCUCAAGGUCUUUUUUUUUUUUUUUUUUGGUACUGUACUUCCUUGCUUUAUAGUAUGCACGUUUAUUUCUGUGGAUUGCUUAAGCUUAUAUUGUUAAUAAUUGGGCAUUUAACCAUAAAUUAUAAUGAUUAUGAAGUCAUAUAUAUAUAUAUAUAUAUAAGAAAAUUACCACAAUUAUUCAAUUUUUUUUGCAAAUUCAAAUUUUAUUAAUAAGAAAUAGGCAGUAAGCUUUUACAAACGGAAAAAAAAAAUCCUACAACAACUCUAGGACCUUUGAAAGAAAGAAAAAAAAAAGAAAAGAAAAGCUUAAGGACUCUACCUCAUAGAAGCUAAACAAUCCUACAAAUAAACUGCAAAAUAAAUCACAAUAACGCAAAAUUUUUGUCUUUCUUCCGUAUGAAAUGAAACUACGAAGUCAAGAAUUGACUCCUUUAACCGCUAUUGCCAGCGGGCUCCGUCAGCAAGAUACAACUUUGCAAUUUGAUUCAAUAGAAAUCCUCAAAUAGCUAUUUUGACAGGCAAAUUAAGCAUUAAUUUUGGUAUCCCUUCAUAAAAUACAAGAGUACUUUUGAUUAUAUCUAUAGAUCAACUUUCUAGGCUAUUUUGAUGUAUUAUAAGAAAAUCUGCCUCAACAAUUUUGAUAGCAUUUUUCCAAAAGCAGAAGAUGGAAAAUUGCCCAUUUGUACUGGGGAGUUCGUGAUCUUUUCCUCCUUCUAGUCUACUUACAAUUCUUGGAAAAAGGAAUACUCACAUCUCAAACAACUGCCUGUUCAUCUGCAAUGUCCUGCCGAAUUCUAGAAAGUUAGGUGGCAAUGCUAAUUACAUUUCAAAAUUGACUGCUGCGAUGACUAAUUCGAUGGCUUACUACAUGGUCAACGUUUGGAUCCCUUCCUGUCCUUUUUGGAUGCACAUUUUUUUUCUCUAGGCAAUAUAUAAUCUCCCAACUCAUUUCUUUACAAAUGCACCUUUAAUCACCACCAAAAGGUGUGGACAUGAUCUUUACCCUAGAAAACUAAUCACCGACAGGCAAAUUGACGUCAGAAAUACUAAGAGGAAUUCUAGUUUCCUUCGGGUUAAUGCCAUUUUGUACCCUUCAACUGUAACUCGAUUUCUAAACUAUAAUUUGUGACAUUAUAGUCCUUAAACUAUGAAACCCCUCUUACUUAAGUACAAUGGUUAAUACAAUACCCGUGACUAGACAAGCAACCAUAACAAAAAAAAAUCCAAAAUUAGAGAAAAGAAAGAAGUUUCGCGACCAAAGUAUGUAUCAAGGCAUAGUAUAGAAAUAAAAGUGUCCAAAUUAAGAGUUUAGGGAUAAAAGAGAUCAAGAUAUAGUUUAGGGAUUGAUUUGUCUCAAUUAGAGUUUUGAUGUCAACUAAGAAGAGAGAUAUAGUUGAAGGGUAGAAUAUAGAUAUAACAGUUCAAUGAUUGAUAUCAACGAGACAAUGACAACUUUGGAUUAUUACCAACCUCUUCUUGAUGGGAAAAGGAAAUAGAGAAGAAAGUCGGGCCUGGUCUAAGCCUGCUUCGGAGGCAAAACAACAUUAUGAAAUCACCGGCAUUCACACAAAUAUGUCAAAGUCACCGGCAUGCUAAGUUGCAUAAUUUAUACAAACACUGAAUAAUAUAUUGUUCUUAAAAUUUUUGUUUAAGAUUUAACAAUUAGAGCACGGUACACGAAUUAGCAAUAUUAAAUAAUGAAUGUUCACGAUUGAUAAAGUUAUCAAAGUACAGUUUGAGGACAACCCAUUCCAACGUGUACAAGAUGUUUAGCCUUUGAAAAGUUAAUUAGAGAAGGUGACGAGAUUUUACUAGGCUUAAAUCUUCUAGGCCUCGGAAGUAAAAAAUGAAGGCCUUUGAGUGCUAUAAAAAGGGGGCUAGAUGUUGCCUAGAAGCAUAUCAGCCUCAGACCACAUUUUGUAGCAAUGGGGAGCAAAGCAAAAGCAAUGGGGUCUAGGCUGACUCCUCUUCUUACCACCGUUUUAGUGGUAUUUGUUGCUCUUGGCUUGCCUUCAGAAACUGUGGCUGAUUACUACAAGUAUUCAUCUCCUCCUCCUCCUUACCAUUAUUCCUCACCACCACCUCCUGUGCAUUCACCUCCACCACCGCCAAUUUAUAAGUCACCCCCACCACCUUACCACUACUCCUCACCGCCACCUCCAGUGUAUUCAUCUCCACCACCACCUUCGCCAGUUUACAAGUCUCCGCCACCACCUUACCAUUAUUCGUCACCACCGCCUCCGGUGCAUUCACCUCCACCACCACCUGUUUACAAGUCACCUCCACCACCUUCGCCAGUUUACAAGUCUCCGCCACCACCUUACUAUUAUUCGUCACCACCGCCUCCGGUGCAUUCACCUCCACCACCACCGAUUUACGAGUCACCUCCACCACCUCCUCCAGUUUACAAGUCUCCGCCACCACCUUACCAUUAUUCCUCACCACCACCUCCAACGCAUUCACUCCCACCACCAGUUUACAAAUCACCGCCACCACCUCCUCCUAUGUAUAAGUCCCCUCCACCACCUUAUCAUUAUUCCUCACCACCACCUCCAGUGCAUUCACCCCCACUGCCACCAAUUUACAAGUCUCCGCCACCUCCAAUCUACAAGUAUAAGUCACCACCACCUCCUCCCCCAAUUUACAAGUCACCACCACCACCUCCUCCAGUAUAUAAGUCCCUACCCCCACCAGUGUAUAAGUACAAGUCUCCACCACCACCUCCUCCAGUAUACAAAUCACCUCCACCACCUCCUCCAGUUUACAAAUCUCUACCACCACCAAUUUAUAAAUACAAGUCUCCUCCACCACCUCCUCCGGUUUACAAUUCCCCACCACCACCAAUCUACAAGUCUCCACCUCCACCCUCCCAUUACUACUACAAUUCUCCUCCUCCUCCUCCUCAUCACUACUAAGCAAUUGUAUCCAAGUUUUUGAGGUAAUAAUGCUAAACCAAUAUAUUAACUUUCGCAUGAUAAACUUUAUCUCUAUCAAGACAAACUGCCAUGUGCAUCAAGCCAAAUACGUACACUUCGAUCCAUGAAAAUGACAAGUAGAAGGUUUUCUUAAGAACCAAGGAACAGCAUUAGUAUUCCCUCUGUUUCCAAAACUUGUGUAUUAAAUAGAUUAAUGAAUUGUUUAACAUGCUUAUCUACUUGAAAAUGCACAAUACCCAUAACCCACUGAAAUUUUUGCAGGUAAAGGGGAAGAGAAUCUGUGUUUGAGAGCUUCAUGAAGAUGUUGAAGAAUAAGAAUAAAAGCCCAAUGCGAGGAUGUUUUCAAGUUUUUCUAUGUUUCCACUUUAAUUUGUAAAUUGAAUUUUUCGACUUAAUUAAUUCCCUGUUUGUGGGGUACGUAUUGUUUUACGUACCAUGCCGUACAUGUUUGUAAGGAUUUCUAUCCUAUUGGCAAAAGUCGGUUCCAUACAAUUAAUCAAUUCAUUUCACUUCUAUUGGCUCUACUAUUUAUGCACGUUACGACAUUUUUUCUCUCUUUCCCUUAUAUUUUGUCUUUAAUAUUAUUGAGUCAAUAGUAAUACUGGGCCAUUUUUUUUAAAACUUAUACUAGUAUACAUAGGUAGUUUGGUCUAACGCCAAAUUCAUGUUUGUCUUUCUUUUAUUCCCUUUACAUUUCAAAGUAUACUAUAGUUUGUGAUCAUUGUGGUGAUGAUAUUACCAGCUGGUACUUAUAGUUUAAGGCAGAGACAUGAUAUUAACAACUAUCUCAUUGAAACAUAAGGAAAAAUCAUGACAAGUGUGAGUCUUGGUUAAUGCACAAUUUGUUAGUGGAAUUUAUAUUUAUAAAACUCAAAAAAAAAAUUUUGACAAUGCUAUUACUAAUUAAUUAAGGACUUUAUUGCUAUAAUUUAUCGCUUGCUAGUUUAAACUAUAAAUGAUCUCAAUACUUUUCUCCAUGAUGUCGAUUUCUUUAGAUACGAAAGGGAAAAAUUAGUGACAUAUCCCUUACUGAUUACAACAUCAGCAAAAAUUAGUUAUAAACUUUUCCGGUGGUUUUAAAUCCCCGGGCCCUAAGAUUUUUUGCUCAUCGAGUGAAUUAAGGAACAUAGGCAAUUCAUUUUGCAUACCAAGUCCUUGUUUAAGAUGCAAGUACUAAAAUGCAUCCACUUCAUUAAUUUGGGAAAUUGCCAUAGUUUUUUUAAGCAUUUUGAUUUUUUACAUGAUUUAAAAUUUUCUUAUUGGAUACAAUCACUUUGUAUCAAGAACACAUUUUCAAUCACCUUUUUUUAUCUUCUCAAUGAGAAAAUAAAAAUUUAUUCAUGCUUUUCUAACAUAUUCAAUCAUUGAUCUGAAAAUUAAAACAUUAAGAAAAGGACAUUUUCAAACAUUAAGAAGUAGUAUUUUAAAGACCAUGAUGAAAUUAAUACUUUCAAGGUCUCUAUUAGGAAGACUUCCUUUAUUAAUACUCUACUAGGCAGAGUUAUAUGCACGUUUACUGUUUUGGCCUUAAGUUGGGUGCAGAUGCUUAUAUUACAAAUAGAUGGUAUCAAAAAAUUGUUGUAUUCACGUCUGUUCUUUUUUUCUUCCUUAAGUUUUUUUCUUUAUUCUCGUGACUUCGCUAGUGAGGUAUAACUUCACAACUAGAGUCAAUAGAAAUCGUCAAAUGAUUUUUUGACAUCCAAAUUAAGCAAUAAAUUUUGUUUUCAUUUCAUAACAUAUAAUAGUACUACUUCAUGGGAGAUUUUAUAGUUUCUUUAGGGUAUCAUACCUACAAUUGAUAUUUAUCAUUGGAUAGUGAAAGAAGUGUUAAUGUCUCUAAGAUUAAAUAUUGUUAAAUAUUGAAAAUUUGAACUAUUUAUCUCUAUUGAGAGAUACAACUUAAAGAAUCCUACCCAAAAGAGACUAGAAUUUUCUCUGUUUUUCAUCAUCUGUAGACAUAAACUUUCCACGGUUGAUAGCAUUUUUCAUCAUCUAUAAGGAAAUUUUGCCUAUACAAUGUGAUAGCAUUUUUCAAAAAGACAAGAUGGAAAAUUGCCCCCCUUGAACGGAAAAUUGCCCCCUUGUCAAUUCUUUAAAAAAGAAUACCGUCCCGCAGAAUUCUAGAAAGUUAGGCAAAACUAGACAAGUUGACAGGUAUAAUCAGACCCAAGAUCAGGAACAAGCAGUUGCACAUUUCAAAAUUCGCUGCUGCAACAACUAAUUUGAUGACUUACAACACUAAAUGGUCAAACUUUGAAUGGCAAUGAAUCUUUUGUUGUACAUCAUGAUGUAAUUUUCAUGUUACAUAAUAGAUUGAUAUCUAUGUUCUUUAAAUUAUCAUAAUAAUUAAAUUUAACUGAAAAAAAGAACACAUAUCAAUACACAAAAGUGUGCAACGUGAAUGUUAUUUUAGUGUAUUGCAGAAGACCUAUAGUCUCUUCAUAUCUCUUCCUGCACGUAUCAAUUCGUUUCCUCUAGAUAAUAAUCUCCCAACUCAUUUAUUUACAAAUGCACCUUUUAUGUUUUAUUACCUCCAAAAGCCUAAAAAUCAAUUCACCGACUCGCAUUUGGUAUCAGAAAUUCUUAUUACGAAUUCUACUUUACUCAAAGAUUGACUGUUAAUAAUGAGACAACGACCAUUUUGUAUUAUUACACCGUCCUUCUUGAUAGGCAAAAGAAAUAGAGAGGAAAGCGGGUCCGUAUAUGGUCUUUUAUUCAUAGAUAAUACAACAUUACGCCAUCGAGCAUUCACACAAUAUUUCAAAGUCAUUGCAUGCCUAAGGCCUGCUUGAUAAUCUAAUUCCGUACUUAAAUUUAAUAAAUUCAAAUCUUAACACAUUCAAAUCGUUUGAUAACAAAAAAUUGAACAUCUAAAUUAAUUAAGUAACACUGAAUUUUCUAGGCAAAACUUGCUCCCAAAAUUAAGUGAUAAGUUAUUCACUUAUCACUGAAUAUGAUAUGUAUUCAAAUGUAUUAGAUUUAAUACUUAAUAAUUUAAUGAAUUCAAAUUUCAUAUUUCAUAUUUCAGUUUUAUCAAACACACCUUAAGUUGCAAAAUAAUACCAAAACUUGUUAUUACAUAGCUUGAGAUUCAAAAAUUUAGAGCAUAAUUCUCAACCAAACACAAUUGAAUAAUGAAUAUUCACGAGUGUCAAAUCUAUCAAAGUACAAUUUGAGGACAACCCAUUCAAACGCGUACACGAUUUUUAACUUUUCUAAAGUUGUUGAGAGCUGUUGAAAGAGAUUUACCAUGUUUACAUCUUCCAAGUCUUGGGAGUAAAAAAUGAAGCCACUGAGUGCUAUAAAAAGGGGGGUAGAGGCCACUUGAGAUCCUCGGUGACAUGUUUUCUAUGCCAAUCCAAUGCCACCAAUAGUGUUGCGCCAAGUGUCAUGUUAUUAUUUACACUUGUGUUAAACUAAGCCAAGUUGAAUUAUUAGAAAAUUAAAGUGUAAAUAAUAACAUGACACUUGGCGCAAUACUAUUGGUGACAUUGGGUUGGCAUAGAAAAUAUGUCACCGAGGAUCCCAAGUGGAUAGAUGCUGCCUAGAAGCAUAUCAGCCUAAAACAAGAAUUUGUAGUAACAAUGGGGAGCAAAGCAAAAGCAACGGGGUCUAGGCUGACUCCUCUUCUUACCACUGUUUUAGUGGUAUUUGUUGCCCUUGGCUUGCCCUUGGAAACUGCAGCUGAUUAUUACAAGUAUUCAUCUCCUCCUCCUCCUCCUUACCAGUAUUCCUCACCACCACCUCCAGUGUAUUCACCUCCACCAACCCCUGUUUAUAAGUUACCCCCACCAUCUCCUCUAGUUUACAAGUCCUCACCACCACCUUACCACUACUCACCACCUCCUGUGUAUUCACCUCCACCAUCACCAAUUUACAAGUCACUGCCACCACCCCCUCCAGUAUACAACUCCCCGCCUCCACCAGUGUACAAAUACAAGUCCCCACCACCACCUUCUCCAAUUUACAAAUCUCCACCGCCACCAGUUUACAAGUACAAGUCACCCCCACCACCUCCUCCGGUAUACAAGUCUCCUCCGCCACCUGUUUACGAGUACAAGUCUCCUCCACCACCUCCUCCAGUGUACAAGUCCCCACCACCUCCAGUUUACAAGUACAAGUCACCACCACCUCCUCCCCCGGUUUACCAAUCUCCUCCACCACCAGUUUACAAAUACAAGUCACCACCACCUCCUCCCCCAGUUUACCAGUCUCCACCUCCACCCUAUCAUCACUACUACGGUUCUCCUCCUCCUCACCACUACUAAGCAAGUGCAUCUAAGUUUUGAGGUAAUAAUACCGAUCCAAAACUUUAUCAACGCAAACUGCCAUGUAUAUCAUGCUAAGGACGUACACUUGAUCCAUGAAAAUGGCUAGUAGAAGAUUUUUUUUAAGAACCAGAGAAAUACAUUAUUUUUUCGCUCUGUUUUCAAGAAUUUGAGCAGUAUACAGAUUAAAGAGUGUUUUUUUUAAACUUGCUUAUCAACUUAGAAAUGCACAUAGCUGAAAGCCAACUGAAUAUUUGCAGGCAAAGGAGAAGGCAAUCGGUGUUUGAGACCUUCAUGAAGAUGUAGAAGAAUAAGAAUAAAAGCCCAAUGCGAGGAUGAUUUCAAGUUUCUACGUUACCAUUUCUACAUCUAAAUUGACUUUAGCUCCUGAGUUCCAUGUCUAUGGGGUUUGUACUGUUUUACGUACCAUGCAGUACAUGCUUGUAAGGUUUUCUGUCCUGUUGGCAAGCCGCAGGUCCAUAUAAUAAAUGAAUACUAUUUAUAUUACGACACUUUUCUCUCUUUCUCUUAUAUUUUGUCUUUAAUAUUGUUGAUCAUUUUUUUUUUUUAUCAAAAGUAUCAAAUGCUUAGGCAAUUUGGUCUAAUGCUAAUUGUUUUACAUUUAUUUUUCACCUACAUCCCUUUUCAACUCAAAGGAUGCUACAGUUUGUGAUCAUUGUUUAAGACCGAAGCAUGGUACUAAUAAAUAUCUCAUUGAAAGUCAAGGAAACUAACAUUAUGAAAAGUGUAAAUCUUGAUUUGUGAAACUAUUUAUUCGUGGAAUUUAGAGAUACAAAACUCAAAUUGUGACGGUGUUGUUGCUAAAUUAUUUUUUUUUUAUAAUAAAACACAGUUCAUUCAAGGAUUACUGGAAAUCGUCCAGCACAAUUGAGAUACAUUGUUGCCCAGGUGGCAGAUAAAUAUGCACUAAAAUUAUAGAUAUGCAAUUUAACAAAUACAUAAGAUUUGAGAAAUUAAGGACAAAUCUAAAAAGGACCAUAAAUUUGAAAAACAUUUCAUCCUAGAAUAAGUCGCUGCAACUCUCUUUGUGCAUGCUGUAAUCGUCAGAUCUACUAAUCAACAGUUGUAAGGUCCAGUAAAGAUGGUGAGAUCUGCCGAGAUUGAUCCAAAUCUGAAAUAUUCCCUCAGAUCUGCUAUCCAAUUGGUUCAAACUCAAUACUGAAAGUGAAAUCUGAUGAGAAGACUGAAAAAAUUGUAGAUCUAACAUAUAGAUCUAAAAAAACUCCAAGAUUUGAAAAAGUAAAGAAACAAAACUAAAUAAAACUCUCAUUAAGAUAGUUUAGGAGAGACUAAAACUCUCAAUAGGACACCCUAGGAGAGAAGAAAACUCUCACUAGGAUAACCUAUGAGAGACUUUAUUGAAUGAAAGGAAAAGCAAAGGACAAAGGAAGAAGAAGGGAGACCUUGGCUUAAGGCCAAGGUCUCCCUCCUAUGGAGGAGGAAGGGUAGAGGAGGAAGCCUAGAGAGAAGGAAGAGAAUCCCUCCGCUAGAGGGAAGGAAGAGCCUCUGAGAGGGUACCCGUGUUGUUGCUAAAUUAUUAAGGACAUUAUCACCAUUACUUUUCCCUUACUAGUUUCAACUGCAAUGAUCUCAAUCUUUUUGUGACUAAUUCUUUUCUUAAUAAUUUAUAAAUACAAAACUCACAAAGAAUAUGUGACUUAUUCUUUCCUUUCGUCUUCUAAAGAAAAUGCCAACUGUUAGUUUAUCAAGGGAAAAAGGAUCGACAUCAGUUGUUAUUGAAACUAGUAAGGAAUAAAUAAUGGUGAUAAUGUCCUUAAUAAUUUAACAACAGCACCAUCAGAAUUUGAGCUUUGUAUCUAUAAAUUCCACGAAUAAAUAGUUUCAUCAAAUCAAGAUUUACACUUUUCAUAAUGUUAAGUUUCCUUGACUUUCAAUGAGAUAUUUAUUAGUAUCAUGCUUCGGUCGUAAACAACGAUCACAAACGAUAGCAUCCUUUGAGUUGAAAAGGGUAGUGAAAAAGAGAAGUAAAAAAUACAAUUAGCAUUCCCUCAAAUUGUAGAAAGUUAGGUAGCAUUAUAGACAAGUUGAUAGCCGUAAUUAUACUAAAAAUCAGGCAAAAGCCAGCAAUUUUACAUUUCAAAAUUCACCUAUUCAAUAACUAAUUCGAUGGCUUGCUACAUGGUCAAAAUUCACCACAUAUCCCUUUCCUCAAUCAGGGGCUUCUACAAUUACCAGUUCCAAUUGUAUGGUAUAGUGUAAAUAUCAACAAAUUAGAUGUAGACACUAAUAUAAUAAAUAUGGAUGCUAAGGCAACAACAUACAAAAACAUAAUAAAUUUUGGCAUUCCUUAAAAAAUUACGUCCCCAAAUCAAUCUCAUACACCCAAUUUCUAAUUUAUUUAACUCAUUCCGUCUAUUAACUGCACCAUACAAUCCAACCUGCAAUUGCAUGAACCCCAAUCUCGCUUCCUAGUCCACCAUUUUUCUCUAGGUAAUAAUCUCCCUUCUAAUUUCUUCACAAAAUGCACCUUUCAUCACCUCCAAUAGCGUCGACAUGAUCUUUACCCUAGAAGACUAUUCACCGACUCCCAAUUGACGUCAGAAAAUCUAAGAGUAAUUCUACUUUACCCUAAGAUUGAUAUCAACUAGACAAUGACAAUUUAGAAUUAUUACACGCCUCUUCUUAAUAGGAAAAAGAAAUAGAGAAGAAAGUCAGGCCAGGUCUAAUUUCUUUUCGAAGGCAAUACAACAUUACGAAAUCAAGCAUUCAUUCAUACAAAUAUUUCAUAGUCACCGGUUUGCUGAGUAGAAAAGUUUAUACAAAAACUUAAUAUUAUAUUGUUUAAGAGUUAACAAUUUAGAGCUUAAUCUCCUUGUACUUUGGACUAAACUCGAACGUGAAAGGAAAUCCCAAAACCAUAUUGGGCAUGAAUUCACACUUAAAUAGACCCAAAAAAAGAUGGCGACUGGUGAAAGGCAGUGGAGACUGGUGGUGAGAUUUGAGGAAUAGAAGCAGACGGAAAAGCCACAAAUUUUUGCCGAAAGAGGGUCACUUUCAUGGUUAAUUUUGCUACUCUCUACUUGUACUUGACCAAUGACAGGUUGUCAGUCUGUGCAAUAAUAAAAACCUGUUCAAACUAAAAGUAAUUUCUGUAGAUAGUGGUAAGCAGGGUCGAAUCCACAGGGAUUAGGUGUAACUGUUUCUUUUCAAAUUCACAAUAACAAAGGGGGUGUUUUUAUGCAGAAUGUGACAAUCAAAGAAAUUCAAUUAAAAGUAAAAUAAUAAAAAUAAAAUAGCCAACUAGAAAUUAAAUAACAAUUUACUAAAAUCAAAUGAGUGAUAAUUAAGGAUCUAGCCAAGGAAUAACUUCAGCAGUGGUUCACCUAAUUGAUCAUUGGAACAAAGGCAAUUCCAAUUAUUUACUAAUAAAUAGGUUAUAACUGCCAAACAAGCGAUGACAGUCAAUCACUCCUUACUGUGUCGGUGAUUAAGGUACGCCCGUUAAUCACUGCCCUAAUUGAGAAAUAAUCUUAGGUACGCCCGUAAGAUUUAAUUUUCCAAUUGCCUUACAUAUUAGAGGAGUGUCAGGAACAAGGAAAUAGAAUGGGACGUCGUUUAAUGCAAAGGGUUGUGCGUUUAAGGCCUUAGAAGCAAUACUACGUCGUUCUAAUAACAUAGGCGGUGCUGGUGUGAUAGGCCAAGUUAGUUGAGGGUCAAUUACAUAAAUAGCCUUCUGUAACAGAUUUUUGGUUAUGUUUUUGAAUGAAAAGUAUCUCGCUGCUUUCUCUCUCUUGUCUGUUAUUUCCCUCCCUUUUCUUCUUUCUCUCUUCCCUCUUCUUAAUCUUGUUUCUUUCUUCUGAUUCUUCCCCCAAAUUCAAUACAAUUCCAGAAAUUAACCUGCAAGUCUGACAUUUGGUAUCAGAGCGGUCGAUUCUUGGCCGCGAAGGUAUCAGAAAUGGCUGAGAGCACGCGAUUCAGGACACUGGAGGAGCAACUCAAGAAGCAGGAGAAUCGGUUGCAAGAACUGGCGGAAUCCAUGGCUGCACUGCAGAGUACGAGUUCCGAGGAGUUGCGGCAUAAGCUACAGGCGGAAAUGGAGCAGAACAAUGCAAAAUUGGACGCGGUGGUGGGAAGUCUGGACCAGAAGUUCAAUAAAAUGGAACAGAGACUCAGUACAGUGUUGAAGCUGCUGAUGAAGGAGAAAGGUCUCCCUGAUGUCGAAGGAGGAAUUUCUGAUCCAAUCUUGCCGACUCCUCCAUCUCAUCUGAGGUUAGCAUCCUCAGUCGAAGGGAUUGGGCACCAACAAGAGUACAGAGGUAGGCAAUUCACUCCUAAUGUACCUCGAUUAGAACUGCCAAUGUUUAACUCUGGAAACCCUAGGGAAUGGACCAGGAAAUGCCAGAAAUAUUUUUUGAACUAUCAGAUAGCAGAGAGUCAAAAGGUAGAGGUAGCAGAGAUGUUUUUGGAAGGUAGAGCUGACAAUUGGUUUCAAGGAGUGAAAUUGGUGAGGCCAGGGUUGUCUUGGGGGGAAUUUAGUGAACUUUUGUGUGAAAGAUUUUCUGGAAGUAGUUCUCGUGACAUUGUGGAGGAAUUUAACAAGUUACAGCAGAAAGGAACUGUUGAGGAAUAUGAGGAGAAAUUUGAAGAACUAAAAGCUCUAAUGCUGAUGAAAACCCCCAGGUUGGAUGAACUUUACUUUGUUUCCAGUUUUAUUAGUGGCCUCAGGGAAGAAAUUAGACCUAUGGUGAAGAUGUUUAAGCCUCAAACACUGAUGAAGGCCUUUGAAGUUGCGGAGUUGCAGGAGUGUUCCCUGGAAAUCCAAUCGAAACAAAACAGAACUUCAAGGAGGACAGCAAUGGAACCCAAGUUUGGAAUGUAUAAGGGCACUACGAGUGAUUAGGGUCGCCAAAAUUCAUAUAAGUUGCCUGGAGUCACUCCUGUCUCCAGGAGGACUAAUGCAGUACACAAGGAAUUUAGUAAGAUAUCAGCGGAGGAAAUGCAGUAUAAGCGUAAGCACAGCCUGUGCUAUAGGUGUGGAGAGAAGUUUGGAAUAGGUCAUCAGUGUAAGAAAGGAAGUCUGAACUGUGUGAGCACUGAGGAAGAGGAGGACACUGAAUUUGAGGAUGCGGAAGGGGAACAGGAUGAGUUAACAGGAAGGGUCGGGGAACUUGCAGAAGUCUCUUUGAAUGCUUUAUCUGGUGCCAUAAGGAGGAAAUCCAUCCUGUUGAUAGGGAACUUAGGGGGGCUUCCAGUCAAAAUUUUGGUGGACACAGGCAGUUCUAACAGCUUCAUUCACCACAGGAUUGUCAACCUACUGCAUCUACCAUAUCAGGCAGUCAGUCCAUUUACUGUGACUCUAGCAGAUGGAACUGACAUUACCAGUGGAGCCAUCAGUCCCAGCGUGUCUUGGUUAAUUCAGGACUAUCAAUUCCAAUUUGACUUAAAAGUAAUGGAAUUAGGGGGAUGGGAUAUAAUUCUGGGGGUGGACUGGAUGUGCCAGUAUAGUCCCAUUACAUUUGAUUUCCACUCUCUUAGCAUUGCCCUUAGUGAUAGGGGUUCUUUACUACACCUCCAAGGACUUGUGAAGCAACCUACUAUGGAACUGGUGAGGGGCAGGGAUCUCAGCUCGUUUAUACAGGAGAAGCAAAGAAACUGUGCAGCCAUGCAUGCUGAUAGGGCCAGGGAAACAGGAGAGCAGCUUCCAAAAGCUAUAGAAAGGAUCCUGGAACAGCACUCUCAGGUUUUCUCCACCCCAACAGGAUUACCCCCAGAGAGGGAAUUGGACCAUCAGAUCAACCUCAAACCAGGAGCUGAACCCUUCAAGCUCAAACCUUACAGGUACCCCCACUCACAUAAAGCAGAAAUUGAAAAAAAAGUUGCUGAGAUGCUCACUAAUGGAAUUGUUAUACAUAGCACAAGCCCCUAUGCCUCCCCUGUAUUGUUAGUAAAGAAAAAGGAUAACUCCUGGAGAUUAUGCAUAGAUUACAGGAAGCUGAACGAGCUGACUAUAAAGGAUAAGUUCCCUAUUCCCAACAUAGAUGAACUAUUGGAUGAAUUACAUGGAACCAGAUACAUGUCCAAACUGGAUCUCAGAGCUGGUUACCAUCAGUUGAGGGUGAAAGCUGUUGAUACCCCUAAGACUGCCUUCCAGACACACCAUGGCCACUUUGAAUUCUUAGUGAUGCCUUUUGGACUCACAAACGCGCCAGCUACAUUUCAGUCCUUGAUGAACAGAAUAUUUCAGCCAUAUCUCAGAAAGUUUGUCCUAGUCUUCUUUGACUACAUAUUAGUGUACAGCCCCACACUAGAGAUGCAUGCACAGCAUCUACAGAUUGUGCUCAAUAUUUUAGAAGAAAAUCAGCUGUAUUACAAGAGGUCAAAGUGCUCUUUUGCCCAGUCCUCAAUUGAAUACUUGGGGCACGUGAUCUCAGAGGCAGGAGUGAGUAUGGAUGUGGCUAAGGUGGAGUGUAUCAAGUCCUGGUCUGUUCCUAGUACAGUCAAGGAGCUGAGAGGGUUUUUGGGAUUAAUUGGUUACUACAGGAGAUUCAUUAAAGGCUAUGGAGUGAUUAGCAAACCCUUGACUGUAUUGUUGAAAAAGGAAGGUUUUGCAUGGAACCAUGAAGCUCAAAUGGCCUUUGAAGAUUUGAAAAAGGUUAUGACCACAGCCCCAGUGCUGAGCAUGCCUAAUUUCGAACUUCCUUUUGUCAUAGAGACUGAUGCCUGUGGAAUAGGUAUUGGAGCAGUGUUGAUGCAGCAAGGACAUCCUAUUGCUUUCCUUAGCAAGGCAUUAUCAGUUCAGAAUUUGGGGUUAUCAGUCUAUGAAAAAGAGCUUUUUGCCUUAGUGCUAGCUGUAACUAAGUGGAGGCAUUACCUGGUGGGUCAUCACUUCAUUAUCAGGACAGAUCACCAAGCUCUCAAACAUUUGAUAGAGCAAAGGCUUACUCAUCCACUCCAGCACAAGUGGCUAACUAAGCUACUUGGUUUGGACUAUGAAAUACAGUAUAAAAAGGGUGCAGACAAUGGGGUGGCAGACGCCCUCUCCAGGAGAAGGAUUGAGGGAAACACUGUUGACUGUGGAGAGACUGGGCAUCAGACCUGCGCCAUAACCUCAGCUCAGCCUAGUUGGAUGCAGGAAAUGCUAGAAAGCUACAUUGGAGAUGCAGAGGCUCAACAGAAGUUAUCUGAGCUAUUGCUGGAUCCCAAUGCAGAUCCAGAUUAUCAGUUAAAGAAUGGGAUGCUCAAGUUUAAAGGGCGGCUGUACAUAGGAUCUGCUAACAACAUUAGGACCAAGGUGGUCAGAGCAUUGCAUGACUCAGCCCUUGGGGGGCACUCAGGUCCUGGAAUCCGUAAGGAUGUCCUUCAAUAUGUGAGAUCUUGUGAUGUGUGUCAAAGGAACAAACAUGAAAAUGUUCCUUAUCCUGGGUUGCUGCAACCAAUUCCUGUACCUCAGCAGGCUUGGUCACACCUCACCAUGGAUUUUAUUGAGCAACUACCCCCAUCCCAUGGAUUUGAUACCAUUUUGGUGGUGGUGGAUAGGUUAACCAAGUUCAGCCACUUCAUUCGACUCACUCACCCUUUUUCUGCACAGCAGGUAGCACAGCUUUUCCUUGACAACAUAUACAAGCUGCAUGGACUUCCUGAGACCAUUAUAACUGACAGGGACAUAAUCUUUCUUAGUAAGUUUUGGCAAGAGUUAUUUGGUAUGGUAGGGGUAAAGCUGCACUACAGUUCAUCGUAUCACCCUCAAUCAGAUGGUCAAAGUGAAAGGGUCAAUCAGUGUUUGGAAAACUAUCUCAGGUGUAUGUGCAGUGAGCAUCCUUCUCACUGGAGCAGUUGGCUUCCUACAGCUGAGUUAUGGUACAACACUAACUUCCAUACUAGCUUGCAGGUGACACCAUUCGAAGCACUAUACGGGUAUAAACCAAAUCACCUUCCCUUAGGACCUUUUCAUGAUAGCCUGGUACCUGCUGCUGGUAACAUGGUGCAGACUAGGCUCCAAAUUCUAUCCCUCAUCAAAGAGAAUCUAGCCACCGCCCAGAAUCGAAUGAAAAUGUUUACUGAUAAGCACAGGACUGAACGUGUCUUCCAAGUGGGGGAUUGGGUAUUUCUCAAGCUGCAACCUUACAGGCAACAAUCAGUGGCCUUACGGAAGAAUUUGAAGUUGGCUGCCAAAUACUUUGGACCUUUCCAGAUCCUUGCGAGAGUAGGGGAAGUCGCCUACAGACUUAAGUUGCCAGAGGGAGCUCGAGUUCAUUCCGUGUUCCAUGUGUCCUUACUUAAAAGGAAAGUGGGAGUUACACAGCAGGUAAAGCCCAGCUUGCCAGAAGUAGACGCAUCAGACCAAUGUUUGCUGAAGCCAGAGAAGAUUCUCCAGAGGCGUGUUAUCAUACGAGCUGCCAAACCAAUCAUCCAGUACCUGGUGAAGUGGAACAACUUACCAGAAUCCGAAGCAUCAUGGGAGGAUAAAAGCUUCAUUGACAGACAAUUUCCGGAAUUUCAAGCUUGAGGACAAGCUUUGCUUAAGGGGAAGAGAUUGUCAGGAACAAGGAAAUAGAAUGGGACGUCGUUUAAUGCAAAGGGUUGUGCGUUUAAGGCCUUAGAAGCAAUACUACGUCAUUCUAAUAACAUAGGCGGUGCUGGUGUGAUAGGCCAAGUUAGUUGAGGGUCAAUUACAUAAAUAGCCUUCUGUAACAGAUUUUUGGUUAUGUUUUUGAAUGAAAAGUAUCUCGCUGCUUUCUCUCUCUUGUCUGUUAUUUCCCUCCCUUUUCUUCUUUCUCUCUUCCCUCUUCUUAAUCUUGUUUCUUUCUUCUGAUUCUUCCCCCAAAUUCAAUACAAUUCCAGAAAUUAACCUGCAGAUCUGACAAGGAGCCCUAUUCUAACCAAAUAACACACUACCAGGGUUAUUUUAGGUUAGCCCGCGUAUUCCCCUGACAUGAAUCCAAUCAUGCCAGUUAUCACUAUUUUGAAACAAUUAAACAAUUACGGAUUUAACGUCCCAAUUGACAAUAGAUUAUCAAAUUAACUAAUUAUCCGGAUCCAAAACAAUCAAUUAAUUAAAUAAUCAUAAGCACUGUAAUCAGGGAAUAUUUGAAUACCAAUAAAUAAAAAGAAAGGACAAAAUUAAAUCGAUUUCACAAUUUUUAAACGAACCACAACCUCAGUUGUUCCUCGGCUAGAUUGAGAAAAUUAGCUCAUGUUCGAUGCGAAAAAUCCACAAGAAAUUGUUAAGAGAGCCGCGGCCAUUGUCCCUUGAAAUUGGGGAAAUUCAAUUCGGUUGAACUACGAAAGAAAAGUAAGCUACAGAGAGUUGCCGAUUGGGUUUUGCUUGUCCCUAACAUGCGAGGGAGCAAAGCCACGAAAGGACGACAAAGGUCAAAAAGAAAGGCUACAGAGCAUGUUCCAGGUCUUUUUGUGCUCUCCACAUCCGAGCCAACGAAAAGAAAUAAAAAACUACCAGGAGCUAAAGGAAAACCGCAAGAAAAGUCAAAGGCUAAAAAAACUUCCUAGUGCUUGUUCUCUGCUUAUCUCUUUAUCUAAUUCUAAGUCCCCGAUUUUUUGCUCCGUGCGGCGGCUCCCCCGGAGAGAAAGGAUUGCAUCCGCUGCCCUCUUCCACCAAUUACCAAAAUGGGCACACCGCUUCUUUUUCAAAAAUGCUCCUGGAUAAACUCUAUCAUCUGGACUUUUUUUCUGUCAAAUUGACAUUUAUUAUUAUAUUUUCGUUCUACUCCCUGAAAUAAAUGUAAAAUAUUAAAAAUGAGUAGAAUCCGACAAUUAAUUCACAUCAGGUCAGAUAAUAAAGAAAAUUAAUAAUAAAAUAAAUAAAUAAAUUGCAACCUAUCAACCAAAUACAACAAUUUCAUGGAGUUUGAUACACAAGCCCAAAUACACGAGAGUGUGUAACCUGAAUUGUUACUUAUACAUUAGUGUGUAAUAGAACGGCAAGCAUUAUGGUGGUCAUUGAGCAACUUGUAGGAGAAAUAGUCCUAUAAGCUGUUCAAUGACCAAUCACAACUUGCUAAUUGGAUGACUAAUAUAGCUCUAGCUGUAAUGUUUUAAUUAAAUUCCAUCACUAACGUUGGGAUGACUUUUUAAUCAAAAAAAAAAAAGCCUUAGUUCAAGCUUUUCCCCUUAUUGUGCAUUUUUUAAAACAUUUGAUAGGCACUGCAAAUCUGUCAUUUUGGACAUUUUAUUAUUAACUAACAAUGAAAGCCGUGGACAUCAACCCAUAUCCAACAAAAUAUUAAAUUAAUAUUAGAAAAAAUUAUUAAGUAAUUGGAAAAAAAAAGAAGAGGCUAAUUUUCAUUGAAACCCACCGACAAACUAUACGCUGCUUUCAAUCAGUUUUAACACGGGAAAAAGAAAAGGCAUGAAAAGCAAAAUUUGUGGGGAUAAUUUCGGAAACCUCCCAUGAAGUUUUUGACUAUUUUACUGGCCUCCCUUCAGAUUUUAAAAAUUGGACUAAUCUUCCUUAAAGUUAAUUAUCUUGUAACAUUUAGAUCCGAUCAAUAAUUUAAAAAAUAAUAUUAUGAGAGAGAAAAUAAUAUGAUUUUAUUAUUGCCCCCAUCUCACCACAUUAUUUAAUUAAUUUAAUAGCAACCCACACAUUAAAGAAAAUGACAGGUCGUCAACCUGUGCAAUAAUAAAAUUAAACCUAAUUGCCAGUUAAAAUGACCAAAACCCAAUUCCAAGUACUGGAGCAGGGACUCUAGGUGUGCAAUGGGUUACUUGAUUCACCCUGUUCCCGAAGAGUUUGCUUGAUCCGAUAUACCCGAAUGGAAUGGUUAUUCCUUUUCACAAAUGAUUAGGAAUUUGUAGACAGGGCAAGUAGGGUCGUAUCCACAGAGACUGGGUAUAUUUGUUUCUUAAGAAAUCCAAAGUAACACAGGGGGUGAUUUUGUAGGAACGACGAUAAUUAAAUAAAUUCAAAUGAGAAAGUAAAAAUAAAUAAUUAACUAGAAAUUAAACCACAAUUUACUGAACUCAGGAUAACAAUAGUUAAAGGCCUCAAUUAAUUAAAAUAAGGAAACAAUCAAAAAUAAAAUAAAGUAGGUAAUUAAAAGUCAAAUGGCAAUCCACUACAAUCAAGGAAAUAUUAACUAAAGAUCUAGCCAAGAAAUAACUUCAGCAAUGGUUCACCUAAUCGAUCAUUGAUGCAAAGCAAUCCCAAUUAUUUACUAAUAAAUAGGUUAUAACUACCAAACAAGCGAUGGCAGUCAACCCCUCCUUACUGUGUCGGUGAUCAAGGUACGCCCGUUAAUCACUGCUCUAAUUGAGAAAUAAUCCUAGGUACGCCCGUAGAAUUUAAUUCCCCAACUGCCUUACGUAUUAGAGGAGCCCUAUUCUACCCAAAUAACACACUACCAGGGUUAUUUUAGAUUAGCCCGCGUAUCCCCCUGACACGAAUCUAAUCGUGCCAGUUGUCACUAAUUUGAGGUAAUUAAACAAUUACGGAUUCAAUACCCCAAUUGACAAUAGAUUAUCAAACCAAUGAAUUAUCCGGAUCCAAGACAAUCAACUAAUUAAAUAAUCAUAAGCACUGCAACCAAGGAAUAUGCGAAUACCAAUAAAUAAAGGAAAAGAUAAAAUUAAAUCGAUCUCACAAUUUACAGGUGACCCAAAGCAUCAGUCGUUUCUUGACUAGAACGAGGGGGUUAGCUCAUAUUGGAUGAACUAAGCCCGCGGGAAAUUCCAGCAAAAGUCACGGCCGUUGUAUGCAUUUCAAGAGCCGCAAUUCGUCAAACACUUGGAAAGCGAAUGUAAGGCACGGGUAACAAUUGAAACUUUCUAAUUGUUCCUAGCAUUCGUAAAGCAAAUUCACUCCAGAAGUACAGUGAGGAAAAGUCAAAGAAAGUGGGCUUCAAUUCCUUGCUCCUGACAUGCGUGGAGACAAGCCAAUGCAAGACUACAAUAAACUAACAAGGAAAAGUCAAGAAUUGGAGCUAAGCUCCCCUGCCAUGCGCAGGAAUCCCAAAAGUAAAAAGUAAAGCUUCAAAGAAAAGUCAACAAUUCUUCCUAAGCUACAGACGGAAGAUCCAGCACAAAAGCCAGCUCCCUUUUUGAUCCCUUUUUCCCCCUUCUUAUUGCGGCGGCUCACCAGGAGAGGAGAGCCCUCCGUCCGUCCUUUCUUCCGGAAAUUACCAAAAUGGGCAUGACAUCUUCUCUUCCAAAAGUGCCCCUGGGACAAGCUUUCUCAUCUGAAUUCUUUUUUUUUCCAAUUUGGCACCUGUUAUCAUAUUUAUAUUCUACUCCCUGAAAUAAACGUCAAAUACUAAAAGUGAGUAGAAUCCAGCAAAUAAAUCCACAUCAAGUCAGGUAAUAGGAGGAAUUAAUAAUAAAAUAAAUGAAUAAAUUGCACCCUAUCAAUUCCCUCCACACCUAAACCAUGCUUGUCCUCAAGCAUAAGAAAAGUAAACGAACACCAAAAUUCGACGAUAGCCAUUGCCCAAUCUCCUAUAUUGCCAAGACAUUCAAGAGAAAAACACAUAUCGAGCAUUGGUGAUUAGAAUCCCAGAAGCAUCCCCCCGGUUAGCCUCUAACCCCCAGAUUCCUUCAAUUUCCAACUUAACUACUCUAAGAAAGAGGAAUGGCACACAACAUUUAUCAGCUAGUGGUCCGAAUAUUCACACAAGUCUUCAUAUCCAAUCCAUAAACCGGCAAGCUUCCCUAUUAUUUAGUCUCUCUUUUUUUCCGUUUUUUUUCAUUUUCAUUCUUCCCCUCUUUUUUUUUUUUUUUUAAAGCAGUAGCAAUCAACACAAAAGACUUAGUCGUUAGCCGUCAGGGCCUUUUGAUGCGAACUCCAACAUUUUUAGAAGGAGGAGCCCGGUUACUCAGCUCCUACCGCUAUACGACCACGCACUCAUAUAAAAUACCACCUUUUGACGCGAGAAUCGACACUUUUAGGUGCCGAUCCCCGGUUACUCAGUAGUAACUUAAUAGCGGAGCACAGUCAAGCUUAUUCUCAGCCAAACAAUGCACAAACGCAAAAUAACAGCACUAACAAUCAAACAUAGGAGCAGCUCGCCUCAUUAUUGUCAAACAUGGAGAACUGGAGUCAAUAUUGGACCAGUUCACAUUAAAAGGCCAUAUUCAUUCCCUACGCCUAGAAAAGUUAACAAAGAAAUCGAAAGAGUCAAACAGUUAAAUAUUCACCAAGGGGAUAUUCAGGACCCAACCACACUAACCCGAUACAUUUUGUAUUUUAAAAACUUGGCAAAAGUAGAUUUGGAGUCAAUGAGUCCACAUCUCAAUUUUAGCCUUCACAUGAAAGGCAAUCACCAAGAAGAAAGAACGGAAAAAUAAGCAACUAGAAAUGAGACUACGAAAAACUACUAAAACUAAAAACUCACUUUUUUUCUUUUUCUCUUUUUUUUUCUUUUUGAAUUUUUUUUUCAUUUUUAUUUUUUUUUAUUUUUUUUAUUUUUUAAACAUUAACUAUAAACAUUAACUACUAAAAACUAAAAACUAAAACUACUAAAAACUAAAAACACUAAAAACUGCUAAAAUGAAAAGCUGAAAACUGAAAACUACUAAAAACGGAGCACACUAGCAUAACUUUAGAUCCCCCCCACACCUAUAGGACACAUUGUCCUCAAUGUGACAAAUAAGAACCAAAAGUGAAGCACAAGUGAGAGGGGAAUCAGCCAAACUUCCCUGAAAUCGGGUCACAGCGGAGGGCGAGGUGGAAAUGGAGGUGCAAAGCCUGUAUGCAUCAGGAACUGUGCCAAAUUCUGUGCUAUGCCGGCGACAUUGGCGUCGACGUUGGUCAUCCGGGCCUGCAAAUCCUGAACCAGCUCCCUGAGAUGCUGCCAAUCAUCGGUCCCAGGUGGUGGAGGUGGCGCAGAAGUAGAGGUAGACGGCCCAGCAGUGUCCGCGGCCGACCCAGGGAAUGAAGAUGGCCCUGCCCGGGCCGAAUGGUGUGCACCCGGGGCUCGAGGUGGUCCCGGACGGGUAAACUGGUGAAAACCAUCUGGCAGACGCUCGACGACCCCCAUUUUCUCUAAGCAAACUACGUCCAAGUGCUCCAUCUCAAAUGCCAAAUGGAGGUCGUGGUCAUCCAGGUUAAGAACUCCCAACUGGGUCGCCAAGUGAGUGAUGUAGGACCCAAGGAUCAGUGGUUUGUUCUUCUUGGUCAAGACCGUCUUGAACUGUGCGGCCAACCAACAUCCCAAGUUCACCUUGAUAUUGUUCUUCAUACUCCAGAGAAAGAAGAAUUCGGGCCGAGAGAGUAUACCGGAGCUGUCCUUGCGCCCCGAGUAGCUAUAAGCUAAGAAUCGCUGAACAUAGCGGGCGCUAGGGUCCUUAAGAAAGGAGCUCCUGGACCGGGAAGGAUCGUAGCGUUGCCUAUCGACGGACAUGUCCUCCCAUACAUCAUGGUAGUGGGAGAGGAAAGGCUCUACGUAGUCACAGGCACUCUCCGCAUACUCCCUAGUCUCAGCAUACUCUCUAGUGAUAAACCCAAAUGCCAGAUUGAAUUGAGUAAUGGAGAAAUUGAAUUCUCGACCCAUGAGCCGGAAAUGAAUGACAUUCGGUGUUUCACCCGUGUAUCUCGUAGGUAAUUCGAACUCAAAGGUGGAGUAAAACUCCCGGAUCAGCUCAACAAAAGCGGGACAAGAAAUAUGGAAAUAUGGGCGCCACCCAAUGGCUGUGAACAUUUGCUCAACCUCCUCCCGUAUACCCAGGGCAGUUAGAGAGAGUCUAUGACAAGACUUACAGGAUAUUAUACGCCUCUCGCAGACCUUAGCGUACCUCUGCCGAUCGGCGGGUCUGGUAAAUGUUAAGUGCCCCCCAAAAUGAACAGGUGCAUCUACCUGAGCACCCCUAUCCCUACCCAAACGGGUUCGAACACUAGAAGAGGAGGGUAGGUUGGUAGGUGAGUUGACAGGAAUAGAGGCUUGUGGAGGGGGUUGAGACUGAGAGGUCCUAGACCUAGAGGAGGAUUUCGGUCUCACCAUUCCCCCCAAAGUAAGUUCAAGGCAACAGAAAAUCCGACAAGUAUAGAAACCAGCAAUUGACAAAGCAAAAAUCUCCCAGUAGUAACCCAGCCAAUAGCAAACAAAAGAGUUCCAGCAAGUAAUCAACAAGCAAUUCAGAAAUAUCUCAACUAAAAUCUCAAGAGAAACCCCAGCGAGUUAUCCAGCAAUUCAAGCAAUAUCCCCAAGCAAUGUGGUGGUCAAAAUGUCAUCUCCAAAUUGAACAAAUAAUCAGAGCAUUGCAACACAUUGAAAAUCUCAAUAAACGGCUCCAGUUGGCCAAGAAAAAUUGCUAACUCAUACUCAGCAAUAGUAGUGCAGCAAAGGGACAGUAACCACGCAAUAAAAACACUUAGCUUGCACUCAAAUGGUCACCCCAAAUAACAACCCAGUAUGAAACCCGCAGGCAGAGUAUUCCUCAAACCGUUAGCCUAAACCCAGUCAACAACCACGGCCAGAAAUAACCCCAUAAAUAGUGCAAUGAGUAAUCCCCAGCAACAUAAUCAGGUGUAAUCAACUGGAGCAAGCAAUUUACAUGGCAUAGAAACCUCCCAAUCAAACAAGUGCAUUAUUCUAGCGCACCCCAAAAUUCCAAGAAAUGGCUCCAGUUGGCCAAUUAAUUUCACAAUGUCACCCAACUCAGGAGAAAUAGCAAUUCCACACAAAAAUAGUCAAACCAGUACCACUGGCGAAAAAUCUUUCAAAUAUGCACAAUUUGCUACCAAAUAUCACCGGCUAACACUGAAAAAUUGAGGGCAAGUGUCAAAUACCUCCACAGGGACUACCCCAGGCGGCAGACAGAGAAGCGGCGUUGAAGCUGGUGGUCGAGCGGGGCGGCGCUCGCGUCGGCGUGCGCAGCGGCGACGGCGCGCGAGGAUGGAGUUUCGGGAGGUUGCGUGCGGGCUUGGCUGAAGACGCGGCGCGCGCUAGGGCUUCGCUGCGGCAGGCGUGCAGCAGGGGAGAAGAAAGAAAAGAGAAAGAAAGAAAGAAAAAGAAAGGAAAGAAAGAACAGAAAAGAAGGAAAAGAAAAAGGAAUUUUUCUUUUUUUUCUUUUUCUUUAGGCUACGGUUUAGAGGACAAAUUUUUCUUCUUCUUGUUUUCUACUUUUUUAUUUUUUUAUUUUUUAGUUUUUAAUUUAUUACUAUUAUUAUCAUAUUUAAUUGAGGAAAAAAAAUGUUUUUUUUUAAAUCCCUACCUUUCCCACGAACGUGACGCGGGCACGUCAAGAGGGCAAGAGAGCUCCCAGAAGUUUCAGAAUUUUCUGAUCGUAAGCGUCCUGCACAUCACCACGCGGGCACGUCAUGAGGACAGGAGAGCUCCCAGAAGUUCAGAAUUUUCUGAUCGUGAGCGCCCUGCACGUCACCACGCGGGCACGUCAUGAGGCCAGGAGAGCUCCCAGAAGUUUGAAGUUUCUGAUUCCUGCCCGUCAUCACGCGGGCGCGUCAUGACUGAAGGUCACCUACAAAUCAGCAAAAACGAAAACUAACACCCAAAAUCAGUCAAAUUCAGGGAAAGCAGAUUUAAACUAUGCUACAAAACCAACAAACAAUUAAAAGAAAUAAUUAGGUUGCCUCCCAAUGAGCGCCUUUCUUUAAUGUCUUUGGCUAGACAUGGUAAAGUGUCACUGAUUAGGACACGGUGGUGCGUCAAGCCUUAUUGUCUCCACCUCUCUACCUGAAAAUCCUUCGUAAUAAUAUUUGAGACGGUGUCCAUUCACCACAAAUUUGUUGUCUGUCUUAGCACUCUGGAUCUCAACUGCACCAUAGGGAAAAACAUGAGUAACAAUGAAAGGUCCAAUCCAACGGGAACGUAGCUUACCUGGGAAUAGCUUGAGCCUGGAUUGGUACAGGAGGACCUUCUGACCAACUUCAAAUGUUUUUCUUGAAAUUUGUUGGUCAUGAAAUGCCCGGCUUUUCUCCUUAUAUAUCAAGGCGUUUUCGUAUGCUUCGUUCCGGAUCUCCUCCAAUUCUUGCAAAUCCAACUUCCGUUGAGCACCGGCCUCCUCUAAAUUCAUAUUGCAGUGCUUUAUCGCCCAAAAAGCCUUGUGCUCGAACUCCACUGGAAGGUGACACGGCUUCCCAAAUACCAACCUGUACGGUGACAUCCCAAUAGGAGUCUUGUACGCCGUCCGAUAGGCCCAGAGUGCGUCUUCCAACCUUUGGCUCCAGUCUUUUCUAUCAGGGCGCACCAUUUUCUCUAAAAUGGACUUAAUCUCCCGAUUCGACACCUCCGCUUGACCAUUGGUCUGAGGGUGGUAUGACGUUGAGACCCUGUGGAGUACACCAUACUUGCGAAACAACGCAGCUAUGGUUUUGUUGCAAAAGUACGUUCCCCUAUCACUGACAAUAGCUCUAGGCAUUCCAAACCGCACAAAGAUAUUAGACCUGAUAAAAUCUGCAACUACUCUCGAAUCAUUAGUUCGAGUGGCCUUAGCCUCCACCCAUUUAGACACAUAAUCAACUGCCAGCAAAAUAUAUAAAAAACCAAAUGAAGUAGGAAAAGGCCCCAUGAAAUCUAUACCCCAGACAUCAAAAAUUUCAACAAAAAUCAACGGGACCUGGGGCAUUUGAUCUCUACGGGCUAUAUUACCUACCAUUUGACAGCGAUCACAUGACUUACAAAACACAUAGGCAUCUCUAAACAAUGAAGGCCAAUAAAAUCCACUUUCUAAAACCUUAUGAGCAGUUCUCUUAGGUCCAAAAUGACCUCCACAGGCAAAAGUAUGACAAAAAGCUAAAAUUGAUUGAAAUUCCAUUUCACUUACACAUCUCCUCAUCACUUGAUCGGCACACCUCUUCCAUAGGUACGGGUCAUCCCAGAUAAAAUACUUGGCAUCGCUCUUCAAUUUAUCCCUCUUCGAUUUCGGCCAACCUGCAGGAAAAUUACCAGUUACCAAAUAAUUGACCAAAUCAGCAUACCAAGGCAACUGAGAAUUUAAGAAAAAUAGGUAUUCUUCGGGGAAUGCAUCCUUCAAUGGCUCGCUAUCCUCUUCAACUAGUAUGCGACUCAAAUGGUCCGCUACUAGAUUUUCUGAGCCUUUUUUGUCCCUUAUCUCCAAGUCAAAUUCCUGUAGGAGCAGUAUCCACCGUAUGAGCCUCGGUUUUGCAUCUUUCUUGGUCAUCAGGUACCUCAAUGCUGCAUGAUCAGAAAAUACAAUCACUUUAGCACCUAACAAGUAUGACCUAAAUUUUUCCAAAGCAAAAAUAACUGCCAGAAGCUCCUUCUCAGUGGUGGAAUAAUUCAACUGGGCUCCAUUCAAGGCCCGGGAUGCGUAAUAGAUGACAUGAGCCGCCUUGCCUAUUCUUUGCCCCAGUACAGCCCCAACAGCGUGAUCACUGGCAUCGCACAUGAUCUCAAAUGGCAAAUUCCAAUCGGGGGGUUGGAUGAUUGGGGGUGAAGUCAGCAAUUCCUUCAGCUUGUUAAAGGCUCUCUCACACUUAUCAUCAAAUUCGAAGGCUACAUCUUUUUGUAGGAGUUGGAACAACGGGGCUCCAAUCUUUGAAAAAUCCUUGAUGAACCUUCGAUAAAAACCUGCAUGUCCAAGAAAAGAGCGCACCUCCCGCACACUCGCGGGGUAAGGUAAUGCAGAAAUAAUGUCUAUUUUAGCCUUGUCAACUUCUAUGCCCUUAGACGAUACAAUAUGACCCAGGACUAUUCCGUGCUCAACCAUAAAAUGACAUUUUUCCCAAUUAAGCACAAGAUUAGUCUCUAUACACCUGAUCAGGAUUAAUUUCAGGUUAUCUAGACAAGUAUCAAAACUAUCACCAUACACACUGAAAUCAUCCAUGAAAACUUCUAUUAUUUUCUCAACAUACUCGGAAAAGAUGCUUACCAUACAUCUUUGGAAAGUCGCAGGUGCAUUGCACAACCCAAAUGGCAUUCGUCUGUAGGCAAAGGUCCCGAACGGGCACGUGAAGGUUGUCUUCUCUUGAUCCUCCGGGGCAAUUGCUAUCUGAAAGUAUCCUGAAAAUCCAUCCAAAAAGCAAUAAUAAGCCCUACCAGCUAAACGUUCAACCAUUUGGUCAAUGAAAGGGAGAGGGAAAUGGUCCUUUUUGGUGACGGCGUUUAGCCUACGGUAAUCUAUACAUUGCCUCCAUCCAGUGGGUUUGCGCACUGGCACGAGCUCACCAGUUUGGUUGGCCUCUACCGUCACUCCUGCAUUCUUUGGGACUACCUGGACCGGACUCACCCAAGGGCUAUCAGAUAUUGCAAAAAUGAUGCCCACAUCUAGCAAUUUUAGAAUCUCUUUCUUUACGACUUCCAUCAUGAGGGGAUUGAGCCUUCUUUGAGCCUGCCUAACAGGUUUGGCAUCGUCUUCCAGCCUAAUCCGGUGCAUACAAAUGGCCGGGCUGAUCCCCUUAAUGUCUGCGAUUGUCCAGCCUAUUGCCUCUUUAUGCUCCCGAAGGACCCGGAUCAAUUUCUCUUCCUGGGUCUUUGACAGUGCCGAUGAGAUAAUCACUGGGAGUGUCUCAUUAUCACCUAGGUAUGCGUAUUUCAGGUGCUCUGGUAGAGGUUUCAACUCCAGUACAGGUGCCUGCACCACAGAUGGCAAUACCCUCUGGUGAGCCUUGGGAGUAAAAAUAGGUAAGACUUCAUACCUUUUCGUGGUGGUCUGCAACGAGUGUAAUGCACCUAUUGUGCAUUUUAAAUCCUCGCUCCACUCCACCUCAGGAGUUGUCUCCAACUCGAGGUGCUUGGUUAAAGCCACCUCCAGCUCAUCCCUGCCAUCAGUUUCAAACACUUCCUGCACUACAGGGUCAAUAGCACUCACAGAAAAAACUGAGCUAAAGUUGGAGUUAGAGGGGUACUUCAUAGUAUCAAAAAUAUUAAAAUGCACAAUUUACCCAUCAAACUCCAUGGACAAGGUACCCUUAUUAACAUCAAUUUUCGUCUGCGCAGUGCUCAUAAAAGGUCUACCCAAUAACAAAGGUGAGGGAUCAGGGGAGUGAUCAUCAUCCAUAUCUAGUACAUAAAAAUCAGCUGGAAACACCAAAUCAUUAACCUUUACCAACACAUCUUCAAUCAACCCAUCAGGAUAUGCAUUAGUUCGGUCAGCUAAUUGAAUAAUUAUUCCAGUUUCUUUUAAUGGACCUAGUUUCAAAGAAGCAUAGAUAGAUUUAGGCAUGACAUUAAUUGAUGCUCCCAGAUCCAGCAUGGCCCUUCUGAUCACAGUAUUACCUAUCUUACAGGGAAUAGUAAACAUACCUGGGUCCCCGCACUUUGGUGGGAGCUUUCUCUGCAGGACCGCAGACACAUUUUCUCCAACUAUGACCCGUUCAUCUCCCCUCAACCGCCUUCGGUUGACACACAAGUCCCUUAGGAACUUGGCAUAUUUUGGUACUUGUUUGAUGGCGUCUAAGAGGGGGAUAUUUAUCUCAACCUUGCGAAAAACCUCCAAGAUCUCCUUCUCCUUAUCCUGCUUCUUCGAUUUUUCCAACCUGCUAGGAAAAGGAGGCGGGUUAGUUUUAACUGUAAUUAUUGGGUCAGGAAGUACCUCUGGAUCUGCACCAUUGCUGUCCUCCCUUUCGAGCUCAUUUUCGAUCUUCUCUUCAUCCUUGUCCUUGGGAAUCACAGGUUCAGGCCCCUGAAUUUCUUUCCCACUCCUUAGGAUCAUUGCGCUCACGUUCUUCGGAUUCAACUCCGGUUGAGAUGGCAGCUUCCCUUGGUUCUGGGACUCCCAACGGUUCAUUCUGGUGGCCAAUUGACCUAUCUGAUUCCUUAUGUCCUGCAUUUCGGAGUCCGUCUUUUGCUGAUUUUGCAUAAUAGCUGCCUCCGUCCUUUGCUGAUUCUGCGCCAUGGUUGUCAUCAUUUGUUUCAGCAUCUCAUCCGUAGAUGAACCAGAUUGAGGGAGCGGAGGUGGUCGGGGUUGGUAUUGCUGCUGGUACCCUGGUGGCUUAUUUGGCACAAAGUUAGACUGCCUGUUUGGCGUGAAGUUGGAUUGCCUAUUUCCACCAUAACUGAGGUUGGGAUGAUCUCUCCACCCGGGGUUGUAGGUGCUUGAGUAAGGGUCGUACUGCUUCCUUGGCGCGGGCGCGUGGUCAGCCAUGUUCACCUGUUCCGCAGUUUCUUCCUGAAUCAUUGGGCACAUGUCUGCAGAGUGACCUAUACCAGUGCAAAUCCCGCAUACCCUGGCUUGUGAUGCAUUUCUCACAGCCUAUUGCCUAACGAACGCAGUCAACUCAUUUAGCUGCUGCUGCACAGAGGGUGUCUCUAUCUCAUUCACCCUACGUAUUGGGACAUCCUAUCUUGUACUGAAUUGCUGUGAAUUCUCUGCCAUCCCCUCUAUUAACUCCCGUGCUUCCUGAGGGGUUUUGUUCACCAGUGCCCCUCCACUUGCAGCAUCAAUGAUGCUCCUGUCUCUAAAAAUGAGCCCCUCAUAGAAAUAUUGUAUGAUCAACUGCUCACUUAUUUGGUGAUGGGGGCACCUGCGCAACAAGCUCUUAUACCGUUCCCAAUACUCGUAAAGUGACUCCUCGGGAUGCUGCUUGAUCCCACAAAUUUCUUUCCUUAGACUCGCAGCCCUGGACGCAGGAAAAUAUUUAUCCAGAAAUUUUUUCUUCAAUUGGUCCCACGUGGUGAUGCUACCUGGUGACAGGUAGUACAGCCAGUCCUUCGCAGAAUCUUUCAAGGAGAAGGGGAAUGCCCUCAUUUUUAUCUGCUCUUCUGUGAUUCCCGGGGGUUUCAUACUGUUGCAAACGACAUCAAACUCCUGCAGAUGCUUAUACGGCUCUUCACCUGGUAAACCAUGAAAAGAGAGUAAAAGCUGAAUCAGACCAGAUUUUAGUUCAAAUGGAAUGUUGUCAUUUAAAGCUGGGAAAGUAAUGCAUAACGGCUGCUGAGUUAAAUCAGGAGCAGCCAACUCCCUUAAUGUUUAUGCAUUAGCCAUGGUGCCUUCCUGCUGGUCAGAGUCACUCGAAGUGUUACCAAACGAAUCUGUUGGUUCAACUUCUGACUCGGGUCUUUGAGAUGUAGCACUAGAGUGCUCUUCUCUGAGCUGUCUGGUUUCCUUUCUCGUUCUACGCGCGGUCUUCUCUACCUCAGGAUCAAAAACCAAAUCACCUGUGCGACAAGAUCGAGGCAUACACUAGAAGAAAACCAGAAAAUUAGGACAAAAUUGAAUUUAAGAAGAAACAAAUAAUAACGCCAGUCCCCGGCAACGGCGCCAAAAAUUGACAGGUCGUCAACCUGUGCAAUAAUAAAAUUAAACCUAAUUGCCAGUUAAAAUGACCAAAACCCAAUUCCAAGUACUGGAGCAGGGACUCUAGGUGUGCAAUGGGUUACUUGAUUCACCCUGUUCCCGAAGAGUUUGCUUGAUCCGAUAUACCCGAAUGGAAUGGUUAUUCCUUUUCACAAAUGAUUAGGAAUUUGUAGACAGGGCAAGUAGGGUCGUAUCCACAGAGACUGGGUAUAUUUGUUUCUUAAGAAAUCCAAAGUAACACAGGGGGUGAUUUUGUAGGAACGACGAUAAUUAAAUAAAUUCAAAUGAGAAAGUAAAAAUAAAUAAUUAACUAGAAAUUAAACCACAAUUUACUGAACUCAGGAUAACAAUAGUUAAAGGCCUCAAUUAAUUAAAAUAAGGAAACAAUCAAAAAUAAAAUAAAGUAGGUAAUUAAAAGUCAAAUGGCAAUCCACUACAAUCAAGGAAAUAUUAACUAAAGAUCUAGCCAAGAAAUAACUUCAGCAAUGGUUCACCUAAUCGAUCAUUGAUGCAAAGCAAUCCCAAUUAUUUACUAAUAAAUAGGUUAUAACUACCAAACAAGCGAUGGCAGUCAACCCCUCCUUACUGUGUCGGUGAUCAAGGUACGCCCGUUAAUCACUGCUCUAAUUGAGAAAUAAUCCUAGGUACGCCCGUAGAAUUUAAUUCCCCAACUGCCUUACGUAUUAGAGGAGCCCUAUUCUACCCAAAUAACACACUACCAGGGUUAUUUUAGAUUAGCCCGCGUAUCCCCCUGACACGAAUCUAAUCGUGCCAGUUGUCACUAAUUUGAGGUAAUUAAACAAUUACGGAUUCAAUACCCCAAUUGACAAUAGAUUAUCAAACCAAUGAAUUAUCCGGAUCCAAGACAAUCAACUAAUUAAAUAAUCAUAAGCACUGCAACCAAGGAAUAUGCGAAUACCAAUAAAUAAAGGAAAAGAUAAAAUUAAAUCGAUCUCACAAUUUACAGGUGAUCCAAAGCAUCAGUCGUUUCUUGACUAGAACGAGGGGGUUAGCUCAUAUUGGAUGAACUAAGCCCGCGGGAAAUUCCAGCAAAAGUCACGGCCGUUGUAUGCAUUUCAAGAGCCGCAAUUCGUCAAACACUUGGAAAGCGAAUGUAAGGCACGGGUAACAAUUGAAGCUUUCUAAUUGUUCCUAGCAUUCGUAAAGCAAAUUCACUCCAGAAGUACAGUGAGGAAAAGUCAAAGAAAGUGGGCUUCAAUUCCUUGCUCCUGACAUGCGUGGAGACAAGCCAAUGCAAGACUACAAUAAACUAACAAGGAAAAGUCAAGAAUUGGAGCUAAGCUCCCCUGCCAUGCGCAGGAAUCCGAAAAGUAAAAAGUAAAGCUUCAAAGAAAAGUCAACAAUUCUUCCUAAGCUACAGACGGAAGAUCCAGCACAAAAGCCAGCUCCCUUUUUUAUCCCUUUUUCCCCCUUCUUAUUGCGGCGGCUCACCAGGAGAGGAGAGCCCUCCGUCCGUCCUUUCUUCCGAAAAUUACCAAAAUGGGCAUGACAUCUUCUCUUCCAAAAGUGCCCCUGGGACAAGCUUUCUCAUCUGAAUUCUUUUUUUUUCCAAUUUGGCACCUGUUAUCAUAUUUAUAUUCUACUCCCUGAAAUAAACGUCAAAUACUAAAAGUGAGUAGAAUCCAGCAAAUAAAUCCACAUCAAGUCAGGUAAUAGGAGGAAUUAAUAAUAAAAUAAAUGAAUAAAUUGCACCCUAUCAGAAAAAUGCAAAAAUUUGUUAUUUAUCAUUAAGGAUCAUAUCGCAUAUAACAUCAAAAAAUAGUAUAUUAUUUAUAUCUUUCACUUAAUAUAAUAUCCAAAUUACUCUUUUCAGUUACAUACCCAUUGUUAGACAAAAUCAACAACAAAUAACCAAAAAAUUUGCAACCAAAAUAUUACCAAAAAAAUAAACUUUAACAUCAUAAAUAUUUUUAUCAACAUAUUAAAGUUAGUUAUUGAAAUUUUUAUGGUGUUAAACUUCACUCUUAGCAAUAUUUUGGUUACAGAUUUUUUUGAUUAUUUAUUGUUGAUCGUGUUUGACAAUGGAUUUGUAACUGAAAAGAAUAAUUUGAAUCUUACAUUAAGUGAAAUAUAUAAAAUAUUAUACUAUUUUUUAUGGCAUAUGUGAUUCUUUUUUUUUUUUUUAUCAGAACGGCAACAUUGUAUUAAUAGUAAACCAAUUACAGUAUAGGUGGGCAACCGCCCUCACAAUCUGCCUGGACUUGUUCCAGCAGCCAAACUGGGAAGUUUUCCUUCCAUUCAGUAUUUUGUUCCAAAGUAAUAGCUACUUUAGCUAGUUUAUGGCUAACAAAGUUGUUCACCCUAUUUGCAAAGGUAAAACAACAUUCAUCAAAUUUUAUUCAUGUACAAUUGUUGCUAUCACCACGUCCUCCUCCUCCUCCUCACUGCACACUACUUGACUACCACCCUUCGCCAACCUUGCUGUUGCAUGUGCAACUAUCAUGGCCUCUCUUAGCGCCUUUGCUUCUUCGACCUUUGGACUGGCACAGCUAAAAUUUGGAACAGCCCAGGCCCACCCGCAAUCUUCCCAACCAAUCCCUGGCCACCCUUUUCCCACCCAGCUUCUAUGGCAUGUGUGAUUCAAUCCUUCUUGAUAGGAUUGGUAAUAGAGGCAGAGGGGGGAGCCGGCUGCAUCCGGUCUACUUUUCAUAGAUAGUACAAUAUUGCGAAAUCGAUCGCAUUCACACAAGAAUAUUUCGAAGUCAUUGCAUCGCUAAGUUGCAAAAAAGUACAAACACUUGUUAUUAUAUAGCUUAAGAUUCAAAACUUUAGAGCACAACCCUCCACCUAACACAAUUGAAUAAUGAAUAUUCACGAUUGUCAAAUCUGUCAAAGCACAGUUUGAGGACAACCCAUUCCAACCUGCAAAAGAUUUUUGACUUUUUUAAAGUUGUUGAGAGCUGUAAAAAGACUUACCAUGCUUACAUCUUCCGAGCCUUGGGAGUUAAAAAUGAAGGCACUGAGUGCUAUAAAAAGGGGGCUAGAGGCUGCCUAGAAGCAUAUCAGCCUAAAACAAGAAUUUGUAGUUAUGAUGGGAAGCAAAGCAAAAGCAAUGGGGUCUGGGCUGACUCCUCUUCUUACCACUGUUUUAGUGGUAUUUGUUGCUCUUGGCUUGCCCUCAGAAACUGCAGCUGAUGAUCACUACAAGUAUUCAUCUCCUCCUCCUCCUUACCACUAUCCCUCACCACCACCUCCAGUGCAUUUACCUCCACCAGUGUACAAAUACAAGUCCCCACCACCACCUCAUCAUGUUUACAAGUACAAAUCUCCACCACCCCCACCACCACACCCAGUUUACAAGUAUAAGUCGCCACCACCACCUCCUCAUCCGGUAUACAAGUACAAGUCUCCUCCGCCACCUCCUCAUCCGGUACCACACCCAGUUUACAAGUAUAAGUCACCACCACCACCUCCUCAUCCGGUACCACACCCAGUUUACAAGUAUAAGUCUCCUCCGCCACCAGUUUACAAAUAUAAGUCUCCUCCACCACCACCUCCAGUGUACAAAUACAAGUCUCCACCACCACCAGUUUACCACUACAAGUCUCCACCACCUCCUCCCCCAGUUUACAAAUACAAGUCUCCACCACCACCACCACCAGUUUACCACUACAAGUCACCACCACCUCCUCCCCCAGUUUACAAAUACAAGUCUCCACCACCUCCUCACCACUACUAAGCAAUUGCUUCUGAGGUAAUAACACUUGUUCAAUAUACCCACUUCUGCAUGAUAAAGCAUAUCUCUAUCAACACAAACUGUCAUGUCUAUCAUGCUAAGUGCCUUCACUUCAUCCACCAAAAUGACUGCUAGAAAAUUUUUUUUAUGUUACCAAAGAAAGGCAUCAUUUUUUCCCUCUGUUAUCAAGAACUUGUACAGUAUAUAGAUUAAAGAGUAUUUUUUUAACUAGCUUAUCAACUGAGAAAUGCAUAUAGCUGAUAGCCAGCUGAAUAUUUGCAGGCAAAGGAGAAGGAAACCAGUGUUUGAGACCUUCUUGAAGAUGUAGAAGCAUAAGAAUUAAAGCCCAAUGUGAAGAUGAUGAUUUCAAGUUUUUCUACGUUACCAUUUCUUUAUCUAAAUUGGUUGUAGCGCCUUAGUUCCUUUGUUUAUGGGAUUUGUAUCGUUUUACGUACCAUGCAGUACAUGUCAUGUUUGUAAGGUUUUCUAUCCUGCCGGCAAACCGCAGGUUCCAUGUAAUAAAUCAAUACUAUUUAUAUUACGACACUUUUCUCUGUUUCUCUUAUAUUUUGUCGUCUUUAAUAUUCUUAAUCAUAUUUUUAACAAAAAUAUUCAAACACUUAGGCAAUCUGGUCUAAUGCUAAUUGUAUGUUUUACUUUUCUUUUUCACCUGCUCCCCUUUUCAACUCAAAAGGAUGCAAUAGUUUGUGAUCACUGUUGAAGACGGAAGCAUGAUACUAAUGAAUAUAUCAUUGAAACUCAAGGAAACUAACAUUAUGAAAAGUGUAAAUCUUGAUUUGAUGCAACUAUUUAUUCGUGGAAUCUAUAGUUACAAAACUCAAACUCUGACUGCGCCAUUGAUAAAUUAUUAAUGACGCUAUCAUCAUUAUUUAUCCCCAACUAGUUUCGACUACAACUGAACCCAAUAUUUUCCCCAUGAUAAAAGUUUUUUACUAUUUUACUGGCCUCUCUUCAAAUUUUAAAAAUUACACUAAUCUUCAUUGAGAUUAAUUAUCUUGUAGCAUUUAAGUCCAAUUAAUAAUUAAAAAAUAAUAUUAUGAGAGAGAAAAUAAUAUAAUUUUAUCAUUGCCCCCCAUCUUGCUAUAUUAUUUAAUUAAUUUAAUAGCAACCCACACAUUAAAGAAAAAUACUAAAAUUUGCUGCUUUUCAUUAAAGAUCAAAUUGCAUAUGCCAUAAAACAUAGUAUAUCAUUCUAUAUGUUUCACUUAAUGUAAGAUCCCAAUUGUUCUUUUCAAUUACAAACCCAUUGUCAAACAUGAUCAAUAACAAAUAACCAAAAAAUUUGCAACCAAAAUAUUACAAAAAAAAACUUUAACAUCAUAAAUAUUCUUACCACCUCUAGUGCAUUCACCCUCAUAAAAUAAUUCAAGACCCUACUGUCAUAAAAUGACUGAUCAACUCCUGUAAACCUAAUUUGACAACAUUUAAAUGGAGAACUUUAGCUAAAAGAAUUAUGGUCAAGCUAAAGAAAAAACCAGUUAUUUUCCAACAUAUGCAAUCAUUGAUCAGGGAAAAAAAAAAGAAGCAAAAAGACAUCUUCAAUCAUUUAAUAGCUUACAGGGCAAAUUAACCCCUAAGCGAAAACUGGUUGCUCUAGAAUCAAAAUUUUACUUUAGUUACCCAGGCAACUUUUUUUGUUGCCUUUUCUUUUUCUUUUUUGGGUAUAUAUAUAGCUCCAGUUUUGCCCCCUCUGUCAAGCUUAUAUAAUUAUUAAGAUAAUAAAAGUGCCUUUAAUAGUAUUAAUAUAUCCAUUGACUUGAGCUGUCAUCGAUCGGUUUGGGCUACUUCGAUUCCAUGAGAACAAAUGGUAAUAAAAGUACUCAGAAAAUGGGGAGUCAUGAAACCCUUUUGUUCUAUUCAUUGCUAAGAUGCUUUUCUCUAUAAAGACACUUCCUAACGAAAAUACUUUGUAGAUUUCUUUACUCCAAGUGGUGCAUGGAAAAUUAAUAUUUUCAAUUAUCAAAUAAAAUUCCCUUUUUUCGGUGUAGAUUUCAUCCAUUCAGCUGUUAACACUCCGAAUUGACUAAUCUUUUCGUUUCCAUUUUCCAACUUGCGAAUACGGCAUCUUACAUAUUGUCUGCUGAAUAUGAAUACAUAUCCCUUUUCUGAGCAGGUGCAGAGUCAUUAUCAUUUUUAUUCCCACCUAACAAAUUAGUUAAUAAUCUUUUAAAGAACAUGUUAAAUUAAUUUAUUGGUAUGAAUAGUAGUCAAAGAAGUAUGUUAAAGUUAGUAAUCUUUAAAAUAAUAUGUUAAAAUUAUUCGUACAAAUUAGCCAGAGAAGUAGCAUAAACACCGCGAUGCAAUUAAUACUUUCAAUCUCAAGGUCUCUAUUAUGGAAAUUUGCAUCGGUCAACAUACACAAAGCAUUAUUGUAUGCACGUCUCUCUAUUAUGGAAAUUUGCAUAGGUCAAUAUACACUUGGCAUAGUUGCAUGCACGUCCAAUUUUUUUUUAUUUUUAUUUUUGGUAUUUUACUUCCUGCCUUAAGUUGCCUGCAGAUGUUUGUAUUACAAAUAUAUGGUAUACUAAAUAUAUAGUAUGCACAUUAAUUUCUUUGGGUUGCUUAAGGGUAUAUUGUUAAUAAUAGGGGGUUUAACCAUAAAUUAUAACAAUGAUGAAGUAAUAUAUAUUAGAAAAUUAACACAAUUAUGAUUUUUUUUUUUGUAAAAUUCAAAUUUUAUUAAUAAGAAAUGAAAUAGGCAGUAAGCAUUUACAAACCGAAAACAAAAUCCUACAACAACUCUAGGACUCUACACCUUAUUAAAAAAAAACAUUUUGAUAGCGUUUUUCCAAAAGCAGAAGAUGGAAAAUUGCCCAUUUGUACUGGGGAGUUCGUGAUCUUUUCCUCAUUCUAGUCUACUUACAAUUCUUGGAAAAAGGAAUACUCACAUCUCAAACAACAGCCUGUUCAUCUGCAGUGUCCUGCCGAAUUCUAGAAAGUUUGGUGGCAAUGUUAAUUACAUUUCAAAAUUGACUGCUGCGAUAACUAAUUCGAUGGCUUACUACAUGGUCAACGUUUGGAUCUCUUCCUGUCCUUUUUGGAUGCACAUUUUUUUUCUCUAGGUAAUAUAUAAUCUCCCAACUCAUUUCUUUACAAAUGCACCUUUAAUCACCACCAAAAGGUGUGGACAUGAUCUUUACCCUAGAAAACUAUUCACCGACAGGCAAAUUGACGUCAGAAAUACUAAGAGGAAUUCUAGUUUCCUUCGGGUUAAUGCCAUUUUGUACCCUUCAACUGUAACUCAAUUUCUAAGCUGUAAUUUGUGACAUUAUAGUCCUUAAACUAUGAAACCCUUUCUUAUUUAAUUACAAUGGUUAAUACAAUGCCCGUGACUAGACAAGUAUGAAGCAACCAUAACAAAAAAAAAAUCCAAAAUUAGAGAAAAGAAAGAAGUUGCGACCAAAGUAUGUAUCAAGGCAUAGUAUAGAAAUAAAAGUGUCAAAAUUAAGAGUUUAGGGAUAAAAAAGAAUCAAAAUAUAGUUUAGGAAUUGAUUUGUCUCAAUUAGAGUUUAGAUGUCAACUAAGAAGAGAGAUAUAGUUGAAGGGUAGAAUAUAGAUAUAACAGUUCAAUGAUUGAUAUCAACGAGACAAUGACAACUUUGGAUUAUUACCAACCUCUUCUUGAUGGAAAAGGAAAUAGAGAAGAAAGUCGGGCCUGGUCUAAGCCUGUUUCGGAGGCAAAACAACAUUAUGAAAUCACCGGCAUUCACACAAAUAUGUCAAAGUCACCGGCAUGCUAAGUUGCAAAAUUUAUACAAACACUGAAUAUUAUAUUCUUCUCAAAAUUUUUGUUUAAGAUUUAACAAUUAGAGCACGGUACACGAAUUAGCAAUAUUAAAUAAUGAAUGUUCACGAUUGAUAAAGUUAUCAAAGUACAGUUUGAGGACAACCCAUUCCAACGUGUACAAGAUGUUUAGCCUUUGAAAAGUUAAUUAGAGAAGGUGACGAGAUUUUACUAGGCUUACAACUUCUAGGCCUUGGGAGUAAAAAGUGAAGACACUGAGUGCUAUAAAAAGGGGGCUAGAUGUUGCCUAGAAGCAUAUCAGCCUCGGACCACAUUUUGUAGCAAUGGGGAGCAAAGCAAAAGCAAUGGGGUCUAGGCUGACUCCUCUUUUUACCACCGUUUUAGUGGUAUUUGUUGCACUUGGCUUGCCUUCAGAAACUGCAGCUGAUUACGACAAGUAUUCACCUCCUCCUCCUCCUUACCAUUAUUACUCACCACCACCUCUUGUGCAUUCACCUCCACCACCGCCAGUUUAUAAGUCACCCCCACCACCUUAUCACUACUUCUCACCACCACCUCCAGUGUAUCCAUCUCCACCACCAUCUGUUUACAAGUCACCUCCACCACCUUCGCCAGUAUACAAGUCCCCACCACCACCUUAUCAAUAUUCCUCACCACCACCUCCAGUGCAUUCACCUCCACCACCACCGAUUUAUAAGUCACCUCCACCACCUCCUCCAGUUUACAAGUCCCCGCCACCACCUUACCAUUAUUCCGCACCAUCACCUCCAGUGCAUUCACCUCCACCACCACCGAUUUACAAGUCACCUCCACCACCUCCUCCAGUUUACAAGUCUCCAUCACCACCUUACCAUUAUUCCUCACCACCACCUCCAGUGCAUUCACCCCUACCACCACCGGUUUACAAGUCUCUGCCACCACCUUACCAUUAUUCCUCACCACCACCUCCUAUGCAUGCACCUCCACCACCAAUAUACAAGUCACCUCCACCACCUCCUCCAGUUUACAAGUCUCCACCACCACCUUACCAUUAUUCCUCACCACCACCUCCAGUGCAUUCACCCCUACCACCACCAGUUUACAAGUCUCCGCCACCACCUUACCAUUAUUCCUCACCACCACCUCCUGUGCAUGCACUGCCACCACCAAUUUACAAGUCACCUCCACCACCUCCUCCAGUUUACAAGUCCCCACCACCACCUUACCAUUAUUCCUCACCACUACCUCCAGUGCAUUCACCUCCACCACCACCGAUUUACAAGUCACCUUCACCACCUCCUCCAGUUUACAAGUCUUCACCACCACCUUACCAUUAUUCCUCACCACCACCACUCUUCAAUUUGGAUGUAAUUCAAUUUUCCUUGUAAUCGGUGGCCCUCCUUCGGAAUCCAAAUAGUCAUUGAGUGCAGCCUUCUUUCUUUAUUUUUUACUCAUUUUCACCUCAUAAAUUGCUUUCAUCCCCUAAAACUUGUUCGCUGGAAUUUUGAAUUUACCCAUACAACUAAACUCAGAAAAUUCUUACACAAAGGGAUUAGUAGCAUGAAUAGCAAACACAGAAUAAGAGAUAACAGUAUGUUUUAUUGUAUUAAAAAUAUUAAAGUGGAUUAUUUCUCCAUCGAAUUCCAUUGUGAGAGUAUCGUUACUAACAUCAAUCUUAGUUUGAGCAGUACUCAAGAAUGACCUUCCUAAUAUAAUGGGUGAUGGAUUUGGGACACUUUCAUCAUCCAUAUAAAACACAUAAAAAUCAACAGAAAAAAUUAAUCCAUCUACUUGAACUAAAAACAUCCUCAACUACCCCAUUUAGAUAAGCAAAUAUACGAUCAGCCAAUUGAAUUAUUAUCCCUAUUUCUUUUAAAUGUUCUAAAUUUAGGGAAUCAUAAAUUGAUUUAGACAUCACAUUAAUAGAAAUCUUUAAAUCUAUCAUGGCAUUUUUUAUAUUAGAAUGUCCAAUCUUACAUGAGAUAGUAAACAUACCUAGAUUCUCGCAUUUAGGUGGUAGUUUCCUUUGUAAAAUUGCUGAAACGUUCUCAUCUACCACAAUAUGCUUGUCCUCCUCAAUUUCUUCUUGUUGACACACAAGUUUUUCAAGCAUUUAACGUAUUUUGGAACUUAUUUGAUUUGCGUCCAACAAAGGGAUAUUGAUUGCCACCUUGCGAAAAUCUCUAAAAUCUCCUUUUCUUUAUCUUGUUUCUUUGAUUUCUCUAACCUGCUUGGAAAAGGUGGUGAGUUAGUUCCAACUCUAAUUAUAGAAUCAACAAUUACCUUUGGAUUCACAUUUCUCAUUCCUUCCUCCUCAAGCUCUUUGUCGAUUCGAUCUUCAUUUUUAUCCUUUGGAAUCACAACUUCGGAUCCCUGAAUUUUCUUCUCGCUCCUUAAGGUCAUUACACUUACAUUCUUCAGGUUCAGUUCAGGUUGAGACGACAAUUUUUCAUAGAUUUGGGAUUCCAGGCGGUUGAUUGCUAUUACCAUCUGACUCAUCUGACUCUGCAGUGCUUGCACCUGUCCCAAUUGAUUCCUCAUACUUUGCAAGUCAAAAUCCAUCUUUUGUUGAUUAGCAAUUAAUUGCUUCAUUAUCUCUUCUAUAGAUGGACUUGAGUUUGAAAGAGGUGGUGGCGGGCGAGACUGAUACUGUUAUUGAUACCCUUGCUAUCUAUUUGGUGCAAAAUCUGGCUACCUAUUUCCUCCAUAGCUGAGGUUGGGAUGAUCUCUCCAACCAAUAUUGUACGUAUUCGUGUACGAGUCGUAUGGUUUUCUUGGCACGGCGCGUGACCAGCCAUGUUCACUUGCUCCGUACUUUUCUCUUGAAUCAUUGAGCACAUCUCUGUAGAAUGACCCAUAGCAGUGCAGAUCCCACACAUCUUGACUCGUGAUGCAUUUCCUAUAGCUAAUUGCCUAACAAAGGAUGUUAAUUCGGUCAACUGCUGUUGGAUAGAAUAUGUUUCUACCUCAUUUACUUUGCGUGUUGGGGCAUCCUCCCUCGUACCAAACUGUUGCGAAUUUUCCGCCAUUCCUUCAACUAGCUCCCACGCUUCUCGAGAAGUCUUGUUCACCAAUGCCCUUCUACUUGCAGCAUCAAUUAUACUCCUGUCUCUAAAACGCAGCCCCUCGCAAAAAUAUUGGAUGAGCAAUUGCUCACUUAUUUGGUGUUGAGGGAACUUGAUGCAUAACUUCUUGAAUCGCUCCCAAUAAUCAUAAAGCGACUCUCCUGGAUGCUACUUGAUACCGUAUAUCUCCUUCCUUAGACUUGCAGCUCGAGAUGCAAGAAAAUAUUUGUCCAAGAACUUUUUCUUCAGCUGAUCCCACGUGGUGAUGCUACCUGGUGGUAGAUAGCACAGCCAGUCUUUUGCGGAGUCCUUCAAGGAGAAGGGAAAUGCCCUCAUUUUUAUCUAUUUUUCUGUAAUUCUCGGAGGUUUUAUGCUGUUGCAAACGACAUCAAACUCUUGCAAGUGCUUAUACGGUUCCUCACCUGGUAAACCAUAGAAAGAUGGCAAGAGAUGAAUUAGACCAGAUUUUAACUCAAAUGAAGUGUUAUCAUUUAAAAAUAGAAAAGUAACUGAGAUGCAGCACUGGAAUGUUCUUCUCGAAAUUGUCUGGUCUCUUUCUUUGUUCUACGCGUAGUCUUCUCUACCUUAGGAUCAAAAAUUAAUUUACCUGUACGAGAAGAACGAGGCAUACACUAGAAAAACACUAGAAAAUUAGAACAAAAAUGAACAUAAAAAGAAACAAAUAAACCAACGUCAGUCCCCAGCAACGGCGCUAAAAAUUGACAAGUUGUCGAUGCCUGUGCAAUAAUAAAAAUAAACCUAGUUACCAAUUAAAAUAAUCAGAGCCUAAUUCUGAGUACUAGAGCAGGGACUAUAGGUGUGCAAUGGGUUACUUGAUUCACCCUAUUCCUGAAGUUUGCUUAACCCGAUAUACCAGAAUGAGAUUGCUUAUUCAAAAGGAAUUAUUGAUUUGUAAACAGGGCAAGUAGGGUCGUAUCAUCAGGGAUUGAAAAAAUUUGUUUCUUUUCAAAUCCACAGUAACAAGGGGAUGUUUUUGUAUAAAUGAUAACAAUCUAAGGAGUGCAAAUAGAAAUAAAUAGAUAACUAGAAAUUAAAUGACAAUUCACUAAAAUUAGAGUAAUAAUAAUUAAAGGUCUAGCUAAGAAAUAACUUCAGCAAUGGUUCACCUAAUUGAUCAUCGACGCAAAGGCAAUUCCAAUUAUUUACUAAUAAAUAGGUUAUAACUGCAAAACAAGCAAUGACAGUCAACCCCUCCUUACUGUCGGUCGGUGAUUAAGGUACGCCCAAUCACUGCUCUAGUUGAGAAAUAAUUUUAGGGACGCUCGUAAGAUUUAAUUUUCCAAUUGCCUUACGUAUUAGAGGAGCCAUAAUCUAACCAAAUAACGCUACCAGGAUUAUUUUAAAUUAACCCGUGUAUUCCCUUGAUACAAAUUCAAUCAUGUCAGUUGUCACUAUUUCAAGGUAAUGAAACAAUUACGGAUUUAAUAUCCUAAUUGACAAUAGGUUACUAAAUCAAUUCACUAUUUCGAUCCAAGAUAAUCAAUCAAUUUAACAACUAAUAGCACUGCAAUCGGAGAAUAUGUAAAUACCAAUAAAUAAGAGGAAAAGAUAAAAUUAAAUCGAUCUCACAAUUUUUAAACAAAUCAAAGUAUCCGUUGUUUCUUGACUAGAAAAGAAAAUUUAGUUCAUUCCUAAUGUGAAAGACCCACGUGAGAAUUCAAAAAUAAUAUUCACGGAUAUUGUCUUGAUUCAAUAGAUUCAAUUGCGUUGGAAUAAGGAUAAAAAGCCAAACUAUAGAGAGUGAUUCAAUGUUUUGUUUCGUUUGCAUUUUUUCUACACAUAUGGAAGAAGAAAAACAACUAAAGGACGAAAAAAAAAAGUCAAAGAAAGGCACCCAAAGUAGUGCUUGGUCUCUACCAUCCUAUUUCCUAUCUAAUUACUACUUCCCUUCUGCGGCUGCCUAGAGGAAGAAAGAGAAAGCAGACUUCAGGUCUUGUUCCAUCUCCUCCCUUUUCGGCAAUUCCCCAAAAGUAGAAAAGUUCCUCCGUUUACCAAAAUGCCCCUGGAAUGAGGACUGCUACUUGAACUCAUUUUCUUGAUAACUGUCAAAUUAGCACUUGUUAUGGUAUUUGCGUCUACUUCCUGUAAUAAAUGUAAAUUGCCAAAAGUGAGUAAACUGAUAAUUAAUUUACAUCAGGUCAGGUAAUAGGAAAAAUUAAUUAUAAAAUAAAUGAUAAAAUUGCAACCUAUCACUUAGAAUAACCAGAAAUAAAACAAAACAAGAAAUGAAAGAAAUAAGAGGGUAGCAUAGACAUUUUGGAUUUUUCUGUUAAUUUGGAUGAUUUCCACCUACGGUCUAAUUUAAUCCAAAACACAAAUGGAUUAUGUGGAGAUUUUUAAACAAUGAGGGAGUAUCGUGACCGAAUCCCAAACCACAAAGGGGAUUUACUAUAUUUUACUCUUAAAUUUUGGUUUCAUCUCAUAGCAUACAAGAGUACUAUUUCACUGUCUGUCGACCAGGGAGGAGGGUUGGGUUGGGUGGUACGGGGGAGGGAGUCUAAGUAAGAGGUCUCAGGUUCGAAUCCUCCUGUUUAUACUAAAAAAAAAAAUUUACUAUCUGUCGACAAAGAUUUUCUAUGGUUGAUGUACCAUAGGAAAAAUCUGCCUAUACAAUUAUUUGGAAAAAUUAUCCAUCCAAACAUAGUCACGAUAGCAUUUUUUCAAAAACACUAGAUGCAAAAUUGUCCCCUUAAACGUGGAAAUUCAUGAUCUUUCCUCGACUAGUCUACUUGUCAAUUUUUGAAAAAAGAAUACUCACGCCAAAAACACGGCCUCUUCAUCUGCAGAAUUCUAAAAAGUUACGUAAACUCUAUAAACAAGUUGAUAGGUACAAUCGUACCCAAGAUCAAGUACAGAUAGUUGUACAUUCACUGCUGCAAUAACUAAUCUGAUGACUUACAAACACAUCAUGGUCAAUCGUUGAAUGGUAAUGAGUCUUUUGUUAUGCAUUAGUAUUAGUGUGUACACUCUAAUAGAUUGAUACUUAUACUCUUUAAAUUAUCAUAAUAAUACCCUUAAUUAACUUUAACCCUUAAAAAGAAUACGUGUUAAUACACGAGAGUGUGUAACCUGAAUUGUUACUUAUACAUUAGUGUGUAAUAGAACGGCAAGCAUUAUGGUGGUCAUUGAGCAACUUAUAGGAGAAAUAGUCCUAUAAGCUGUUCAAUGACCAAUCACAACUUGCUAAUUGGAUGACUAAUAUAGCUCUAGCUGUAAUGUUUUAAUUAAAUUCCACACUAACGUUGGGAUGACUUUUUAAUCAAAAAAAAAAAAGCCUUAGUUCAAGCUUUUCCCCUUAUUGUGCAUUUUUUAAAACAUUUGAUAGGCACUGCAAAUCUGUCAUUUUGGACAUUUUAUUAUUAACUAACAAUGAAAGCCGUGGACAUCAACCCAUAUCCAACAAAAUAUUAAAUUAAUAUUAGAAAAAUUAUUAAGUAAUUGGAAAAAAAAAAGAAGAGGCUAAUUUUCAUUGAAACCCACCGACAAACUAUCCGUGUCCAUAGCUUUUGAAUAGUGCAUUCAACGUUUAAUUGUAUGGUCCAGUUCAUUGCCGAUUACAUGGAGUAAAGAUUGUGCUCUUUCCUUUUUCACCCCUUUUGGAAUCGAUACUGUGGAGAAUUGGGUUUUUCCCUCCUUUUUUUCUUUUCUUUCCUUCUGUGCUUUGCAAAACAUACGUAAAAAUAUGAAAUCCGAAGCAUUCUUUAAUUGGGAUUAAGUAUUGUUGUUGAAAUUAAAAAGAAGAAAGAAAGAACAACAAAAAUCCCAAUCUGGGUUGAUUGUUGAGCUCUAGAUUGGCUGCAUCGUGCUUCCAUAGAAGUUCUCUUAGUGUGAUACGCUGCUUUCAAUCAGUUUUAAUAUUUAAGUAGAGUGCAAAAUAACUUUACUAUUUAAUGGGUUAUAAUGCACCAUUUGGUACCUCUCACCCACCUAUGAUUUGAUUUACUACUGGCAUGGUAAUGGACAGAGUUGGGGGAGCAGGAGGAGGGAGAUGGCGGUACCAGUCCGUCAACCACAGCACACCCUCCCUCGGACUUUGCGUGGUAGCGAAGUGGAGGCAGAUCGAGCACACAUGCACUAACGCCUUAAGUAUGUACAAUAUAUGUAUGCCAAAAGCAUAGCCAAGCCUACCAGCGCAUUUCAAUAAUAUAACCCGGAAAUUAAGGGCAUUGAAUUAAGUACGAUGAAUCAUAUUGGUGCACAAUUACAGUUUGAAGCUACCGAUUCGAGUAAAUUUAAGCGUAAGCACAAUCAAUCGCCAGUCAAAUGCUGAAAUAUGCAUAUGCAUGGAUGAAUGUAUGGGUUUCUUAGUUCCAGACCAAAGGCCAACAAUAAGGGAAGGAAGGACAGUUCUCAUUUUUAGCACGGACAAGGAGAUGAAGAAAAGUGUAUGUAGCUUGAGACAGAACAAUGGCAUGUGACCGCUCCUGAGACCACAUAACGUGGGGUGGGGAUGGGACGGCCAAGAAUGAAGAUGCCUGUCGGUCUCUCCGUGCUGCUACCAUAUGAAUCCCCCGUUAACCAAUUCAAGAUAAGCCUGAAGUUCUUUUCAUCCCCAAACCCUGUCCCAUCUGUGUAAAUCCAACAUCAUCAUUUACGACCUGCAACUCAGGUUAAGCAUGUUCUAUUGAGAUUCAGACACCACCCUUCAAAAGAUAUACUACUGUGAAACCAGCAGCUUAAUAUCAUUGUAUAAAAAAAAAAAAAAAAGAAAGAAGAAAAGACAUGAAAAGCAAAUUUUGUGGGGAUAAUUUCAAAAUCUCUCCUAAAGUUUUUUACUAUUUUACUGGCCUCCUUUCAAAUUUUAAAAAUUACACCAGUCUUCCUUGAGAUUAUUUAUCUUGUAACAUUGAGGUCCAAUCAAUAAUUAAAAAAUGAUAUUAUGAGAGAGAAAAAAAAUAAACUUUAACAUCAUAAAUAUUCUUAUCAACAUAUUAAAGUUAGUUACUGAAAUUUUUAUGGUGUUAAACUUCACUCUUUGUAAUAUUUUAGUUACAGAUUUUUUGAUUACUUGUUGUUGAUUUUUUUUUUUUUAGUGUAAACAGGAGGACUCGAACCUAAGACCUCUCACUUACACUCCCUCCCCCCGUACCACCCCAACCCAACCCAACCCUCCCCUCGUUGUUGAUCAUGUUUGACAAUGGAUUUGUAAUUGAAAAGAACAAUUUGGAUCUUACAUUGAGUGAAAUAUAUAGAAUGAUAUACUAUUUUUUAUGGCAUAUGUGAUUCAAUCCUUGAUGAUAAAAGCAAAUUCAAGUGUUUUCUUUAAUGUUUGUGCUGAUAUUAGAUUAAUUAAAUAAUUUAGUAGAUGAAGGAAAAUGGUGAAAUCAUAUUAUCUUCUCUUUCCUAAUAUCACUAUUUAAUUAUUGAUUGAACUUAGAUAUUACAAAUAAUAAAUCUCAAGGGAGAUUAGUAUAAUUUUCAAAUUUUGGAGAGAAGCUAAUGAAAUAGUCAAAAACCUUAAGGGAGGUUUACAAAAUUAUCCCAAAUUUGUGGGAAUUAGAAUAAUUGUACUGGACGGCACUGCCGCAACAGAGGGAAAGAGGAGGAGGUGCAGUUAACUUUUUGUUGUUUGAAAUCCUUGGUGAAAUAUUACAGAAAGACAGAUAAAACAGUUAGUACAUAGAUGUAUAUGACAGGGAAAAUGGUACGUCUGUUAAUCACAUUUGAAACACUUUCAUUGGUGAAUGACGAAAACUAUCAGGCUUGCCCAAUAGUUGAUCAUUGACCAAGACAAAUCUUGCCAUGCUAGAGGUACCAUCUUUUCGUACCUCUUUAGUGCACAGGACAUUCCUUUGUUUCAUCUAGCUAAUAAUCUACCAACUCAUUUCUUUGCAAAUGCACCUUUUAUGGUCACGUCUACGAAAGCUUUACAGGAUCUUUACCCAAAAAAUCAAUUCACCGACUCGCAUUUGAUGUCAAAAUUUCUUUACUUUACUCCAAGAUUGACUGUUAAUAAUAAUGCCACUUUGAAUUAUCACACCAUCCUUCUUGAUAGGAUUUGUGCUAGAGGUAGGGAGGGAGUCGCUGCAGCCGGUCUUCUCUUCAUAGACAGUACAAUAUUGCGAAAUCGAUCGCAUUCACGCAAUAUUAUAUUUCCAAGUCGUUGCAUGGGUAAGCUGCCAAAAAGUACGAACACAUGUUAUUAUAUAGCUUAAGAUUCAAAACUUUCGAGCAUAACCCUCCACCUAACACAAUUGAAUAAUGGAUAUUCACGAUUGUCAAAUCUGUCAAAGUACAGUUUGAGGACAACCCAUUCCAACCUGCAAAAGGUUUUUUUACUUUUCUAAAGUUGUUGAGAGCUGUUAAAAGAUUUACCAUGCUUACAUCUUCCGAGCCUUGGGAGUUAAAAAUGAAGGCACUGAGUGCUAUAAAAAGGGAAUAGAGGCUGCCUAGAAGCAUACCAGCCUAAAACAAGGAUUUGUAGUUAUGAUGGGAAGCAAAGCAAAAGCAAUGGGGUCUGGGCUGACUCCUCUUCUUGCCACUGUUUUAGUGGUGUUUGUUGCUCUUGGCUUGCCCUCAGAAACUGCAGCUGAUGAUCACUACAAGUAUUCAUCUCCUCCUCCUCCUUACACUAUCCCUCACCACCACCUCCAGUGCAUAUACCUCCACCUCAUCCUGUUUACAAGUACAAAUCUCCACCACCCCCACCACCACACCCAGUUUACAAGUAUAAGUCACCACCACCACCUCCUCAUCCGGUACCACACCCAGUUCCUCAUCCGGUGCCACACCCAGUUCCUCAUCCGGUGCCACACCCAGUUUACAAGUAUAAGUCACCACCACCACCUCCUCAUCCGGUACCACACCCAGUUCCUCAUCCGGUACCCACACCCAGUUUACAAGUAUAAGUCACACCACCACCUCCUCAUCCGGUACCACACCCAGUUUACAAGUAUAAGUCACCACCACCACCUCCUCAUCCGGUAUACAAGUAUAAGUCUCUCCGCCACCAACACCCAGUUUACAAGUAUAAGUCACCACCACCACCUCCUCAUCCGGUGCCACACCCAGUUUACCACUACAAGUCACCACCACCACCUCCUCAUCCGGUACCACACCAGUUUACCAUACAAGUCACCACCAAUCCUCACCCAGUUUACAAAUACGAGUCUCCACCACCUCCAGUUUAUAAGUACAAGUCACCACCACCUCCUCCACCAGUUUACAAGUAUAAAUCUCCUCCACCACCACCACCAGUUUACCACUACAAGUCUCCACCACCUCCUCCCCCAGUUUACAAAUACAAGUCUCCACCACCUCCUCACCACUACUAAGCAAUUGCUUCUGAGGUAAUAACACUUGUUCAAUAUACCCACUUCUGCAUGAUAAAGCAUAUCUCUAUCAACACAAACUGUCAUGUCUAUCAUGCUAAGUGCCUUCACUUCAUCCACCAAAAUGACUGCUAGAAAAUUUUUUUUAUGUUACCAAAGAAAGGCAUCAUUUUUUCCCUCUGUUAUCAAGAACUUGUACAGUAUAUAGAUUAAAGAGUUUUUAUUUUAACUAGCUUAUCAACUUAGAAAUGCAUAUAGCUGAUAACCAGCUGAAUAUUUGCAGGCAAAGGAGAAGGAAACCAUGUUUGAGACCUUCUUGAAGAUGUAGAAGCAUAAGAAUAAAAGCCCAAUGUGAAGAUGAUGAUUUCAAGUUUUUCUACGUUACCAUUUCUUUAUCUAAAUUGGUUGUAGCGCCCAAGUUCCUUUGUUUAUGGGAUUUGUAUCGUUUUACGUACCAUGCAGUACAUGUCAUGUUUGUAAGGUUUUCUAUCCUGCCGGCAAACCGCAGGUUCCAUGUGAUAAAUGAAUACUAUUUAUGUUACGACA
rnacentral:lncRNA from 1 species